UGCUGAUGUGUGGUAUUUAAUGUGGAGUUAUGUUACAUGAUUAUGUAUAAGCACUAGUACACAUACUUUAUCAUAAUUAUUACUAUUAAUAUUUUUAGUAUAAUAUUACAUUCGCUCACUAAGCCACAAGCUCACUAUUUUUCUAUUUACCCAUUUCCUCCUAGGAUUUCGUGCAGAUCAGUUCUAAUUAAUUGAUGUUGGGCCACGAGACUCAUUGCUGCAUUUCUUGCAUUUUGAACAUGUUUAUGUUGCUUAUGUUUUUUACGUAAAUGUACAUGUAAUGUCAGUAUGUACAAUGAGACAUAAGCUAUGCAAGUUUUGAAUUCAUAUAUGAUUUUAGAAAAGGCACAGAGGUUUUUAUGUAUUUAUAGAAAAGACCAUAUUAUAUACAUAUUUUCAUGAAUUAAAUUUGGGCUAUAAGUUUUAAUUAUUAGUCUGCAUGAUUCGCCUCAAAUCAGAUAUGUAGGUCGGGGCGGGUUGUGUCAUUUUGGUAUUAGAGCCUAGGUUAUAGAUUUUGCAGACUAAUACAUGAUGCAUAUACAUUCAUACAUCAUAUAAUAAUAUCAUGACAUUUUAUAGAUAUCAGUAUGCGUUGACAUGGCCGACCUCGCACGAGAUCUGUAGCGGAUAUGGGUUCACCUCCACAACCGGAGAAUAAAGUGGAACCCUUGGAAGAGACUAUAGGCGAAUCAGUAUUACAUGCACAUGAGCCACAACCACAACCCCAGCAAAACCCAGAUAUUCAUCAUGAGCCAGUAGCGAGACUUACGGUGGAUUAGUUUAUGGAUAGAUUUGAAGGGUUUGUUUCUAAUGUUGCUCGGAGAGAGGCUGAACUUUGUACAGGUACACAAAACACCAUUGAGCAUGCUCAUGAUUUGGGGGCUACGACUUUUAAGGGCACGACUGACCUAGUGAGUUCAAAGUCAUGGUUAAUUAGAUUGCGGGGGAUUGUUGAUGUGAUGAGGUGUACUGAUGAAGAAAGAUUAUCCUCCAUCGAGUUUCUGUUAGAGGGUAAUGUGUAUCACUGGUGGAUGUCUGUAUUACACCGAUAUGGGGGACGUGGAGCUGUUACUUGGGCAAAUUUUCAGAGAGAGUUCACUGAUAAAUUCUUUCCAUUUGUUUAUCAGGAAGACAGAAUAAAUGAAUUUAUGACGCUUGUACAGGGAUCUAUGACAGUAAAAGAGUACGAGCGUAAAUUUUCUAAGUUAUUGAGAUUUGCCCAAUUCGUUGUACCGAAUGAGAGAGAGAAAUGUACGCGGUUUGAACGAGGUCUUCAAACAUAAAGACUAUAGUAAUUGGAACAGAAUGUAUAGGUUUUGGCACCCUAGUUAGAGUUGCUACGAGAAUCGAGAGGAGUCGUAGAGAAGCACAAAGGGCUGAGCCGCAACAGCAUAAGCAGGGCCCUGCUUGGCUAGUCAGUGGACCUAUUAGCAGAACUCAAAAGAGAGAGGUAGAGCAUAGAGAUUUCUCAACUAGUCAGCAGUACAACCAACGACCAGAGUUUCUCGGAGGGAAGAGACCUAGUAGCCAUGACAGUAUUCAGCAGAGCUCCAAUGUAGGCAAAGGCAAUUAUCCUCAGUGUAAUGUUUGUGGGAAACUUCAUAGGGGAUAAUGUUUGAGUGGUUCGGCAUAUUGUUUCCAGUUAUGACAACCGGGACACUUGAAGAGGGAUUGUCCAAACUUGACAUCAAGCAGCAGUUUUGUGCCAGGUCAAUACCCUCGCUACCCUCAAAGUGGUAGUAGUCAGUUUUGAGGGCGUAGAGGUUUCCAAAGAGGAGGACAUACAUUUUCUUGUAGGUCCCAGUCCAAUGCAGGAGAGACUAGUGGUAGUCGACAGAGGAGUCAGUCAAGCAGACCACAUACCCAGGCACGUGUGUUUGCUCUGACCCAACAUGAGGCACAUGCCACACCAAAUGUUGUGACAGGUAUUUUGACUAUUUUUUGUCGUGAGACAUAUUUUAAUUGAUUCGGGGUCUACAUAUUCUUUUAUUUCUCGUACAUUUUCCAUCCAUGCGGAUAGAGAAAUGGGGCCAUUAGAUUGUACUUUAUUAGUGGCUACACCAGUUGGUAAUUCUUUAUCGGCUGAGAGUGUAUUUCAAGAUUGUGCAGUAAAAUUGGGUAAUAAAGAUAUGGUACCAGACCUAAUUCUGUUAGACAUUAAUGAUUUCAAUGCUAUAUUGGGUAUGGAAUGGUUAGCAAAUUAUUGUACUACAGUGGACUGCUUUUGGAAAGAGGUAACUUUUAGGAAAUCUGGAGAAUCUGAUAUCAUUUUUUAUAGAGAACAACGUAUCCUACAUUCUUCUGUGAUAUCAGCUAUUUCUGCUAAACGAUUACUCAGAAAAUAUUGUUUUGCUUAUUUGGCUCAUGUUAUUGAUAGCCGAGUCAGUAAUGUGAAACUAGAAGAUAUUCCUGUGGUGAAAGAAUUUUUGGAUGUGUUUCCUGAUGACCUUCCUAGUUUGCCACCUGAUAGAGAUGUAGAGUUUACUAUUGAUUUGGUUCCGGGCACAACCCCUAUAUCUAUGGCCCCAUAGAGGAUAGCUCCAUUAGAGUUACCAGAGUUAAAAGUAUAGUUACAAGAAUUAGUCGAUAAGGGUUUCAUCCAACCUAGUGUAUCUCCAUGGGGAGCACUGACGUUAUAUGUGAAGAAGGACGAAGCUAUGAGAUUGUGUAUAGAUUACAGGCAGUUAAAUAAAGCCACUAUUCGUAACAAAUAUUCGCUUCCUCGGAUUGAUGAUCUGUUUGAUCAGCUACAGGGUGCGACAGUUUUCUCGAAGAUAGAUUUACGUUCAGGUUAUCAUCAAUUGAAGAUUAGAGAUGCUGAUGUACCCAAAACCGCAUUCAGGACUCGUUAUGGACAUUAUGAGUUUUUGGUGAUGCCAUUUGGGUUAACUAAUGCUCCCACAACAUUUAUGGAUCUCAUGAACAAGGUGUUUCAUCCUUAUUUAGACCUGUUUAUUAUUGUACUUAUUGAUGACAUCCUAAUAUAUUCACACAACAAAGAGGAACAUGCAGAACACUUGAGGAUUGCUUUACAAACCUUGAGACAUUGGCGGCUUUAUGCUAAAUUCAGUAAAUGCCAGUUCUGGUUAGACAUAAUUACAUUCUUAGGCCAUGUGAUUUCCGUUGUUGGUAUUUAUGUAGAUCCCCAGAAAAUAGAAGCUGUAGUGAAUUGGGAGCGUUCGACCAGUGUAUCUGAGGUUAGAAGUUUUCUUGGCUUGGCAGGUUAUUACCGCAAAUUUGUUGAGGGUUUUUCCAAGAUGGUUUUACCUCUAACGAAACUGACAAGGAAGAAAGUGAAAUUUUAAUGGAUAGAUGAUUAUGAACAGAGUUUCCAAGGAUUGACUUCAGCUCUAAUUCUUACACUUCCAUCAGGUACAGAAGGAUUCGUAGUUUAUAGUGAUGCAUCCAAACAGGGACUAGGUUGUGUAUUGAUGCAGCAUGGAAAGGUAAUUGCUUAUGCUUCCCGACACUCAAGCAACAUGAACUGAAUUAUCUGACAUAUGAAUGCAGCAGUAGUAUUUGCAUUAAAAACCUAGAGACAUUAUUUAUAUGAAGCUACAUGUGAGAUUUAUACAGACCACAAAAGCCUGAAAUACUUGUACACAAAGAAGGAAUUAAAUUUGAGACAAUAUAGAUGGGUUGAGUUGAUUGCAGAUUAUGAUUGUACUAUUGAUUACUAUCCAGGCAAGGUGAAUGUGGUAGCUGAUACUCUCAGUCGAAAGUCUUCGAGUUUGAUCUCCCACAUAAAAGUAUUCUACUUUCCGUUAUUGAUUGAUUUGAGGUCUUUCGGUACAGAAUUGGCAGUGAAUCAGAAUGGAGCACUUUUAGCACACUUUCAGGUUAGGCCUAUUUUGAUUGAUCAGAUUCAAGAGAUGCAGGAUCAAGACCUAAAGUUGAUUGAAAUAAAAGAAGAUGUGAAGAAUAAAUUGCGGACUGACUUUUCACUGAGAGAUGAUGGUACUUUAGUUAUGGGGAGUAGGCUCUGUGUGUCGAAUAAUUCAGAUUUGAAGAACCAGAUUUUAGAAAAAGCACAUAGUUCAGCAUAUGCUAUGCAUCCAGGUAGCACGAAGAUGUAUCAUAUUUUGAGGGAGCAUUAUUGGUGGCAAGGGAUAAAUAGAGAAAUAGCAGAAUUUGUAGCACGUUGUUUAACUUGUCAGCAAGUUAAGGCAGAAUCUCAACCAUUAUCUAUUGCUGAGUGGAAAGGGGAACACACAAAGUCUGCUCACUUUAUGCCUUACAAGAGCACGUACUCUUAUGAUAGAUAGCGAAUUUGUAUGUAAGAGAAAUAGUACAUUUGCAUGGAGCUCCUGUCCAUUGUUUCAAAUAGAGACUCACGGUUUGCUUCUAGAUUUUGGCCAUCCUUACAGCAUGCUAUGGGUACUAAAUUAAAUUUUAGUACAGCUUUUCAUCCACAGACAGACGGGCAAUCAGAGAGGGUUAUUCAGAUUUUGGAAGAUAUGCUUCGAGCAUGUAUCAUGCAGUUUCGAGGUAAUUGGGAUACAUACCUACCUUUGAUGGAGUUUGAUUAUAAUAAUAGCUAUCAGUUUAGUAUUCAGAUGGCACCAUUUGAGGCUUUAUACGGAAGGAAAUGCAGAACUCUAAUUUGUUAGGAUGAAGUCGGGGAAAGACAAUUGUUAGGGCCAGAAAUUGUCCAGAGUACUAAUGAGAAGAUUAAUGUCAUCAGAGAAAAGUUGAAGGCAGUGCAGAACAGACAGAAGAGUUACACAGAUAAGCGCCGGAGACCACUUGAAUUUGCAGUGGCUAAUAAAGUUUUCUUACGGAUUUCUCCUUGGAAGGGCAUACUUUGAUUUGGGAAACAUGGAAAGUGGAGCCCUCGUUACAUAGGCCCAUAUUAGAUUAUUCAGUGCGUUGGUCCGGUUGCUUACCGUUUGGCUUUACCUCCAGAGUUAUCACGAGUCCAUGAUGUUUCUCAUGUUUCGAUGCUACGCAAGUAUAUUCUUGACCCUUCUCAUGUCUUAGAUGUAGAACCGGUUCAGAUGACGGCGGAUUUGACUUAUGAAGUGGAACCCAUUCAGAUACUUGAUCGGAAACAACAUGUGUUACGUAAUAAGACGAUCUCACUAGAUAAAGUGAUGUGGAAAGGUCACACUGCAAAGGAAGCUACUUGGGAGCGUGAGGAACAGAUGAGGACACAUCAUCCAUAUUUAUUUCAGUCAGGCAUGUAAAUUUCGGGGACGAAAAUUUUGUAAGUUGGGAGGAAUUGUCAUGCAUCACUUGCCAUGCACCACUUGGAGGAAAAAAAAAAAAGCCAAACGUGUUUAGGAAAAUAAGUGGCCAGCUACCCAUUGCAUGCAAUACAAGUUGCUUGCUUCACCUCUUUGCUUGGCACAUGCAUGUUCCUCCCAUUUGCUUGAGGUGGUGAUUAUAUAUUUAAAAUAAAGUCAGAGCUGCUUGCUUGCAUUUGGUGGCCCAGUCAGUGGCUAUAUAAAAUGAAACAUUUUGAGAAUUGCUUCAUUUACUAAAUUUGAGAACCGAGAGAAGAAAAGAAGAGAAAUUGAGAGAAAAGAGAAGGAAAAGAAAAAGAAAAGAAGAAAAGAAAUAGAAACAAGUUGAGCUUGGGAAAUAAAGUGGAAUUAAGAGGAAAUAUUACGGAAAUUAGAACUGGAUAGGUAGAUUAAAUUUAGUUGAACCAGUAGGUAAUAGAUUUAUGAAAUUUGAGCAAUUAUGUUACAGUUUGUAUGAUACGUAUAAGUUUUUAUAUCAGUUCUAACAGUUAAUUAUUGAACCCUCUAUUUUAGGAGGAACUCGAGAAUCCAGGAACCUACAAGAGCCCCAACGAACCCCAGAGUGAAACAUGAUCUAUGAGUGGAUACUAUUAUUACUAUUAUGUAUUCUGUGAAGCAUUUACAUUUGAUAUUGUGAUUUAAUAUCAUGUUAUGAUUACAUGUAUGCAUAUUAUAUAUUUGAUUGAGUCAUGAGAUGUGAUUGCGAGUCACCAUAUACGUACCCUUCCCUGUAGACUCUGCUCAUGCGUAUUGAGAGUUAGGUUACUCUAUCCAAGCGAUGUAGCUAAACUUCGCCGGGUAUUGAGAGGUUUUUUCCCCUGCUCUACUCGUGCAAUGAUGAUCCCGAUGAGUAUUGAGAGUUAUUUCCCCUGGGUACUAUUUGGUGCAGUUUGUGAUGUAUGUAUGUAUGAAUUCCAUGUUUACCGAUGUGUGGUAUUCAAUGUGGAGUUAUGUUACAUGAUUAUGUAUAAGCACUAGUACACAUACUUUAUUACAAUUAUUACUUUUAAUAUUUUUAAUAUAAUAUUACAUUCACUCACUGAGCCACAAGCUCACUAUUUUUCUAUUUACCUAUUUUCUCUCAGGAUUCCGCAGGAUUUCGUGCAGAUCAGUUCUAGUUAAUUGAGGUUGAGCCACGAGACGCAUUGCUGCAUGUCUUGUAUUUUGAGCACGUUUAUGUUGCUUAUGUUUUAUAUGUAAAUAUACAUGUAAUGUCAGUAUGUACAAUGAGACAUAAGCUAUACAAGUUUUGAAUUCAUUUAUGAUUUCAGAAAAGGCACAGAGGUUGUUAUGUGUUUAUAGAAAAGGCCAUAUUAUAUACAUGUUUUUAUGAAUUAAAUUUGUGCCACAAGUUUUAGUUAUUAGUCUGCACGAUUCGCCUAAAAUCAGACAUGUAGGUCGGGGCAGGUCGUGUCACUAAUAUUGGUCAUUUUUCUUGUAUGAGCUCUCUUGAUUGUACAUGAACCUUUGUUAAUGAGGCUGUGGCGGAUAGAAAGAGUAAAAAAAUUGAACAGUGUAAAAACUAUAAUAUGAAAUUAAUUAAUUGGGUCCGAAUUUAUAAAUUAUGAUAGUUUAAUCCAGAGAUCUAUACCUAUUAGGUAGAACAUCCAUAUCCAUUUGUAAAUCUUCUAAUAUUUUGCAUGAUGUAUACAUAUCAUAUCUAAUUUUAGAUGUUGGAUGUGGAUAUGGAUUUCAUCUACUUGGAUAUGCAAUAUCCACGGAUGUCCAUAGUGGACAAUAAAAAUUAAUAUAACAUAUUAAUAUAAUAAAAGCUAAUUACUAAUGUAUUACAUUAAAAAGUUCUUAUUUAUCUUGAAUUAUAUUUCCUAAAAUCAUUAGUUAGCUAAUUAAGUUCAUGUAUAAAAAUAUAAUAAGAAAAUAAAUAUCACUGGCAUUACUUUUCUGUAGUCGAUGGCAAAAUAUUGAACAAAUGAUGGCAAAUCCUUUAUCAUCAGACUCAAAUUUCGCGAUUUACAUAAUGGUAUUGAUUUCGAUGACAAAAAAUAAAUGAUGGCAGUGAAAAUACCACCCAAAAGGAUAAAGGAAACUUUAUAACUAUGAAAUAAAGUUUAUGUACGGUAUGAGAAAUAUAACUCAAAAGAUAUAUAUAUAUAUAUAUAAAGAUAUUAAAGAAAUCAAUUAUUUUAUUAAAGUAAUAAAUAAAUUGAAAGAUAAAAAACAAUACACACUACGAUUAUUGUGUAAUAUAUUGCAUUCUGUUUUUUAAUCUUUCAAUUUUUUCUUACUUUAUAAAAACAAAUAAUUCUAUAUCAUAAAAUUACUAAAUAUAUAUUGCUUUGUUAUUUUAUACAUUUACUUCUUAUGAUUUUUGGGCCUUCGCAAUUCAAAUCACAUCCUUUAUUUAGAACAACUUUUUAAGGUGAUUAUUAUGUACAUGUAUCUUUUUUUUUUUUUUUUGAAAUUCAAAUAUCACAUCCUAGAAUAUCAGAUUUCAUAUGUGGACAAUAUAAAUUCAAUAUUGAACCAAAUAGAGUUGGCUUUUCAUACCCGGUUUAAUUAACCACUACCCUUUCAGUAAAACACAUCACAAAAUUCACCUCCCAAUUAUAUUUUAGAAAUGAAUAAUGAGAUUGAAUGGCAAGUGAUUUAUUAAUACGAGAAUAAUUGCAAUGAGGAAUUGAAACAAAGCAAAGGUGUGUAUUUAUUUAUUUUUAAUCAUCAGAGAUAAAGCUACUUGAAAUUAAGGAAUGUAACAAAAGAUACACGUAUGCAAUCACCUUAAGGGUGCAUUUGGGAGCUUGUAGUACAUUGUAGUAAAAUACUAUUUUUAUGCUAACUUAUUUUUGGCUGUAAUUUCUAGUUGCAUAUUGCACUGCAUUAAAAAGGUGGCUAAUACAAUAAAAGGUGUUUAAAAAAUCACUAUACAUAUUUUAAAUAUAAUCAUUAAACUUUUAUUAGUUAAUAAAUGAUAACAAAUUUAAAUUUAUUAAAUAUUAAUUUAUAUUUAUGUUUCAAAAAAGGUUCACUAAAAUAAUAAUAUAAGAAUAAUAAACAAAAAUAUUUGAUAAAUAAAUGAUAGUACAUUAUUUUACAUAAUUUGUUUUAUUUUUUACUUUAAAUACAUAAAAGUAUUUUAAUUUUAUUUAAUCUUUUAUUAUUUACUAAAAAUACUGAAAUUUAAAAAGUUAAAUUAGACAGUUAUAUUUGACAUUAAUAAAUAAAAAUAAAUUUAAAUAUUAUAUUUUUAAAUUAUAUUAUAGAAAUAAAUUAUAUUAUUAUUAAUAAUAUAAUUUAUUAUAUAGAAAUAAAUUAAUACUAAUAUAUAGAAAUAAAUUAUAUUAUUAUUAAUAAUAUAACAUAAUAUUGUUAUAUUAUUUAAUAAUAACAUAUUAUUAAAUCAUUCUUAUAUUUAUAAAAAUUAAUAUAUAAAAUUAAUUAUUUAAUACUUAAUUUCAAAAAUUAUUAAUAAAACCCUAAAAUAUUAAUAAAUCGUAAAUUAUAUUAAAUCAAUUUUAACAUUAAUAUAAAAAAAAUUAAUAACAUCCAUACUAGACCAAACAUAACAUUACAUUACAACUUAAUAGAAUGCACCCUAAUGCAAUUAAGCAUGAUGUAAUACAACUAAUACAUUAUAACAUAAUAAAACGUACUCUAACGCAAUACACCAUAAUGUAAAACAAGUAAAACAAAAUAACGUGAUAGAGUGUGCCAAAAACACACUAAAGUUAUUUUACGAGUAGUACUGGUAAGUGUCCUAGAGGCAAAUUCUGACACAUCUUUUGGACUUAUUAACUCGAAUUUAAGGCAAAUGCUGCUUUAACACAUUAAGGGUCGUGGAUAUCUUUAUUUGUAGAGCUCGGAGUUAGCUAAUCUUGGUUUUGGAACUGCAACCAAAGGUUUCUUUUUCUUGAUAACUAGUCCAUACUUAUAAGACAAAUCAAGCUUCUCACCAUAAGGCAAUCUCCAAUCAAAUGAGUGCAAUAAGGAAGCCAGAACAAACAUCACAAGCCUCUCAGCUAGUGGAAGCCCAGCACAUAUCCUUCUACCAGAACCAAAUGGCAUGUAUUGAAAGUUGUUACCCGUGUAAUCAAAUUUAUCAGGAUCAUUCAAGAAUCUCUCAGGCCUAAAUUCUAAGGGAUUGUCCCAAAGUUGAGGGUCUGUGUGAAUGGUGCCAAGAUUCAAAAUGACAGUUGCACCCUUUGGUAUUGUAUAACCACCAAGCGUUGUGGUUUGACUUGGAGUACGGGGUGGCAGUAGCUUAGACGGAGUAUGGAGGCGAAACGUUUCUUUCACUGUAGCAUCUAAGUACUUUAGUUUAGGCAAGUGAGACUCUUCAACAUUGUUGUUCAGACCCACAAUUUCCGCUAAUUCGGCUUGAACCUUCUUCAUCUCCACUGGAUACUGCAACAACUUCGUAAGCGUCCACUCCAUUAUUGUUGUGGUGGUGUCUGUGCCACCCAAAAUUAUAUCCUGUACGUUUCAAAAUAACAAAUAAUAAACAGCAAUCCGUAUUAGUUAUGUCACAGGAACUGUGUUUGAACCAAAAGCUUAAACUAACCCAAAAGACAAGAGCCCGAAAACGACUCAAAAAAUUGAAGGAAUAAACAUUUUAGACAAACCUUAGUAAUGGCCAAGAGUUUCAGUACAAAUCUUUACAACGCUUUCACGUGAACUAAGACUUUAAUAAAACAUUAGAGUUUUAGCAGCUCCUAAAGUGAAACGUGGACCUUAAGACAAGAUUCGUAGAUAAGCCUUAAGAUUAGAGUCCGAAAGUGAGUCGCGAAAUGAAGAAAAAAUUAAUGCAAGGGUUUGUAACUAAGAGGAAUCGAACGUGAGAUCUUAAUUUGAUACUAUAUUAGAGAAACCACUUGAUUUAAAAGGUUAAACUAAUAGGUCAAGGCUUAACAUUAGUUCUUAGCACAAGUAUAUACAGGAAUAUAUUAAUUUCAUAUAUAGAUUUGAGGCUAGGCAUACCAAGAGCAAAGCAAUAAGCUCGGUCCUAUUAAGUGAUAUUGAGCUAUCUUCACCAUCCAGCAUCUCUAUAAAAAUCUGCAGGAAGUCCUUGUUGCGUCCAUCAAAUUUCAAUGUGCCUUUGGCGAUCAGAUUCUUACGCUUCUCAAUAGCGGAGUUAAAGAACUUUUCAACCCACAAAGCUAUCUCCUUACACUUCCUUUCAACUCCUUGUAAAUCAAACCUCGAAAGCACUGGAAAGAUGUCCGAAAUAUUCGGAACUCCUUGCAGCUCCAUGAUAUCAUCAAGCAAUUGUUUCAUCUCAAGAGUAUGAUCAUUAUGUCCCCCAGAGCCAGUGCCACCUCCCCACAGCAUGUUCUCAAGUGCAUUGAGUGAAGUUGAAACUGACACUUCACCAAUAUCUACAGGCUUGCCAAUCUUGUUAUUAUACAAAUCUCUAAUUGUAUUCUUCAGCACUUGUUUCCUUAGAUCUGAACAAGAAUCAAGGCUCGAAUUUGUCAUCAUCUCACCCACCAUUGCUUUUCUUAGUCUCCUCCACUGAGCUCCAUAUGGGGAAAACACUAUAUCAUUGCCUCCGAGUGUUGGUGUCAGAGUUGCUACCGUUGUUUGACGGUUAGAGAAUAUUGUGUCUUUAUCACGAACCAUUUCUUUGGCUAUUGACGAUGAGCUCACUACUACAAAUAAUUUGUUUGCCAGCCAGAAUUUGUAGAUAGGUCCAUAGGCUUCAGCCAAUUUUGUAAGUGACUUGUACAGGUCAGUGCCGAGAAAUGGAAGGUAACCCACCAACGGCAAGCCCCGAGGACCGGGCGGCAGCGGCGGAGCAGUUGCUUUCUUUGCUUUGGUUUUCGUGAGCCGGAUGAUCACAGCAGCUAAUACAACAACGGCUAUUGAAGUGACAAUUGCAGUAAGAUUUUCACAUAGCCAUGACAACAUGACAAAGGCCAUAUUGUUUUUUAGCAUUUACUUCUUGUAUGUGUGAUGCGUGUGUAUAUAUAUGUAAUUUAGUAUUAGAAACUCGAAUAACAAGAUUCUACUAAGCAGCCUUUUACCAUUCUAGUCAAUAGACGACAGUAUAAUAUAUGUAUAUAUUGUUUAAGUCAAGAAAUGCUAGCUAAAUAGCUUUCUUUCAAGUCAAUUAUAGACCAUAUGAUAAGGUGUAGCCCUGUGAGACGGAACUCAUAAUUCUAAAGAACACAGCUGUUUGUUAUCAGGAAGAAAUUCUACAGAAUUGUUUAGGAUAAAUUGAAUAAUGAAAAUAAAAAAAGUUGUGUCAUUUCAUUUUCUGUUGCACACUGACUUGUGUAGUAGGUGAUGAAUUGCACUUCGAUUUUCAAAAAUAAAGAGAAAUUAUAAAUUUUCCACAUAAAUUCAGGUGAAAGAUCAAUUCACAUAAACAAGAAACAUCUAACUAUUCAUUUUUUCCCCCCAUCAAUUUACAGCAAAUCGUUAAAAAUAACGGAACCUUUAACAUAAUUUAUAGUAAAAACUAUUUUACCCCUAAAACUGCUUUUGUGGAUAAAAAGACGAACUUAAUCCUCUGAAAAAAUUAUACAAUCAAUUAUUUAAAAAAAUUCCAUAAAAUAAUUAAGAAAAUAAAAUAAGUUGGAAUUAAAAGGGUUAAUUGAAUGGGUAGUUGGGUACAAAGUAGAUUAAAAAAAUAAAAAUAAGUGAGUCAUAAGUUCAAUAGACUUAUUUAUUCGAAUAAAUUGAAAUUAAGAAAGUAAAUUGAGUACCAAAUGCUUGGGAAAGCCGUAUUUGAUAAGUUCUUAUUUCCAACAUGAGUGUCGUUUUGGCCCAAAGUAACAAAAUUAAUGAAAUAAACCAAAAUUGGUUGGUGUGAGUGGUUCUGCACUCUCAUUCCUUAAGAGAAAUCAGGGGUUCAAGCCCUGCUCUCGUAUGGAGUCAUCACUUUGGCCAUCACUUUGGCCAGUACUUUACCCCUUACGGGCCGAUCCGGUACGAGCGGAGAUUAGUUUGGAUCGUGGUAUGGGCUUGAAAGUGCCUCCCACAGUUGGGGCCCACUCAGGACCACCUCGUGGUUCAGAAAAAAAAAAAAAAAACAGAAUUAAUGAAAUACUUCAAAUACUCCUGUGGGCUAUGACAUCAACAUUUCAUUAACUGUGUUGAGCAUUAGCUAUUUGGUAGUAAAUUGAUAAAAAUUGAAAAGUUAGGUGGCUUUGAACUAUUAUCCAAUUUAAUUCCUUGUCGUGAAUGAUUUCACACACGUCCUGUUAUUGCACUAACGUUCAUCGUAAGGACAACAAAGUUGCAGAUUUGCUAGCCAACAUUAGAUUAAGUUGUCCUCAAAUUUUCUUGAUUUGAUUAUCCUCCUUUUCAAGGAUAACUGAGUUUAUUUUAAAAAGAAAAAGGGUAGGAAAUUGAUAACUUUCAAAAAAUAAAUAGGGCUUGUUGAUGAUUAUUUUAGUAAUAUUUUCACUGCAACGUGUUCGCAAUAUUAUUAUCAACGGUCGUGCUUGUUGACAGCCAAAUGGUCAUUCUUUGGGCUGUUGAGUAGAGGCUAUCGUGCAAGCAAAUUUUCCUGCCAUCUUUAAUGAGGUUUUUUAAAUGCUAUUUUGUUUAAUUCAUAUUUUUCAUGCUAUACAUAUACUUAUCAUUGACCGUAUUUCGUAUGUCUUUAUUGACUGCCGCUGCGAACAUCACAUGCUUGUUUAGAGGCUUUCAGACUUUAAUGAGAUUUUUUGGAUACUAUACAUAUAUUUAUUUGAGUCAUAUUUCUCGCUUAGCUAGUGAUGAUGACAGCUCACAAGUACCCACUACUUGUUUGCAAGCCCGAAGCUAGUACUGUAAAUAACUUGAGGCCGGAGAUCAAAAUGAUUGAAGACAAACAAAAUUUGGUUGCAUGGCUUUUAUUUAAUGCAUGCAAGUGCGAAUAAGGCCACCGUCUAACUUGAUUGAUUUUUAUUAGUGCGACGGUACCUCAAUUUCUUUCUCACUAAUUAUGUACGAGAUUUGAACUACAAAACACAAGUGGUACUUUUAACUCAACAAUUAAGUUGACACCGUCGUCCAAAUUAAUUAUCAACCAGUAAUGUUGUGGAAUUCAAUUCUCACGUUAUGACCAAUUGAAUGGAUUGGCAAUUCAUGCUUCAUAUCUUUUUGGUUCAUGAUCAGAUAAUCAAUUAAUUACCUGUUACAAUUACAAUUCCUAAAUUUAUUAGCUUUUCAUAUCAGUUAACAUAUUCUUGAUUGUUUUCAUCUCCACCAAUAUUCUCCCACAUCAAUCUAAAAUACGACCCCGUAAUUGGGUCUUCUCUACAAAUAAAACUAAACACUUUUUAUUCGGUUUAUUAUGAAUUGUGCUCUUGUAUUUUGAAUUUUGAUGGCUAAAUUCAAUAAGAUUAAUUGGUACUUCAAAUUUCAAUGUACUUUCAUGAUUGGAUUGAUAGCCUUAAAUUAUUUUGAAUUAGUUUGAUAGAAAUUAGAUAAACUGAAAUAAAGUUUAGGCAAUUACAUAAUUCCCCAAAAAAAAAAACUUUAAAUAACAAAAAAUAAUCUGAAGAUGCCAAAAUUAGUCCCAAAAAGACUAAAACUACCAGUGGCACUACUCCCAUUUAUAACUCUUUUAAAACCCUUUUUAUCUGUUUUUACAGUCUUACCCUUAAUUGAAAGCAACUUCGUAAUCCUUUAGUAUGAUCUUUCUCUCACUAUAAAAACUAUACACACCCAUUUAGAUAUUUCUUUCUUUAAUUGUGAAGCUUGAAUAUGAAACAAAUCAACAAAAACUUAGCUAAUAUUUAAUUUUGCAUAUCCUUCAUUAUUUUCAAAAUUCUUCUACGAUUCGGUAAGAAGAACUUCGAUGACCUUCUCUACAAUUGAGUUUUGAGAUUUGACUCUUAGCAAAAAUUGAGUUCAUUUCCAUAAUUAUUGAUCAAUUAUUAUUAUUUUUUUUUUUAGGAGAGUGAAGACCAUUAAACUUGUUGAAUUUUUUGUGUGUUUUAAUUUGAAAUUUUAAGAAACAAGAAAAGAAAUAAUAUUGGAUUUUUUUUAAAAGAAAAGUAGCAAUAAAAAAGAUGAUCGUUAGAAAUGCGAAUUAUAUCCUUAAACUAAAAUAUAAAUUUGUUACAUAACAGACCCGGGGAGGCAAGGAGAAGGAGGCACUCAGUUACUGUGUAAAAAUAACUAAGAAAUUAAAGUGUAUUUUCGAAAAUACCCUUGAAACGGGUUUUAUAAGGAAUUUGAAUGAGUGCUAAAAGUGCUACUGCCAAAUAAUUAACCCAAAUAAAGAUGGCCCAGCCCAAAUGGAAGCCGCGAAUCGAUCCAAACUCUGCAACAUUUUUCGUGAUCGGGUCGGGUUCAGAACUCCCAUUAGCCGAUUACCAUAUUAUAGCUCACCAGAAAAUAUUUGGCAAUGGAAGUGCCUUGAUGAAUAAUUCUUGUCUAGAAUGCCCAUAAUCCAAUAAAAGAUCUAAAUGGUGCGGUUUUUUUUUUUUUUUUUUGGUUGCUUUGAUUUGAAUAAAAGAGGGGAAAAUCGCACUUACACUGUUAAGGUUUGGAAAAAUAUUAUGUAAACCCCAAAUUUUCAAUAAGGGAUAGUAAGAUCAUCUCUUGAUUAUAAUAUCAUUUGACUUUAUUAACUCAAAAAAAAAACAUUGGGGGUCUUGGUGUUCCUCAUUGACUAUUUUCUCAAACUUUGAGAGCGUAAAUGUUCUCUUCCCAUAAAAGAAACCUAGUUGCCACAUUAUUUUCAAAAUAACGGUGUAUGGGAUUUUUAAUUCAUCAGGCCAAUAGUAGUGCCUUGAUGAAUUAUUAGAGGUUGAAAAACAUGACUAGCUUACCCCAAUUUCUAAUUAACUCAUAUCAAAACCCUCACGUAUCUUUCUUUAGUUACUAAAAACUAAAAGAAAGGGACGGGAAUCCCUAUCACAAUGUUGUGGUGGAUUAAAUGAUUUCAUUAUGAUCUACGAUCUUCAUAUCCGAUAAAAAUUAAGACCUUUUUAAUUGGUUAAUUUUUCCAUCACUAGAGCAUUAGCAUUCCUUUUCCUUCCGAUUUUCUUUUUCUGGAAAAAUGUCCUUCACAUGUUAUCUUAUAACAUUGAGUACAAUGAUAUUGGUCACAUGAAUUCGGACGAGUAAACAUUUUAUGCUAAUUAACUGGCAAAGAAAUGAGAGGGUCAUGUGCAUACACAUAUGUGUUGGUUUUCAAAACAUCGAAUCCACAUCCAAAAGUAUGGAGAGUAAUAUUUAGUUAAUAUUGAGAAAUUAAUUUUAGAGUGGCAAUUAGUCCACGAAAUGGAUGGAAGAUUAUUUCUUUUGCACUGGGAAAUCAUCCUGACAAUGGUAGAAAUUGGUCUUUCUGAGAAUGCUUUAAGCAAGUCUUGAUGUCUCUGCUUUUUGCUACUUCUUGUUCUUGCCGUCGCUAUUUCCUUUGUUCACCGUUUGCCGUAUUUACUCGUUGUUUUUACUCAUUUUAGCAGCAGUCUGUAAUGUCACAUGUGCCUUGAGCAUUUGUUUUGUUAUCAGUUUGCUUUCUAAUCAAAUCAUGUAAAAUUUUUACUUUUACUCUCUUUUCUCUUCUUCAAUAAAAUUUCGUAUCAUUCAUUUACAAAUUUCUUUUUUCUGCAUUCAAAAAAUUUAUCCGAGUGAUAUGAAGAGAAAAUUCAAAAGAUUGGGUGUUACUACCUGCACUCAAAAUAAUACUCCAGACACCACUUUCUAACGAGAGUUUUUAUUAAUCAAAUAUUUGAUUAAAAUCAAAUUACAAUAAAGGAUCAAUAAGUUACCUUACUCAAUAUAUCUCAACUUUAAGCAUGAUGUUAUCCUCCUUGAUCUAAAGCUGCAAAAGUUAGAGAGAACCUAAUUAAUACAAGCAAAACUAAAGUCCUUACGGCCCCCCUUUCGGAUUGGAGUUGAAACUCAAUAAACUGCUUAUUUUAUAAUUUUUGACAAAAAUAGUGUUUCGUAAUUUUAUAAAAACUAUUUAUUUCAUAAUUGUCACCAUUUUGAGGCUACCGCUAGCAUGCUGGUCAUCACGUCCUGGCACAAUGCCGGAAUUAGAAAACAAACCGUUGGAUUCAAUUAGUCAUUUAAAAUUAAAAAGGAAUGGCAACCGUAUGGAUACGUUAUUCACAGCUUUUUAGGGUUUCAAAUCCCUAAAAUUUUUUGCCAAUCCACAUAUUGCUUUCACCUGAACUUCAAAAUCACCAUCCCUCAAUCGCGCGCCUUCACCGAUCUGAUCCAUCGCUGAUAGCCAUGUUUCGUACUUCUGUGCUGUGGUCAAUCAAUUUCACUGAAGCCGCUGAUCAAAUCUGACCUUCAAUCACUUCCAUCGACAGAAGCCAUUACACGGAUCACCCCCAUUUGCGAAGAUCUACCGGGAAAUCAGUUGAUGUUCAGCUGAUCAAAUCUGACCUUCAAUCACUUCCAACGACAACCAGACUCAUGAACGUCUUUUCAUCAAAUUCUGGCCGUCCGCGAUCAUCAUCGACAUCGUCACCACGAGAGCAGCUGCAUCUCAUUUAGUGAAAAACUUGCUUCUACAUUUUAUUUUAUUUUUUUCUGUUCUCUUGCUAGAUUUAUAAUCGUUGUUUUGUGUUCAAUUUUUAUGCAUAUAUGUACCCUAUUUUCACAAUUUCAUAAAUAAUGUUUUUAAAAUUAACGGGUAACAAUGAAGCUGACGGAUCCUGUUGGAUAAUUAAAAGAGGAUACACCGCUUCCUAAAUGUUCGUUUUUCAAAUUCUUAAAACAUAUUUUGCUUCAUUUUUGGUCAGUUUUUAGGAUAUAAUGCUUUUUUUUUUCGUUUUUAAUGUAUUAUUCUACAAUCCUUCAAUGCUUGAGUGGGUAGCUUCCCCCAUUACACUGAUGGAUCUUUAUCAUUCUAUAAUCUGCACAUGUUAAUAGAUUAUUUUGUUGGGAAUAUUUCAAUUAUAUUUAUUUGCCUUAUUGUGGUAUAUUAAAAUUUUAGAAUCUAUUUGCAGGUGCCUUUUUUUUUUUUUUUUUUGUGUAACUGCAUUGGAGAAAGCUGCAAAUUUUGUCAUUCACUUGAUAUUUAGGAUAACAAGUCGAGAUCUUAUUGUUCAUGAUAAUAAUGAGGGAAAUUUUCCAUUGCUCAAGACAUGUAGAGGAACACAAUGGUGAAAAUUAAUUCAUGUAUGGCGUGCACCCUUAACUCUUCUUUACACACAUUUUUUUGUAAUUACAAAGUCUUGAGAUGCCUUUGUUUAGGGAUUUCAUUUACAAGCUUUUGAUGAAAUUAUUCUUAAGUUGUAAUGAGAUUGGACAAUGCUCAUAUUUUCUUAAGAUGCUGUUUAUAUUAAUUUUGUUUUACCUUUUCUAUUUUUAUAAUUGAGUAUUCUUGAUUUCGCAACAAUUAAAGUUAAACAUGCAAUAGUAGAUAUUAAAUAUGAGUCCGAUGUAAACAUGCAACAGAAUACAUGAUACAUGUGACAGACGAUGUCAAACAUGCAAUAUAAAUGUCAAACAUAAAACUAGUGGGGAAAUAAUCAUUUUUGGCACUUUUUCUAACAUGAAACACCAAGCUUCUAAGAUGUAACAAGUGAUGUAAAACAUGAAACGUGAAACCUACAUGUAAAAACAUAACAUGAGAUAUGCAAUAAUUAAAGCUAAACAUGCAAUGGUAGAUAUUAAAAAUGAGUACUACAAGAAAACUGUCAAUAAAUGACAAUCACUUUAUGACCGAUUUCAUUCUAUCAUAAAAAUAUGAUAGAUUCUGUUGGAGAAUUUGAAGAACAAAACACAAAUUUUAUUAGAGAAAGCUCAACAACCUUACAAGAACAAUUCACACACUCUCACAAAUCACUCUUAGGAGCUAUGUUUUGCUUCUUAUUCUUUCUUCUUCUUACACUUGAUACAUACAACACAAAUGACAUAGGUAUUUAUAGUGAAUGAAACAAAAACAUAAUCAUAACAAUACACAUCACCUAACAUGUUCCACCAAGCUUUCAUCAUAGCAUCACUUCACCUAACAUGCUCUAAAGGAAUCCUUUAAUAGCAUCCAAAGUGUAAAGCUAAUCUCCACUCAAUUAGAUGCUUCAUGAACAUAACAUGGUAGGACCAUGAUGAUGGAGAAUGAAGAAGGGUCAUGUGCAACUCAACACCUCAUUCCACUUAAAUGAAUUAUUUAUGUAAAACAAGUUUAUUGUUUUCAACAAAUUCGUGAUAAAAUUUCUAUCUAUCAAAAGAUUAAUAAUGGACUUAUGAUAGAAUUAUUGUCUAUAAAAAAUGUAUGACAGUAUAGUGAUAUAAAUUUUCACUAUCAAGAACUUUGUGGUAGAAAUUUAUUUUGACCAUGAGUGACUGUACUUUAAAUCAUAAAUUUAUUUUUAAAAAAAGGAAGCAAAAAGCAGCGUUUUAGUAGAAAAUAAUAUUAAAAAUAAAAAAACCCGAUUUCCCCUGGCCCCCUCACUCCUCAGCCUCAAAUCCUAAUCUUAUCCCCUCAAGUCAAAAAAUAUUUGCUAGGUGUAGAUUUGUUUCAUGUGUUCUGUAAAAAAGAAGCUACUCCAAUCGGAAAGAGCUACGGUCUUGAAUUAAUAGUGCACCCAAUUUUGGAAGAAUCUUACAGCAUUAAAUGAUUUUUUCAUAGCAUUCAUUUGUAUUGUUCAACUUAUACACCUUUAGCUAUGUCCUUUGCUAUGUCUGCAUACGAAAUAGAGUUCAUUUAUUAAUCUGUACUCUGUUUUUUUGAAGCUUGUCCACAUCCAUUUGCACUUUUAAAUAUUAUGUCCAUUGCUUGUAAGAGUCUAGAUAUCAUCAUGAUCUCAGGAUUCUACUCCCUUAGUGUAAAUGUUAUCCACUCAUGGACAAAAUUAUAGACAGGUUCAGACUAAUAUGAGCAUCCACAUUAAUAAGCACUAGCCCAUGACUUUAUUGCCUUUUCUUUGCUAGACCAACACCAUCCACAUAUAUAUUUUCUAGUACACAUAUGCAAAAGCUUCAAGCAAUUGGCAAUAAUUGUAGAGGUGAUAAUUUCCUAGAAAUUUAAAUGACCUAUAUAUUGGUGGAACCAUGACCUUAUAUUCUUAAUGAAGAGAAUUAUAGGCUUUAGCUUGAAACCAUUACCUUGGUUGCCUUCUUGAAUUUAGAAUCCCUUAUCUUUUCUAGUAGGAUUUAAAGGACCAAAAUUUCAUAUGCUUUAUUUAAAUUUCUUUUAAUUUUUUCCUAUUAUUAUUAUUAUAUUUUUGGGCUAGAGCAUACUAUUUUUUCCCAAUACUAUUAUAAUUAUUAUUAUUUUCCAGCUUGUUUUGUUGAAUAUAAUAUCUAAUUAUUUUACCUUUUAAAACAAGCAAGCAACCAGUUAUGCUAAAUUAAUUUUUAUUUUCAAAACGAUUUAUUAAGUUUCAAUUUAUUCUGGCAAACUGACCAUAUAUUAUAUGAAUUUUGUAGGUUUAUUUUAUGCUCGCACAAAUGAAUUCAACAAUAUUCGUUGCUAGGUUUGGGGCGACCGUGCAAAGAUUAUUGACCAAGAUGAUUAAAUAUAUGUCUAAAAUCUAAAAGGUGAGAUUCUUAACUUCUAUAAUUGUUCUUAACUAAGCUCAACUAAGCUUUCAAGUGACGAUUAGAUACAUAGGUUUGCCUAGGGACUUCUAUUGCGUACUUUUAAUUGCAUCCUAGAUCUAUUUAUAUGAAAAUAACUCUGUUUGCCCAUUCUUAAAUUGUAUUAUAUCGUUAAUUUGUUCAGCUUGUUUCAUCUCUUAACUAUCAGCUGCUCAAGAGAUUAGAGUGCACACAUAAUACUUGAAAUAUUAUGAUGGACAGUUAUGCCUAUUACUUUUAUUCUUCUUUUAUUGGGAUAGGGAUAACAUUUGGAGCUACGAGAUUUGUGGCAGAGACGGGCUGCUAGUAUUCUUGAGGUUAAUGGGAAAACUGAGGUUCAAGUUGGAUUUGAAUGGUGAUUACCAAUUGUAAUUUUGUUGAUGUAAUCUCAAUCAUUUUUUACCAUUUGGUUUAAUGUAUUUGAGAUUUGGUGUGUGAACUAACAUUUUGUUGAUAUUAUAAUUUUUUUAGAUUUGAUUGUAUUUUAUUUUUAUUUUUGUUAUAGUAAUAUUAGAAUUUAACUUUUAAAAGCAGCAAAAAAAAUCCUAGAAAUUUAUAAUUGUUGAUUAAAAAAUAUUAUUUAAAAAAUAAAGUUUAUGAUAAAAAAAAAUUACAGUCAUAAAAAUCAUCAAUUUAGUGUGAUAGACUUGUGACUUAUAAAAAUUAUCAUAGCUAUUAUGAUAGAUUUUUUUCUAUCAUAAAUGAGUGACAGGUACUUAGAUGAUAGAUAAAUUGUCUAUCAUUCGCCUCCAUUUAUGAUUGUUUUUUUCUGUCAUUUAUUGUCAGUUUCUUGUACUAGAGUCUGAUGUAAACAUGUAAUAGAGUAUAUAAUACAUGUGAUAGCGAUGUUGAACAUACAACAUGAACGUCAAAUAUGAAAUAGGCGAGAAAAUAAUUAUUUUUGACUUUUUUUCUAACAUAAAAUGCCAGACUUUAAAGACGCAACAUGUCAUGUAAAACAUGAAAUAUGAAAUUUACAUGUAAAAAUGUAACAUGAGACAUGCAAUAAUUAAAGCUAAACAUGCAACAUUAGACAUGAGUCUGUUGUAAACAUGAAACAGUGUAUAUGAUACAUGUGAUAGACGGUGUUAUACACGAUGUUAGAAAUUUAUAAUCUCACUGAGGAUCUUACAAGAAAAACUAUCAAACAAAUAAUAAAUAAAUAAAUAAAUGGAGAAUAAAAUCAAUCAUACAACUGAAAUACUAACUAGGCAACCCAAGAGGGGGGUGAAUUGGGUUUCUAAAAAUUUAAGCAAUUAAAACUUAAUGCAAUUUAAACAAAGCAACCAAUUCGAAAUAAACCAAUUAAUAUGCAAUGAAAAAUAAAGAGAUAGGGUAAGAGAGAGCAAACACACAAUUUUUACAUGGUUCGGCCAACCGUGCCUACGUCCACGCCUCCAAGCUCAUCAAGCUUGAGGAUUUCACUAAGCAAGCCUCCAAGGCUCCAAUAACUCUUACAAUUGGCUUCUAAGGUGUUAAUACACCUUUACAACAAGAGAUUAUCCUCAAUCUUUUAACCCAAGUGUAUCCCAACACUUACAAUCAUUCAACUUGAUUUUACAAAAAGGAUUGCAAAAAAAAUUUCUCGCACACAAUGUAUUUGAUUACAAAUGAAAGCUCAAUGUGUGAAUGAAUGAAAUGAAUACACAAAUUUUAUGCUCAUAUUGCAAAGGAUUGCUUAAUGAUGAUAGUAGUUGUCUCACUUUAAUUGAAUUUGAUUUAAGCCAUUUUAUAGUUGGAAGAGAAAACUAGCCGUUAUUGACUUUCUAGUGAUAACCGGCUUGCCACUUUAUGUUAACCAGAUUGCCUCUUGAUGUUACCAUUAUAUUCAAAGAUUUGAAUUUUUGAACAUAAGAUUUGCCGCUUUUCAUUUUUCGGUUAGCCGUUUUUACUCCAGAGAGCUUUUGCUUGAUAACUGGUUUGCCGCUUUGGUAAAUCCGGUUAGCCGUUUGCUACAGUGAAACAACUAUUUUCCAAAAUUACAAAAAUGCCCUAAAAAUUUAUAAAAUUAUACUAUAACUCAAAUCUUUAUAAAACUUUGCAAAUAUGUCAACUUUUAGAAUUUUUAAACAAUACUUGUUAAUUUCAAAGUUCUCAAUACUUUUCAAUUUAAACCAUAAACUUGAAAACAACCAAUUUCACAAAAUCAUUUUCUUUUUUCAAAAACAUAAUGUGUAAUUCUUUAUUUAUCCAAAACAUGUGGUUUGUUAUCAUCAAAAUCAAUAUUUUAUAGUCAUAUAGGCUAAUAACAACAUUAAGAAUUUACAUGAAAACUCUGUACUGGAGAAAAACCACUGCUGUCAAGGAUGACGAGAAAAAAAUCUACUAUGUGAAAAAUUAUCACAAUCACUUUAGUUUUUUUCCUUAAAUCCAAAAUCUCAAUCUGUCAAUAGACCUACUGUUUCUCUCACACUAGAAACUAUCUACUUAUAGGGAAUUGAUUGUUGUGUUAUACCAACAAAUGGAUCCAAUUUCCCUAUAUAUAGUGAUUAUUUCUUGUAGGAGAAGUAUUCCUUUUCUUAUACUAGCUAUAUUCCUCCUUGAAUAAGUCAAGUCCCAAAGGAGAAAUUAUUUAUUCCUUAAAUAGGAAUCCUGCAAAAUAAGAAAAUAUUCUAAGAAAUCCUUAUUGAAAAAUAAGACAUAUUUCUUAACAAUCUCCACCUUGGCGAGUUUUUCAAUUAGGUGACAAAACAUGAUCCAUCAUGUAUCCACACAACCAUGUCGUCUCCACCCAUUUUUACUCCACCCAAAACUACACUCACAUAGGGCUUAUGAGAAUCACUCCACCACGGGUAAAUCUUGUCCUCUAUACAGCAGCCAGAAUUCUCUACACCAAAAAUUAUCAUGCUUUACUAUAUCUAGAGUACACAUAUUUGGCAUGUGUCAAUCAUCUUGUUGAGAUUACCCACUCUCAUAUUUGGCUUGCCUGAAAGUCUUUAGCCAUUCACAUAAAAAUUCCACCACACACCUUGCAUAAAUGCCAAAUCAUGCCUUGUGUGUAAAUAUUGUGGACCCAGGAGGAUGUCUUCAUCAUCUAUUACAAGGGACCAUUUACUUGCUCCCAUGGCAUUUACUUGCUCCCACAAUGAUAAAAAACUUUCUGUUAGCGAUACUAUUGGUGUCUUCAUAUACUGACUUGGAGCCACUUAACGAACUUGCUCUAUUUACUUUUUGACAAUCUCUUUUAUGAUGCCUUGAUUACCAACUGUCAAUGCCGAAUCAUUAGAAGCUUUAUUACUUUCACCACUUAACCUUUUUUCUUCUAAAAGUAAAGUACUAGUAACUUUUCAAGAUCCACAGUUUGCUCCCAUACAUUAAAGUAGGCAACGAAUGCUUAUAGGAAGUUGGAAGAGACCACAACGGUCUAAGCGCCUAGUCCUCGUCUUCAAUUUUAGCUCCAAUUGCCUCUAUUCUGUCACGAUGCAAUUGAGAGUACGAAAAUCAUCAGAAAUUUUUGUACCUUUAAUUAUUAUUAGCGUAUGAAACUGCUCUUUAAGGUAAAAAUGAUUAUAGAUGUUCUUUGUCUAAUACAAAAUUUCUAGCCUCUCUCAAAGUUCUUUUCUCGAAUGAAUUUUUUCUACAUUUGCAAGAACAAUCUUUGCUAGAUAAUUGUAAAGCACUUGCAACUCUUUCAUCCAAUUCUUCCCAAUCUUCAUCGCUCAUAAUAGAUUUCCUAGAGUCACUACUAGAAGUAAGGGAUGGUUUGCCCUUCAAAGCCUUGUGUAGCCCAGAUUGAAUCAAUACAUCCUUGACUUGAAUUUUCCACAAGCCAAAAUUGAUUCUUCCAUCAAGCUUUUCAACCCCAAUCCUUAUAGCCUUACAGGAUUUGAAAAUUUGUUUGCAGAUAUAAUUACUUUACAAAACAAUCUUUAGCUCUGAUAUCGCUUGUUAGGAAUUUUUAAUCCCACCAAGAUCUUGCAAGCAAAAAUAUCAACAAAGUAAUAAACAAAAAAAUAGAUGGAGAAUAAAAUCAAUCAUACAACACAAAAUUUUACGUGAAAAUUCCUAUACUAGAGAAAAACCAUGGCUACCAAGGACAAUGAGAGAAAAAUUCACUAUGUGAAAAUUUAUUACAAUCACUUUAGAAUCUUUUUCUCACACCCAAAACCCCAAUAUCACUCUCAAUAGAUCUACUGUUUCUCUCAUACUAGAAACUCUCUACUUGCAAAGAAUUGAUUGUUGUGUUAUACCAAUAAGUGAACAUAACCUUCCUAUAUAUAGUGAUUAUUUCUUAUAGGAGAAAUAUUCAUUUUCUUAUACUACUUAUAUUCCUCCUUGAAUAAGUCAAAUCCCACCUUAAAUAAGAAUCUUACUAAAUAAGAAAAUAUCCUAAGAAAUCAUUAUUGAAAAAUAAGACAUAUUUCCUAACAUAUGAAACGUGAAUGUCAACAUGAAAUUGGUAUUUAGAAUUAUAAGAUUGAAACAAGUAACAAUAUACUUGAAGAUUUUAAUGUUAAACAUGAGACAUCAGAUAUAAAAUAAGAAACAAAUUUAUGUCCUUUAGUAUAUAAUUUUUUUACUUUUUCUUUCUAAAUUUUUUAAUUAAUAUAUUAUUUUAUUUUAUUAUUUAAAAUUUAAAAUUAAAUUAAAUUAAAUAGAGCAACCAGUUGAUUAACCGGUUUCCCCAGGUCUCAGGCUUUCUUUUUGAGAGCUUAGCACCUUGCUACUAAACUGCCUCCCCCAGCAUUAUGGCCACAUCCCCAUUUUGACAGUAACUUUUAAACGCAGGUAAGUGGUUGCUUUUUAUAAGAACUUAUUAAAUAAAUAACCACACCUUUUUUAAGUUCUUAUUAUAACCUUAAUAUUUUAAUAAAAAAAGACACUUAUUUCUUAUUUUUACACAAACCUAAUAUAUGAACCAUUCGAUAUUAUAUUACUGCCACGAUCAAAUUAUGCUAAUAACAAUUAUAUCAUCACAGCCCUGGCAUUAUGUAGAAUUAUAUGAGUAAGCACGCACAACAUGAUCUCCAUUUUGAUAGUAUUGAAAAUGACCCUAAUUCAAUCUUUUAUAAAGGAAUAGAAAGAGAUAAUGACAGUGAAGAAGAGUAUUACAACACUAAUAGCUCUGGAUCAUAAGAAUGGAAAAUUUGACGAUUAUUAUUGUAACAAGUUAAUGUAAAUAUAAUGCAUAUUACAUUUUAUUUUAUUUGGAUUAUAUAUUAGUAUGAAUUUCAUCAUAUUUUAUGUAACAAAUUAUGAAGUUCAUUAGAUAUUAUUUAAUUGAGUUUUUUCACUUUAUGAAAUUUUAUGUAUUAAAAAAAGGCAUGUGUACACAAUUUACUAAAUAUACUCUAAAAAUAAAGUUAUUUUAGUCAUUAUACAAUAAAACGACACUUUUAUAAUAAAAUUUUCUAAAUGCAUGUACUUUACUUUUCAAAUUCACAACAACAGGAACAACAUAUUUAACCAAACACCAAGCUGCUUUAAUCAACUACUUAUUUUAUAUGUAUAAUAUAAGUAACUUAUUUGAUCAGAUACCGCAAUCUCAAAAUUGGCCCUAACUCUAAUUGAAAUGACCAAAUCAGUCUUGCACUACUAAUUUCAACCACCCAAUCUUCUGGGACGGUACCAAAAUUUUGGUUUUAAGGGGCCAAAAUGCAGAAGUCAUAAAUUUAGGUUCGCUGUAAACACAAAAUAAAAUAAAAUUGUGGAUGCCAACAAUAAAGACUAUAAUGUAGGAACUAUAAAUUUGUAUAGGCUUUAGCAUAAUAUUUUUAAAAUUAAGGGGACGAACGUAAAACAUACAUCGAAUUCGGUAUAUUUUCAUUUCAUCCCUUACAAUAUUAUUUUUUUUCCCUUUUUUUUUUUGUUUUUGAGGGGACGUCAGGGCCUCUUACGUCAUCAUCUGGUUCCGCCUCUGCUGAAGCCCAAAAGUUCUGUGACUCACUUAAAUAAGGGUUAUUUUAGCUUCUUCUUUUUUUUUUAAUUAGGGAUCAAGGGUGUAUUAAGGAAAAAAUAAAUUAUAUACUAAUUUCAAAUAUUAAAAAACUAUGGAUCUCAAUGUUAUUUUACUAUAAGCAUAUAAGAGUUUUUUUGAGAGUGAGGCCGAGCUCCAUGCCGCCCGCCUAAAAAUAAAUAUAAUUAUUAGAUAGAUGACUUAAAUUAAUUUUACUCAUUUAUUUAUUAAUCGUGUGGAUUUUUCCAAACUCAAGCCGGGGUAUCUGUAAAUUGUUUCCCAAGGAAUGCUAUGGCCAUCUAAGAAUAUAUAUAAACAAGAUCUUUUAGACAUAAAAUAAAUAAAGGCCAUGUGACAACAGCCGUGAAGUGCGGCAGCAGGCACCAUUGAUUAAUCUUUAAAAUAAAAUAAUACUCAUUAACUGGCUUAUUGCGUGCAUCUUCUAUUCUUCUGAACAUUUUGACAAAUUAAACACAUCAACACAUUUGUCCACUUUUGAAUUUCGGCAACAUGGUUGAAGCGAUCGUUUCCAUUGCAUUGGAGCUGCUAAAUUCAUCGAUGGCUGUCGUGGGUGGUAUCAUCGAUCGCCAAGAACUUAAAAAGCUUAAAGAAAAUUUUGAAGCCAUUCACUCUAUGCUUCUAGAUACAGAAGAAGAACAAACAGAAACUAUGAAGCAGCCACGUGGGAGAGUACUUUGGGUACAAAAGCUCAAAGAGGCAUCCUACGACUUGGAAGACGUGUUGGAUGAGUUGAUCACUUCAAGGCGAAAUCGAGUGUGCUGAGAAAAUUGAUAAGAAAAAGAACAAGGUACGGUGCUUGUGCUUCGGCUUCAAACAAGUCUUUUUGCGUUGUGGUACUGCAUUUAAGAUAAAAGCAAUCAACAAAGGCUAGAUGAUAUAAUUGCCAUCAAGAAACAAAUGUUUAAUUUUACUUCCUUACUUGAUGAAUCUGAGAAAAGCAAAUUGUUAUAUGAGAGUAGUAAAGUACAACAGGGUGGAAUAGGAAUAAAGACAAUUUUGCAUAAAUUUGGGAAUCUCUUGUGCUUAAGAAGAGCAAGAAAAGAAAGGGGAAGUAGUAUUUUAGAUAUUGAGAUGGGGAAGCUAAAUGAGCUUGAAAAUGAUCCUUUAGCCCCUCUGCUAUUAAGUUAUAAUGAUUUUCCUCCAAUGAUAAAAUUGUGUUUCUUGUAUUGUGCUGUCUUUCCAAAAGACUACAAUAUAGAGAAAGAUGAAUUGAUCAAAUUAUGGAUGGCUCAAGGUUACAUUAGGCCGAUCGGAAAUAAAGAGAUGGAAGUAAUUGGUCAAGAAUAUUUUGAUUACUUAGCCACACGAUCAUUCUUCCAAAAGUUUGAUAAAGAUGAUGAGGAUAAUGUUACAAGGUGUAAAAUGAGUGAUGCAGUGCAUGAUUUUGCACAAUUUCUUACCAAACACGAAUAUUUUUCAAUUGAAGCAGAUGGUUCUGAGGAAUCGUUGACAAAAACUUCUCUAGAGAAAUUUCGUCAUUCAAUAUUGGUGCUUGGCAGACGUGCUUCAUUUCCUGUUUCUAUAUUCAAAGCCAAAAAGUUACGUAGUCUUUUAAUUCAUAGCGAAUUUGAAGUCUCUUUUCAUGUCCUACAAGGCUUAUUUGAUUAUUUGACAUGUUUGAGGGCAUUAAAAAUUACUGGAAAGGUUUCUUGGGGUCAGAAUUCAAUCUACGCAAUUCCUAAAGAGAAAGAAAAAUUGGUACAUUUAAGAUAUCUUAAAUUGUCCCUGCUGCUAAUGAGGGAAGAAUUGCCCGACAUAGUAUGUGAAUUAUUUAAUUUGCAAACCUUAGAGGUGGAGCACUGUCCUCGCUUGAAAAGAUUACCCCAAGGAAUAGGAAAGUUAGUUAAUCUGAGGCAUUUGAUAUGUUAUUACAGUAAUUUGGAUUACAUGCCCAAAGGGUUUGAGAGAUUGACUUGUCUUCGGACGUUAACUGUGUUUGUAGUGAGUGGUGGUAAAUAUAGUGGCAAAGCAUGUAACAUCGAAGGUCUCAGACACUUGAACCACCUCGGAGGGGUUUUUCGAAUUACUGGAUUGGGAAAUGUGACUGAUGUUGAUGAGGCUGAAAAUGCAGAGCUUGAGAAAAAGAGGAAUGUAGUUGAUUUGGGAUUGUGGUUCGAUAAGGAUGAAGAAGGAGAAGAAGCGGACCACGAAGAAAUUAUCGAAGCCUUAAAACCACAUUCAAAUCUAGUGGCAUUAGACAUACUUGGCUUUAAAGGCAAGAUUACAUUCCCUAAAUGGAUAAUGUCAUUGAACAAUCUGAAGUCUUUGCAUCUCAGAAGUUGUGAGAAGUGUGAGAUUCUGCCUCCGCUGGGAAAACUGCCAUCCCUUGAAACACUCUAUAUAGCGGGUAUGAGUGGGAAAAGAGUGGGUGAUGAAUUUUUCGGAAUAGGAAGUGAUUGUAAUAUUGCCCUAAAUUGAAAUUUCUGAGAGUUGUGGAUAUGUUUGAAUGGGAAGAGUGGGGUUUUGGCAUAACACAGAGUAAUGUAAAAGAAGAUGUUAUGGUAAUGCCGUGUCUAAAUUACUUGGAUAUUCAGUUUUGCUUCAAAUUGAAGGCCCUCCCAGGAUACCUCCUUGAGAUCACGGCAUUGGAGAAACUGGAGAUUCUUUGUUGUCCUAUUUUUGAACAACGAUACAGAAAGGGGACCGGAGAGGAUUGGUCAAAGGUAGCUCACGUUCCUACCAUCACAAUUAAUCGUCAAUAUGUCCAAGGUAUUUCUUCUCUUCGGUUUUCAAUUUAAUGAGAAUGACAUUUAGUCUCUCUUACAACUAGUUUUUAACAUUACCUGAUAGAUAUUUAGUACCUCAUUUUAUCGCUUGAGUUAAAAUACCCAAAAAAAAAAAAAUUUGAAAGAUAUCUUAAUAUUUACCUUUUAACGGUGUGUUUUUCUGGCACCGUUUGGACACCACGAAUGAAGUGAUGUAUUAACAUAAAAAUCUUGGAAGGACUAAAAUGAUAAAACAAGUUCUAAGAGAGACUAAAAUAUCACUCCUAAAAGAUUGAAAUAACAAAAUACUAUUUCAAGUACUCUUAUCUUAUGAUGACUUCAAACAGUCUCACUGGACUAGUCAUUCUUUGUUGCGGCCAUCCUAUAAGAGCUUUAAUUGUCCUUAACAAUGCCACGCCAAAUUUGAAUUCUCUUAAGCGGCCGCCAUUAUUCCUGUAGCAUCACUCGCAGGUAGUUUUCUAUGUAGCUUAUUUUUUUCUUUUUUUGUUUGAAAUCUCAUCGAGGGUAGAUGAAAACACUUUGAAUUUUAUAUGGCUAUUACUUUUUAUUAUGUAAACUCGUUUAUUCUGUUCCGUGCGGUUUACGUUUUUUCUUGUGAUUGCUGGAAGAGAAAUAAUAGAACAGAUGAAGCUUUUGAAACUUAUAGCUAGUCCAGUGUUUCUGGAUUCGAUAAGAGACUAUGGCUACAAUAAGAUGAGUGAACAAUAUCAAUUUUUAUUGGAUCCAGUAUUUGGGUCACUCCACUCAAACACAAAAUGAAAAAUUGAAAAUUGUCUCAACUGUUAUAAUGUAAUUAAAAACCGCUAUACUUUUAGUUCAGUGCUUUAUAUAAAAGAAUGAAACAUAUACAUGAAUCGAAGAAAGUUAAUAGAAGUAUUUGUCAUUUACAUAGCUCUGGUCGCCAUCUCCUCCAACCAUGGGAGUGGGAAGUGAAUUGGGCAAAUUUUGUGUCUCGCCGUAGGGCAUCUCAUCGAACUUCCAUUUAUUAGGUUAAGAAGUUUGCUUCUUCGAUUCAAGCUGGCUUCAAUGGUAUAUAAUAAUUUGAUUUUGAAUAAUGCAUAUAUAUAAUUCUUCAACGUUUUAGUUCAUCAAUAUAUUUUGACAGUCUAUAAUAUUAUUUAAUAAAUCAUGACACUGAGAUGAGAUCCGGGUAAGUAUGAUUAUGAGUGCUCGAGUUGAGGAAUCUUAAGAAAUGUUGUAGUAAUUUGAAAUAUGUUUGUGUUUUUUUUUUUCUUGUUUUCAAUUGAAAGCAUAUUAACAAGAAAUCUUAAUGAUCUUAAGAAACGUUAUAAUAUCCCACGAGUACUUAUUUUUUAAAAUUAAUAUUUUACGUUUUAAAAAAAAAUUAGCGGGCCAUAUAAUCAGGAGGCUUUUGUUAAAAAUAAAAUAAAAACAUAACAGAAAAAUCUACUACUAGGGGGACAUAAUAUGAGUCUUGCGUACUCCUUGGAAGACUGUAGCAGUGAAGCUAAAAAGGAGAUAAAAUAAAAUGAAAAAUAUGAAAGCCUCUUUGCUCCACUACUAAAUCGAUUUCUAUGGGAAUCAUUAGCAUGUUGAGAAAGAAAUUUCCGUAUAUCAGGAAGGGGACCACUCCAUCGGACAAAAUUAACAAGUGGAACCCCAAAUUGACCAAACAAUUAGCACAAUAAUUGUGAGAAAAUUUGAACGUCAUUUGAGAUAUCAUCAAUUACAAUUCAACCAACAAUUUUAAAGCAUCCAAACAGAAGGGUUACCAUGAUGAAGCAGAUGCAUAACAAGCACUGAAUCACAAAAUAACCCCAAAUUGGCACAGCACUGUGUUUAUUAUGAGUGAUUGACAAUAUACAAGUUUUUUCAUAAAGUUUUAAUAUAAUUUCUUUUAAAGUUUUUUAUUUAAAUUUUAAUUCUUAAAAUAAAUUUACCAAUCCAAAACGACACAGAAUAUCAAUUAUCAAAUCUUCUGACAAGUUUUGUGCCAUUGUUUUAUAGAAACAGUAAGAAUAACUAUUGCUAGCACUCCAAUCCUUUAGCAGAACGAAUAAAUAAAUGCACCAUAACUUUUCUUUUCUAAUAAGCAAAAGAAAGUACUUGAUGGCUAUAAAGUGCAAAUAUUCGUUUGGCCCUAUAUAUUGAGUUACGUUUCUACUUAAUUAGUAUAUUUUAAAAAAUAAUUCAAGACAUUUCUGUUGUUGAAUAUGUGAUAUUCAUGCUCUUAUUUUUUUUUUUUUUUUGCUUUUUCAAUAAUACUCUUAUUGUGAUUUUAAAGUAAUGUUUAAUACCUUUGCAAAUAAUUAUUUACAAAAAAAAUAAUCCAGCAAAUUAAUCAUAAAAGUAAAGUAAUAACACAGAUUUUACAUUGUUAUAUUAUUUAUCGAUUAGGAGCACAAUAAUAUUGAAAGAGAAAGAAAGAAAGCAAAUAAGAGGCAUAGUAUCUAGAGGGCAAUUUUAUUCAAUCUCAAAUAUAUACAAAUAAGAAGCAAAAACCUCCUUUUAUAGUGAUACAACCAUGGUAAGUAAUACAUCAUGAUUACAAGAGAUAACAAUCUUCAAAUUAGGGAGAUAUUGGGAGUUAUAAGAGAGGAAGUUACUUGUGAGGAGAUAGAAUGUUGUUUUGAUGAAUAUCCACAUAAAUUAUAAUAAUUUCAUAACACUCCCCCUUGGAUAUUCAUCAUACAAAGAAUAUGCCUAAUUAAAACCUUUGAUAGUAAAAACUUAUUGGGAAAAAGACUAAUUGAAGAAAAAGAGUAUAUUAUUCAUCUGUAUUUUAUGGAGGUGCAAACUGCCUCAUUAAAACCUUACUAGGAAAAAUCCAUUAGGACAAAAGCUUAGUGAAGGAAAAAGAGUACAGUGCAUUUAGUCAUUCAUAUCAAUAACUCCCCUUGUUAAAUAUGCUCCCCCUCAAAAUGAAAUGGGUGCUUCAAAGAUCAAUCAUAAUUUGUUAUAAAUAAUACUACUUUGGUGAAAUAAUCUGCAAGAUCAACACCAUCUCUUGAAAGCUUGAAAACAUAUAAUAAAGUCGAGAUAUCAUAUCUUGAAAUUGAAGAAUAUUACCAUGCAUAUAUCUAUAUAAUUUUGUUGAUCUUCUUAAAUAAAACCAAGCUUCAGUAUUCAAAUCAAGGAAAAGUAUAUUUACACUAUUUUGACAUUUUUCAAGUUUAUGGUGAACAUAUUUUAAUUUGUAAUUAUGCAAUUUUUCAAUGCCUUUGUAGGCACAAGUUGGAAUAAAAUAUAGUUCUUCGGGACUAAAAUAUAUACAACACAUUUUAAAGCAAAUCAAUUUUUGAAUAUGAAAUACUUCUUCUAUGUCUAUAGUAUCAGCAUUCCACUUUAUUAAUUUCAAUUCAUAAAGAGAGUAAUUCUUUCAUAUUAAGAUUUUUCAGCUUAAAUUUUAUUCUUAAAAGAAACAAAUUCAUAAGCUCUUCAGGAGUCUUUUCAUGAUGAAACCAUCAAUACAUUUUGCAAAGAUUGCAAAUUUAAUUGUCUAGUUUUUAAUAAAACCACAUUGCAAAGUGGAUUAUGACAUAUCAAACUUAUAAUAAAUUCACUCAGGUGAUCAUGCUUUUAUAAGUAUAGAUUGUUAUAAUAUACACAACUAUGAUUAUAGUUUUAUCAAUAACAUAUAAGAUGCAAGCUUUUUGAUUUAAUACUUCAAGUACUUGGUUCGAGCAUUUUAUCUUUCAAGGAUAAGUACAUAAACUCUUCAAUUUAAUUUUGACACUAUAGUUUAGAUUCACAUUUAUUAAUAAAUUUUUUGACUUCAGGCGUAUGGACUACAAGUUCAAAAUUCUUCAAAUUUUACUAAUCAAUUUUACAUCCUCUAGCAUACGGACCGUAGGUCCAAAUAUUUUACAAUUUUGGCCAAUCAUAUAAUUUGAUGAUUUUCACAUUUUUUGAUUUAGGAUCCUUCAAAUUUUAUCAUAACAACUAAAUUUUAUUGCAAAAUAUUAUGUCAAUUUCAAUUUCUCUCUUGUACCAAGUAUCAAGAUUAAUUAAAAUCUCUCAUUUUCAAUAUAUAGGCCCAAUUGAGAUAUUUUAAAACUUCGAAUACAUAUGCCUCUACAAAGGCUAAAGAUAUCUUUUUUUUAAUGUGCACACGUGUCUUUUCUAGGGCAAUUUGAAUCUCUUUACUUUUUUACUGUCUACCUCUUCAAGGGUAUUUGAGAUUCAUAACUAGCUAUUACAAUACAUCUCUCUAGGAGCAAUAUAUUCAAUAAUUUAAUUAUAGAUCAAAUGUGUUUGCUAUUUGUACAAACAUGGCCUCUUCAGGAGCACCAAACCAUUUUUAAAGAUUUUACCAUCUUCCUAAGAUUUAAAUUAUUUGUACCAAUUGAUCUAUUAUAAAGUUAUUUGAAUUAUAUAGUAUUUAUUUGCUUAAAAUGCUUUGAAUCUUAAUGUAUUAUUUUUGUUGUAAGGUGGAGUUCCGGAGGUUGAGAUUUUUACUUGGGAGGAGAUAAUUUCUGAUGAUGAUGAGAGGCACAAGCGUUGAGCAGCAUGACAUGAACUUUUUUUUUUUUAAUUUGGAAUUAGACAUGAACUUGUUAUUUACUUAUUUUACAUGAGUAUUUUGACUCUUUUAUGAACUAUUUUUUGAGUUGUUGAGCAUUUUAAGAUUUUCAUGUGUUGUAUUGAUAAUUGGUGUCAUAAUUAUGAACUUAUGAUAUGUUGGAUGUUAUUUAGAUUUAUUGUGUUAUUGAAUUUGAUUUUUGUUUAUAUGGAUUAAAUGAGUUUAGGUUAGAAAUUGGAUGAAUUUAGGUAGUAGAAAGUAGAUUGAAACAAUUUUUAUUUAUUAUUUGUGCAAAAUUUGUAUUGUUAGUAUGUUAUAAGUUUGUAUUUGACUAUUUUCUUUUGUUAAGCUUGAGAUUUAUCUUGUAGUAUGAUACACAAGAAAUAUGAAUGCAUGUUGCUGGUUGAUAUUUGGGUGAUAAAAAUGAAAGAAAAAAUUGAAAGAAGAUUUUGGGGGCUUAGAAACCCAGAUAAAAAAACCCCGACCCGGGACAUGAGCCCGGCCCGCACAUGCAAAAGCCAGGUUUUGCCCAGAUUUGGGCAUCAAUUUUUGUCAUCCGGUCUGAACCCGGGUAGCACCAAACUUGGACCGGACUCGGGAUUUUGCCAAGCCUAAUACAUUCUAGCUGAAACUUGGUGUUAGUGCUUCAAUUUUUGGUUCAAGGUAAUUCCACACUAAGAGAAUAUGAAAGUUGUAACAAAGUUACUUCUUUGUCGAAGUUACAGCUAGUGUAAAGAGAAAUGAGCACAUGUUCUCAUGCAAGCAUAAAGACAGAAAUAGAGAGGAACGAAACAGAGACAGGCAGGAUGAGACAAGAUAAAUUCAAGGCAUUAAGCCAAAAAAACUCUUAAAGCAAAAACAGAGGGAUACCAGGCAUGCAAGUGAAAUAAGUGAAGCCGACAAGCGUCAUGACGUUCUUGAAUCUUGAUGCCUAUAAUCUAUUGAUGCUACUGCAAGUGUUUGGUGAGGUAGAAAAGAAGAAUGACCAAACAAUUGGAACUCAUUGUUUCUCAUCAUCAAACUUCAAAAAGUAGAUAAUCUUCACAAGCACAAAAAAAUUAAGAAAAUUCAUUUUUUAUUAGCAAAUCAAGGAGUUACAGAUCUACAAAAGUUUUCACACUCUGUUCAUUCUCAUCAACAUAUAAAUUAUUCUACCUAUAUACAAUUAUAAUCGAAAGAUGUAUUUAACCAAAUUUGUGCACCUUCAUCUAUUAAUACGCCUUGGAAGAGGCAAAAUAUCAAUCAAGUUGCAUGCAUUUCUAAAAACAUUUCAUUGUUUUAAUAUAACAAUAAAUCAAACAAAUGAAUUGACCUUGGCCUUAACCUUGCAAUUUCAAACUCAAGCCCUAGAGCUUCAGUAUCAAGAAAGUACUCAAUCAACUCUUCAACAGUAUUCGAUAAAACCCAAGAUUAAUCCAACCCAUUACCAUAUCAGACAUGAUAAUAAGAAAUGCAAUGUUAACCAACUAUAAAUUAUAGGAUGAAGAUUCAAGAACCCCAGGUAUGUAUAUAUAAAAUUUUACUUGGCGAAGAUUUGAUAUUGAUGCUACUUCAUGAAAUCUUGGCUGUCGAUUAGGGAUGAUUUUCACAGCCACUGAGAAUGCCGCCUCCAAGAAUGCCACCACCAACAAGAGAGAAAUUAUUAUGGUUGAUAAGGGUAAUUUUGAUGAAGUUAUUACGGCCAAAGGAGAAGAAAUUCAAUGACGACGAGGAGGAAGAAAUAUCGUGAAGGAGAAGAACAAGGCUGGCUGAGUAUUCUGCUGCUUGUGUAAUUAGAGAUAUUUGAGGGUAUUUUAGACAUUACUCUUGUCAAAAGGCAUAUAGUGAUAAAUUUAAGGUAUGAUGGUAUAACUACAUUAAUACGCAAGUUUCAAGGUAUACCAGCGGUAAAUUCCUGUCUCUCGUCUGCUAAUCGCAUCUUUCUCUCUUUCGACUCUCUAAUUUCUCUCUUGGAUUUGGUUACCAAGCACAUAAAAUUGAAGCCACCAUCUCGCUCAUAACAAACAACUAGUCGGAUCCGUCAAACUGUUGCUGUCAUCUUGAGCCAUUCAAGUAACUUGAACACAUCAUCUUCUCGUAAAUUCUCUUUCAUUUUCGAGUUAAAGACAAGGUAAGGAUGUAAUCUUGACUUUUGUGUUUUUUGUGAUGACUACAGAAAAUGCUAUAUGAAACAAUUAGGGAUUUAUGUGCUAUAUUAUUAUUUUUUUUCUCUUUGUUAAACAAGCAGGCAUUUAUCAAUUUUGAGUGAAAAAUGGUGUUUAGAUGAUGAAAUAUUGAUGGUCAAGAGAUGAUUCACGGUUUGGAAUCAUGAAAUUGGCAACAAAAGACAUAAGAAAAUGUUGGGUUGUAGUGAGAGAGAGGUGUGGGUUUCGGGUUUUAGAGAGAGAAGAUGAAAAAACAAAGGAAGAAGAUGAUGAAUAAGCAAAUCCAGCUAGCCGCUUAGACCAAACGGCUAACCACACGGUUGUGGCAGAUUUUGUGCCUUACAAGUAGUCGAUUUCACGCAUUCAUCAUGGAUACUACAGAUGAUACAAGUGCAAGACCUAAUCGGAGAGCGUAGUACACUUUUUGUAAGUAUAAAUUAAUUGAUAUCUUUUGAGUUGUUAUGUUAGCAACCAUUUUAAAUACACUUCUGUAUUCGAAUUUUGGUUACGUUGAAGUGAAGGGGAUUGAGUUGCCAUUAAAAAUUAAAGUAUUUUGGUCUUUAUAAACAAAGCGCUUUUGUGGAAUAGAUCUAAGAAGAUGCUAAUCUUCUUAAUAAAAUUAAAAAAAAAAAAUUCUAUUACUCUUGGUGCAACAAAUUUCCUAGUCCCAAAACCUUGUCAUAGAAAAAAAAAAAAAAAAAAAAGAAAACAGAAAAAGAGUGAAAAUCUCUUCGGUCAACCAAAUUACUCAAAUUCGUAAAAUAAUAUAAUACUUGAACCUUAAAAAUAAAAGCUCUAUAUAUUAAUAUAUAAACAGUGAUAAACACAAUUAAGAAAUUGAAGAUAUUUAAAAGGUUUUGAAACGUUAUUUUUAUUGAAAGGAGUUGCCAUUUUUAAUUUUGGUUGCAAAUAAUAAUUCCUUGGUGGUUACAAUAUUUUUAAAUAUCCCCAUUAAGGCUGUAGGGGCUACAAAUCUUCAUUCUAGAUCUGUAACAUAUGACUAUGAAUUAUAUAUAAAUGAGCUAUUUUUCUUUAUCUUUGGAUAUAUUAUAUACUCUAUUGUUUUCUACGAAACUCUACGAUAAACAAUUAAUAUUUUUCUUUGCAACUUCGACAUUCAAAGACUUGGUUUAUUCUGCAGGUAAAUCGUGCUUAGGAAGAAGAGCGGCAUGAAGAUAUUUGGGUUGUAUUUUGGAGCUGCGAAAUAUGGACAAUAUCCGCCCGUGGGGAGGGCUCUUUGACAUUUGGGUUGUAUUUUGGACAUUUGUGAAUUUACUAUAGUCUAAACAUAAAUAGAACGUCAAACUCUAUUUAUUAACAACGAAUUUAAUUUAUUUAAUCAUAAGAUAACUUGUGUUUAUGUCUUAUGUGAAUCCAUAUAAUGAUCGUAUAAAAUACAUAUAAUAUGAUUAAACGAACUUUAUUCAAAAUUUUUUUCGCAAAUUAAAGAUAUCUGAAAAUGUCUCAAGUAUCAUAUUAAUUAGAAAAUAAAUAAAUCAAUAUGAUUUAAAGGGCACAUAAUCCCAAGAAUAUAUGCAUCAAAGUAAGAAACAUAUUAACUAAGGAGUGAUAAUGCAUUUAUUAAUAUUCAAUUUCCUAUUUAACAACUAAGAUUCUUUUAUUUUUUUAUUCUAUCAAUUUAUUAUUGCAUAAAAAAAUUGCGGGUGAGUAUAUUUGAACUCAUUAAAUCAGUCUUUAUACCCUAAAUCAAUAAAUAAUUUUAUUACAAAUUACUUAAAACCCCUUUUAAUUUCUUGGAUACCCGAAAAGUAAAAUUACCAUUCUAGAUGGAGGAUAAAUCUUCAAAACAGCCUUAACGCAUCUUAUUUGUUCAUACAAACACAAGUUAUUAAACAACAAUGGAUGCUGAACCAGAGUGUCAAACUUAGUUUCUAAUUGUCAAAUUCUUCCCAUUAGACAUCUAGACCGUUUUACAGUCAGUGACAUAGACAGAAAAUCAAAUUAGUGGGGCUAGAAUGACCGGCAUGAAAUAUAAAGAAAGAAAAAAUUUACCGUCUUAUUUAUCUAUUUUUCUAAUUUUUUUAGUAUUUCUCCUUACAUAUGUCUUAAUAACAUAUUUAGUUUGAUGAAAUAAAAUAAGAGGAUAUGAGAGAUAAGGAGAAUGGGGGAAAUAAAUAAGGGAAAAAUAGAUGAAUUCUAUAUUAAACUAAAUAAUGAAAUUGAGAAUGACUCUAUUUUGCUCUCAUUUUAUAAUCUCCUGCUCUAGGAACCAGAACUUUAAGAGAAGGCAGUCAAAUUGUAAAGAUUGACAAGCAGAAAUUUUUGUUCUCCUUUUUAAAUAAAAAAAUUCAUUUUGAUGGAUUUUUAAUAUUAAAUUAAACAUUUGCUAAAUCGGAACAAAUAUAUUAGAUCUUAAAUCUUGUUUUUAAUGGAUUUAAUUAGGUUUUGGGCUUUCAAAUUAUGAAACUGGACAAGAUUUGUGUGUGAUUUUAAAAUAAAGUUGAACUUGAAUUUGAUGCAUUUAAUUAAUCAAAAGAAGCAAAUUUAUAAUUUCAACUUCUAAGUAAAACAUACCUUUUGAAUUUUAGCAGUGGCUACUACGGUAGAGUAGUUGCAUCUAGGAUACUAAUGAUGACCAACAAAAUAUAACAAUAAUUACAAAUUUAAUAUUUAUUUUUAUAAUUAUACGAUGGAGCACAACCAACAUAUUCGGACCGUUGGAUUUUUCGGACAGGCCAAAGGCAACUGCUCCCACUGUUCUCUCAGCGGCUCUGCCACAAGUCGCUUGUAAUUAUUCAUUCAAUAAUUAUAAAUGACACAACAUUUGUUAAUGACACAUAGCAUUGGGAUUUAAGUUGGUACUCAAUUGUUGGAAUCUCUAAUAUUAUUGAACAUGAUUUAAUGAUCAAAUUCAAAUCUUGAACCAGUGGCCAUGAAUGAAAGAAUAUGACGAAAGGUGUUAAGAUGCACAUGGAUAUUGGUAUUAGGGAUCAUGUUUAGGCUAUUUACACAUCUAAACAAUAAUCAUUACUAUUUUCUGUCACUAAUUUUCCAAAACUAAUUUUUGCAAAAAGUCAUCAUAUUUGUAUAUUAAAUUAAUUUUAAGAAAUUUUGCUUUAUUCGAGAAAAUUGAUUUAGUCACUAUUAGUUUUGUCGUGUUAAGAUAAAGUAUGGGUAGCUGUUGCAUACAUGUUCUUUUUAAAAGGUAGGAACUUUCUCUAAAUGUUAAAUCGGGUUUUUUGAGAAUACGGAGUAAUAAUAAUAUCACCACGAAUAUAGAUGAUACUCUGUAGCAUGACCAAUUGAUCAAAAAAAGAAAAAUUUUAUUGUUAAAUGACUUCUUAAAUGAUUAUAAAUUGAAAAUAUUUUUACAUUAUAACUUAACUUAUUACGAGAUUUAUCUUACUUAAGAAAUAGAUUGUAAAAUAAUUAAUUUUUCUAAUUUAUGAUUCUUUGUAAUUAUUAUUAUAUAUUUUAUAUUAUUAACAAUAUUAUACAUAAUUUUUUUACUAAAUUGACGGCUCACCCCAUAUCUCCAACAUUAUUUAAUUUUAAUCAACUUGUUCGUAGUGCAGAUGUGGGAUGGAGAUCUAUAAGAGGAGCAGGGGCUGCAGACACCAGAAGAAUUAAAAGAAUCUCCUUUAAAAAUGUAUAAAUAUAUCUAAUAUGGACUUACUAAGAAAUCAUGUGAGACAUUAAGGACAUGUUUGGUACCAUUUUUUGGCAAACUGUUUUUCGUUUAAUGACAGCAUUAAUGCGUAAAACUUGUUUGGUGGAUGUAUUUUUUGAAUCACAAACAAAAAAUACAAAAUUGAAUAGUUCUUGGUUUCCCCCUUUUGUUUCAUUAAGUUAAAGAUCGUUAAAUUUUCAAACCUAUACCCUUAGAAUUUGGAAAACCCUCAAAUUUUCAAGAAGAAAUGCCAAAACUUUUUCUUAACCAUAAUACCUUUUCAAUAUAGUAAUUAGAAAAUUGACAUUAAAAGUUUUAAUUAAUACAAAUAUAAUAUAAAUAAUAUAACCUGUGUAGUAGACUAAUAGCAUUAAAGUAUUUUUAACAUUUAAAAUAAUAUUAAAAUUUUAAACUAUGAUAAUAUAACAUGUGUACAAAUACAGAAAGAUACAUUAAGUCAUAAUAGAUUUAAAACUCACGGACUGUUGAUUUACUGGCCAUUUAAAUUAUUCAAUAAACACGUAAUGUUCACUGAAGAUUGCUUGCGUAUUUUUCAAUUUGAAAUGUCGAAUAUGACAACAUCAAGUUUUGGCAUGCUGUUAUCAUUUUGUAAAACUACCUAAACAUUUAAUGUAUGUGCAUGGAGCUGGGUAACAUAGUUUAACUUCAAUGGGCAAUUUAUGUUCUCAAAUAAGAAAGAUUUUGAGAGCUAAUAGUAUCAUAUAAUCAACUGUGUGGAUCAGCUAUCGUUGGCUAAACUACAGACCAGCGAAUACUUGAUUUUGCACCCGUUUGAUCACUCCAAAAAAUAAACAUAUAUAAAAAGGAGAAAAAGUGGCCACUUGAAAUUCUUCAAUAAUUGGAGAAAUACAGAUAAUUAAGAUCAGUAACGCUCAAAAUAAAUGUUUCAAAGAAAUAAUAGACAAAUGAUAAGAACUGAAACCUAAAUCAUUUGGGUCCUCUUAAUUAAAAGAGUAAUUGUUUCAAUCAACUUGUUUGUGGAUGUGGGGUUGGACCGUUGGAGGUUGAUAAAUUUCUAUCUCAAACUCAGGGUCAAGAGAAUAGUAAGGGGCUGCCGACACAAAAGGAACCAAAAAUGAAGACAAAGCCAUCACUACUCCAACUAGAAGGUCCUACAAUAUAAGAAAAAUUUGUCCAAAAUUAAUUUCCUCUACCAAUUUGUGGUUUCAAUCCCGAAAAGCUUAUCCAAAACACUUCUCUAUCUUAGAAAUUUUUCCAAUCAAAUUCAAGAAGUAAAAAACCCAAGCAUAAACAUUUGCUUCUACAUGAUAGUCAUUAUUUGAAUUGGCUAUUGUGAGUAAUGCUAGAUAUUUCAAUAUUUAAAUUUUAAUUUAAGUCCCAAUUGAUAUGGUUUUCAUCUAUUAAAUGGUAGUUAAGUAAUUUUAUUAAGUAAUUUUAAUUCUCAAUUAAUAUGGUUUUCAUCCCAGCAUUUCCGAAACUAAUUUUUGCCAAAAGUCAUCAUAUUUGUGCAUUAAAACUAUUUUAAACAAUUUUUUCUUUGUAAUCACCAUCAAUUUUAUAAAGUAUGGAUUGCUAUUGUAUACAUAUUCUUUUGUAAAAGGCAUGACUUUUCUCUAAACGUUAAUCAUGUUUCUUUUUUCUUUUCUUUUCUUUUUUUUGAGAAAAGUGAGGAAUAAUAAUAUCGCCAGCAUUUUAGAUAACGGUAUAUGACAUGAUUAACUGAAAAAGAAAAAAAAUUUAUUGUUAAAAGACUUCUUAAAUAAUUAUAUAUAUUGAAAAUAUUUGAUAUGUUAUAACUUAACUUAAUAUAAAAUUUAUCUUUAUAAUGUAAUAGAUUGUAAAAUGAUUAAUGUUUCCAAUAGUUAAAAGACUUCCUUUUAAGUUUUCGUUUGGAUUUGCUGGCUUUUGUGGCUUCAAUUAAUGUUGUGAUGAGGACUACGGCCUAAUUUUGUUCAUGCAUGCAUGGUUUGGCUAAAUUUGCAGUACACAUAGAUGAAAUUUGCCUCGAGUGAGUUGUGGAUCAAUGUGAUUGUGAUCAAGUGACACUCUUUUUUAAUAGCCAAUUCAGCACUUUAUUUUUUUUUUCACCCACAAUUACUUCACCGGGAUUGGAUCAAUAAUGCCUCGGUGAAUUCAUUAAUUAAAGCAUAUAAAAUGUAUUUCUAAUUUCAAAAGGCAUCUAGGACUUUAUUCUCUGCUUCACUUCUAAACUAAUUACCCAAAGGAAGUUUGGCUUUCGGCAGUAAUAACAUUGAAGGCAUUUUGAUAUUAAAUUUUUUUUUUAAAGGAAAAUUCUUUAAAUUAAAAAAAAAAAAAAGAAGACAAAAUUGAUUUAAGCACCAUCAAUUAUGUCAUGGUAGUAAUUAAGAUGAGGUUGGAUACCUGUCCUUUUCAGGAGGCACGGGUGUCGAAGAACGUGUAUUAUGUGCUUGAGAGAGAAAUGAGCAAUAACGUCAUAUUUGUGGAAUUUAGCUAAGCGGCAUAUUCCUUGCAAAUUCUUGGCAUAUUCCUUGCAAAUUCUUUGGCAUACUCCUUGCAAAUUCCAUGCAAAUUCAACAAAUGUGAAUGAGAUAUGCUGGACGUCCACCUCCGACUAUUUUGUGAGAGGUUGAAAAGGGUGUUAGAAGGUGAAGAAGGCACGUUGAGGUUGCCUGAUUCAACAAAUGUGACUCCACUUUUUCAAAACCUUCUUACGGAUUCCGAAAUUAUUGUUACCUCAAUACUGAAAUAAUGUCUCAACGUAGACUCAGCUUGAGUGGCAAAACAGAGUGGGAUAACCACACAUUGCAGCAGAGAAAUUAUUUAAUAAACGAUUAUUAAAUUACUACAAAUGAAAGGAUUAGGUUUGUCAUUAUUGACAAUUAAACAAGAUUCUCAUUUUCUCUCACCGGGUGCAUUGCAAGUUGCAACAAUCGAAAACUCUUGCCGAUGCUAUUAGUAUAAUGUAUAAUGUGACUGGUUGCAAAAAUGCUCAGCUGAUUUGAAGGUGGUGUAACUGUAAACCAAACUUCUAUUAUUUAAAAAAAAGUUCUUAGUCCUAAUAAUAUCAUUUUAUAGAUUUUUUUCUACAUAUACUGUGCAAUAAUUAAAAAUUUUAUAUUUUUUAAAAUAUAGUUACAAUCUUUUUUUUUUUUUUGAAACUGAUUAAUCAUCAGGUUAUUGUAUUACACAGAGAUAUAUACAACUGCUAUGACAGCAGGUCAUUACACUGAUAUUUACAAUCAGAUAUAUAUACAUGGGACUUAUAUUAUUAUAUUUUUUAUUCUAUGAAGUACAUGCCCAUCCAAAUACCCCUCACGGAGGAGGGAUGUCUCUAUUCCACUCGCAUUCCGCAAGGGAGAAAGACGUUAUAAGAAAUCUCCACACAAUUAUAUUUAAUUAAGGGAGGUUGAGUCCGUGGGGACUCAAACCAUUGCCCUCAUAGUCAUGCUUAACUUUGAGGGCAACGGUCCACCACUGGGCUAGAAGGCCAAAUAUAGUUACAAUCUAGACACAUAAUUUGUGGACCCAUUUUAUCUUUCACGUGAUUGGUAUUAUUACUUUAUUUGUCUUUUUAUGUACUAUUAUUUAUUCUGUGGACCCAUACAUGCACCCAUGUUUCGGACAUGCAACUUAACCGUAGCCGUUAAUCUUACCUAAUCAUAUGUGCGAUAAAUAUCUGCCGUCGAUCCGUUAUAUGUAAGUACCAACCAUGCGUUAUUAUUCGAUUUGCUACGUUACAAAAUCUUUGUGGACCCAUUUUACCUUCACGUGAUUGGUAUUACUACUUUUGUGGACAAGGCUACGUUGCAGUUGCAGACUCAGCUGAGUACCAACAGCUUUUCCUCUCUCCUGCAACGCGUGGAUGCUCCUUGUUUGUCUUCUUAUCUGCAAUUAUUUUCUCUGUGGACCCAUUCAUGCACCCACGUCUCGAAUAUGCAAUCUAACCCACGUCUCGAAUAUGCAAUUAUUAUUUUUAUUAUUAUUUUGAUGAGGAGGUCUCAAUAAAGUUCAAAUAAAUAAAUUUUGGUCUUUGUCUCACACUUACAUAAACAAACGAAAAAAUUAUAAAAUUAUAAAAAAAUUAAGAACCAUUGUCAAUUAUGUAAAUUCAAAUAUUUAAACAAUCAAAAUAAUUGCGGUUAGUUUUCCCCUGUAAUCAAUUAUUGGCAUCGGAUGGGAACCACGUAAUUCGUGUAAUUGAUAUAAAGCAAUCUUUGAUGAAUCUUGACCCACUUAACAAGGAUCAAUACAUUCAGAAAUGAAUUCCACUCACCAAUUGAGAUACUAGUAUUAAUAUUAUAGGGAUUUAUACAGCUCUAAAGACAAUGAUACAGAGAAGCUGCUAUAACUCUCAUGACUCUCAAUCUAAGUGUUCAAUACGAGUCUAAAGACCUAAUUGCUCUGAUACAAGAAAUCAGUCCAGUCUUGUAUUACUAAACUUAUUAGCAGAUUUUUGGCUCCCAGCUAGCACAUGGGUAGCACCUGUAACGCUGCAUCAAUUAAUAAAACUGAUUUCCCAGAAUUUCCAGCCCCUAGACUUUGCAUCAAUAAUUCACGGGUUGCAAAUUAUUCAAUUUGCAGCUCACAAGCAUGUUUAGAAAAAUGAAACCUAUACAAUAGCAUAUAAAGUGUCUGAUUUCAACAUGUUGUGCAAUGCAAAAAAUAAGAUGCAUCAUGUUGUGCAAAUGCAAAUAAAAAUCAGUUACAAUAUAAUGAACAUUAACAAUCUUGCUCAAAGUCAAAAUGAGAUUAUUUGAAUUUUUUCUGAAGAUAUUGGAUUAUAUAAAUAAUCAGUUAAUUAAAAGGUCGUUAUUGGAUUGGUUUCUUAAUUUUAUUUGCACAUAUUAAAGGGCUCAUCUCUAUGUAAGUACUAGUAGCCUGGCUCCCAAAGAUUCCUGAAAUCAUUCCGCAUGAAAGACAUAUAUGCAUCAAACUAAGAUACAAAUGAGCUAAGGAAUGUUAAUGCAUUCAUUAAUUAUUCAAUUUCUUAUCUAAAGACUAAGAUUCUUUUAUUUUUUAUUCUAUCAAUUUAUUAUUAUCGUAAAACAAUUGCGGGUGAGUAUAUUUAAACUCAUUAGAUCACUCCCUAUAUCCUAAAUCAAUAAAUAAUUUUAUUACAAAAUUACUGAAAAAUCCUUUUAAUUUCUUGAAUACCGAAAAAGUAAAAUUACCAUUCUAGAUGGAGGAUAAAUCUUUAAAACUGCCUUAAACGCAUCUUAUUUGUUCAUACACACAUAAGUUAUUAAACAACCAUGGAUGUUGAACCAAAGUGUCAAACUUAGUUUCUGGUUGUCAAAUUUUCUUCCUAUUGGACAUCUAAAUCGUUUUGCAGUCAGUAACAUAGUCAGAAAAUCAAAUUAGUGGGGUAGAAUGACUGACAUAAAAUAUAAAGAAAAAAAUUUACUGUGUUCUUUAUCUAUUUUUCUAAUAUUUUUAGCAUUCCUCCUUACAUAUGUCUAAUAGCAUGUUUAAUUUGAAGAAAUAAAAUAAGAAGAGAUGUGAGAUAAAGAGAAUGGGAACAAUAAAUAAGGAAAAAAGAGAUAUAAUUAUAUAUUAAAUUAAAUAAUGAAAUUGAGAAUGAUCCUAUUUUUUCCAUCAUUUUUUGAUCACUUACUCUAAGGAACCAAAACUUUAAGGAAAGACAGACAAAUCAUAAAGAUUGAAGAGCAUGAAUUUUUGUUCUCCUUUUUAAAUAAAAAAUUUCAUUUCAAUGGAUUUUUAUUAUUAAAUUAGUCUUUCCCUAAAUCAGAUCAAAUAUAUUAGAUCUUAAAUCUUGUUUUUAAUGAAAUUAAUUACGUUUUGGGCAUUUAAAUUAUGAAAUUGGACAAGAUUUGUGUGUGAUUUUAAAAUAAAUAUGAACUUGAAUUUGAUGCAUUUAAUUAAUCCAAAGAGGCAAAUUUAUAAUUUCAACUUCUAAAUAAAACAUAUCAUUUGAAUUUUAUCAGUGGUUUCUAAUAAUAACUGCCAGGUCAUUAUAAUAAUUAUAAAUGUAAUAUUUGUUUUUAUAAUUAUACAGUUAUGAUCAAUGCUAUGCCGUAGUGCCGUUCCAACAUAGUCACGCCGUUGAUUUUUUAGACAGACCAAAGGCAACUGCUCCCACUAUUCUCUUAGCGGCUCUGCCACUAAUCGCAUUCUGGCCACAUUUUAUCUUUGCUAUUAUGCACCGUAUUUAUUGUUGCAAUCUGCGAGACUGCUACUAGGAUAUGCAAUUGCUCAAGCUCGCUUUAAUCUUACUUAAUUUGUGGACCCAUUCUGCCUUACACGUGAUUGGCAUCACUACUUUGUUUGUCGUUCUUCUAGCUGUAGUAUUAUUUAUUUUGUGGACCCACUCGUGCACCCACGUUUCGAAUACACAAUUUAACCGCAGCCGCUAAUCUUACCUAAUUUAUGUACGAUAAAAGCUCCGCCGUCGAUCCGUUAUACCUAAGUACCAACCAUGCAUUAUUAUUUGAUUAGCUACGUCACAAAGUCUUUGUUCGAAUAGUUAUCAAAGUUUGUUUGUGUGACUCAUGGAAUCUUUGUUGGCCAAUAAAAGGAUGCAUUUUGCUGUUUAAUAAGGCAAGCUCGAAAUAAAUCAAAUCUUAGUCAUACAAAAAUUCAAAUGAUAUGAGCCAUGAUCUCUUGCCAAGCUUCAGACAAGUUAAAUUAUAAGAGGAUCUUGAUAGGUUAAAUUAUGAACACACAUUUACGCUGUGGACCCAUUCAUGCAUCCCCGUUUCGAUUUUGCAAUUUAACGUAGCCGUUAAUCUUACCUAACCAUCUGUACGAGAAAAACUCCGCCGUCGAUCCGUAUAUGUAAGCACCAAGCAUGCAUUAUUAUUUUACCGAUUAUAAAGCACCGACACCCAGGGCCAGCCUAGAAUUAUAAUACUAUUUUUUUUUUGGAUCAGGACGAAAUUAUUAUUGAAUAAUAAUUAAAACAAAAAAAAUCUGAAUCUUUCUAUGAUUGUAUCAACUUAUUAUGCAUGCCUAUGUUAUUGCCCGGUUGCCUAUGUUAUUGACAUCUACUACGAAGUUAGAAAUUGGUCUUAAUUAAUUAGAUAUGUUUCGAAAUUGGUCUUAAUUAAUUAGAUGCAUUUCUCAUUUGAAUUAUUUGGAGACGUGUAUAAUACAGGUCAAGUUUUCUAAUAAGAGGUUAGUGACUUUAUUUCUUUUAUUUGCUCAUAUUGAUUUAUUUGGUUAUCAUUCCUAGCUAAUUCGAUUAUUUAUCAAUAAUUUUAUUGGACAAAUUCUUUUAUUGGUUAAAAUAAGUUUUUCUUAUUAUUGUUUUUGACGAGAAGGUCUCAAUAAAGUUGGAGUAAACAAAUUUUCAUCUAUGUCUCGCACUUGCAUAAAAUAAAGGAAAAAAUUAUAAUUAUAAAUAAAUUAAGAACCAAUGUCAAUCAUGUAAAAUCAAAUAUUUAAACAAUCAAAAUUUUAUCACUUUUGAGUUUAAGACUUUUUUCUUUCAUAUGUUAGAAAAUAAAAUUUUGAUGGAAUUUUUUUUAAAAAUGAAAUUGGGAAUUAGAAAAUUUCAUUUCCAAGACUAUCUUUCAUUGGCUAUGUCCAAGACGAAACAGAUUGAAAGCAACUUUUGUAAUUUACAAAAUUACUGUAGCAAUGAGAUGCGAAAGAAAAGACUGCACGUGAUAAUUGCGGUUAGUGUUCCCCUGUUAUCAAUUAUUGCCACCGGAUGGGACCCACGUAAUUCGUCUAAUUGAACUGUACCCGGUUAUUCGCAAUCCACACCGGGCAAACUUGAAUCAUCUAUAUAUAUUACAUCAAAUUGUCAAACUGGAAGCAAGAACUCGAAAAAGCAACUUAACUACUUUCGAACUUUGAUUCCCGUAAGCAGAGAUCUUUCUGAUUUGAAGAACAUGGAAACCACCUGCGCAGGUUUAUAGGCCAACUUUAUUUUAAUAUAUAUCGUUUAUACUUCUUAUUUUAGUAUAUGCGGUUAUAAAUUAAAUUUUUUAUAUGAAAUUUUCAGGUAAUAACUGGUCAGAGGGUCUUCGGCUUCCUCCGUUUGGCAGUAUUGCUGAUGAUGAUGUCAUGAACGACAAUCUUGAUUUUCUUAAUGUCCCCCAAUAUGGAAGAAACCCCGACUACAUGGGUUAAGUGCAGCACUGCUUUUUUUUUUUUUCUGUUUUGUUUAAUUAAAUAAAUGAUAGGUAUACUAUUACCUAUCAAUCAUGACAAUGUUUUAGUAUGGUUUAGUUCAACUUAUAAGAUUUCUUGAGACGUACAAGCAAUCUUUUUGUUUACUUUUGAGCUAAGUAUUUUCCUGAAAAAGGAAAUAAAUCAAUAAAAGUUAUUGUGUGUGUCAACAUAUUGGUUCUAUUAGUUUAUACACGUCGGUUUUAAUUACGAUCUCUCUUCCUAAAUGUUGUACUUUUUUUUGAAAUAAACUCAAAACUUUGUUGUAUAAAAAACUCUUAUCACUUUCAAUCAUAUGAUGGUUACAAUUUAAUCAUUUAUUCAUAACAUCCUCCUGGUCCUCCAUUGAGGAUAUUAAAGUGUGCCAUUCUGUAACCCAGAACUAUCAUUUCUUCCACCUCUACGAUAUCUUGUAAUGUUACUUGCAGCUUCAUAAGCCACAGAAACAUCAUCAAAAUCAACAAAUUGUUUUUUUUUUUUUUUAGGAAAGUAAUAAGAAAAAUAAAAGCUGCAUUAUUUUAUUGGCCACAUUGGACUCCUAGGCCGGGUAAUCUUGUCAUCUCUACUCGUAGAGUCUUCUCCCAUGGUACUUGCAUGGUUCCAUCUUUUAACUCUAGUAGUAUUUUGUUUGGAAAAUACCCCAAUAUAAUAUCUUCAUUCAAGAAAAUUGAGGACUGAAUUUGUGGUGCUUUUAUCAUAUUAAAUUACAUUUAAUUAUCAAUAUUUAUUGACUGAAAUCAGAAGGGUGUUUGAAUCAGAUAUGAAUUCUCUCUUAAUCAAUUUUUUUUUCUAAAUUUUGUAAGAUAUUAUGGCAGAUUUCAUUUAAAUUGUUUUAUAGUUAGGAUUUAAUUUAUUUUGGGCUUUCCUUAUUGUUUGAAUCCGAUGAAUUUCAUAUCAUCUUGCUGGUGCUUCUUCUGAUCUUCUUCUCCCUCCCUCUCUCUCACUUUUUUUCUUCUCUCUCACAGACCUAAAACUUUGACGAGCAAAUUUGAAAACGAAAUAUCAGGACGGAAAAGCCUCAACAUAUUAAAAAAUUCGGAUAAUUUAACUCUCGUAGCAUUGAUGAAUUUUGGUGUUCUGAUGCGAUUCAAGUUUCUCAUAGAGCCAAAAAAUGGCAAUUCAAGCCAAUUUUUUUAUCCAUCAAUUGAAAUACAUGUUACAUAUGCAGCAGCCCGUAAUCGAAAAUAACUUAAUUUGUUUUAAAAAUUCUUUAUGUUAGACUAGAAAUGAAUCCAUUCUUGUUAUUGCGUAUCUGCAAUUUAACUUAUGCUGCUAGUUUACAAUUUAUUUUAUUCACAUAAAUGAUCGUUCCUUUUUCUUAUUCUCAAUUAAAUUUUGGUUCCUAGAAUGAUAGUUAAAAAAAUUAACAAUAAUAAUCGAUGUCGCAGAUCAAUUAUCAAAGUUUGUUUGUGUGAACAAGAAAUAUGAGAAAAAGUUUGUUAGUUAAUUGUCUCUUAGUUUUAGAAUUUUGAUUAACCAAUAAAACAACGUAUUUUAUUGUUUAAUAAAACAAGUUCAAAGUAAAUUCAAUCCUAGUCAUAUUUUGAUAUUUUUAUUACAUCGCAAUUAAAUUUAAGACAAACCACAUUUCGGCAAUUAAAUUUAAGACAAGCCACAUUCUCCACAUGAAAUAUUUUUGUCGCGUCGUGAUUAAAUGAUUGAGUCUCACGUAGAAGUCUGUCACUAACCAUAUAUUUUUAUAAAUUUAUCAACACAAAAAGAAAAAAAAAAUGAAGUAUUUGAAAUUUAUCUGGGGCUAAGCAGUAACAUUGGAUGUUGCCUCGGAUGUCCUAUAUCAAGGGCCCGAUUAAUAAAAUUUUGGGCCCUAGGCAAAAUUUCUAAAUUAGCCCUUUUUAUUUAAAUGAAAGUUAAUGUGAGAUUAAUUUAAAUUUUUACGAUUAAUAUGAAUAAUUUAUUUUUUUAGAUAUAAUUCCUUUACAUAGUUUGUAUCUGUAUUAUUUCAAAGAUUUUUUUGGGUUAUGUUUAAGCAGGCUUAUUUUUGAGAGAUUAUGAAGAAUAAGAGAUUGUGUUUCAAUUGGAAAUAACAAAAAUUUCGUUGCAUAAUUUUUUUUAAGCAUUAAAGAAAUAAGUUAUUGACGGAAAUUUCACUUUCAACAUAGAGAAUAUCCAACAUUUUAAACAAGAAAAUAAAUAAAUUCUGAUUUUUUAACUGAACUAUAUAUUGAGGUGGGGCCAAAAUUUUUGGAGAGCAAAUAUAAUAACUCAAUUUCUAAAUAAUGAAUAAUGACUCAAUUUCUAAAUAAUGAAGUAAAACAUAAAUUAGGGUUUUAGUAGGAAAGUAUAUUAGAUGGGACCUUGAUUUUAGGGGAAGGCAUAGGCAGUUGCCUAAAGAGUAGAGCUUCUAACACCCCUUUUAAACUUGUAACAAACCCCAAUUUUUUGUUUUUUUAAGUCUCUUUCUUUUAUGAAAAAUACAGAAAAGGACAUAAAGUUAUAAUGAAAUUUUAAUUGAACUUCACUACUGUAUAGAAUACAUUUUGUAAACAAAUUUUUCAUAAUAAAUUUUUUAAUAAAUAAUUUAUUUCUUUGUUAUUUUGUUUUUAUCAGCAAAUUAAUUAUAAUAUCAUAGGAUUAGCAAAUAGUCAAGAUUCAAGAUUUGUUAAGCUAUUUUAAUGUAAUCAAAUUCAUAUUUUUCCUUUUAGUAAUUCUUAGUAAUAAUAGAACUAUUAUUUUAAAAGUAGGGUGAUGCAAGAAUAUUAAAACGGUGUGAAAAGCAUUACUCUUGCCUAAAUUAUUCCAAGGUUGAACCGGCGUGUCUAAUUACCACCCUCUAGAGAAAGGGGAAAUUUUUUUUCCGAAGACAACCAUGUUUUGGGUAUUUCUACCGACACUCUACAAAAUAAAUGCUGGAAGAAAAUUAAUACUCUAUUAAUUGUUAGGGACAAAUCACACUUCCGUUGAGAAUAGACCUUCAGUUAAGUAUACCGGUUUCGACAUCCCUCGACUCUUGAGCUUUUCUUUGAAUAUAAGUUGGGUUCGUGGGUUUUUAUAUAAUAUCAGAGUUAGAAUCGUACAUAAGUGAGUCCACACUACCUUACCACAUCGAUUGAGAAUAAAUAUUGAGUUCAAUAUUAAACCUUCAACCACAAGGAUAAAACUAAUUAAGGCCCUUGAGGGGCUUCAAUACAUCCUCAACUAUUAAAUUCAUGGAAAUUCAUAUUAAUUUAAUGGAGUUGAACUUUUGGCACCCCUUUGAAUAUGUCUUAAAACACAUUUUCUUUACUUAUCCCAUUAAAAUUGUAUAAAGAUUGCACACUUUCUCAUGAAAUCCCUAUGAUUCUAAAAAUAACCCUGAUUUCUUGUUAAAUAAACACCAAUGCAGAUGCGGCAAUAAAAUAGUUAAUUUAAAAAAAAAUCCCUAUCUGAGAGACAGAAAGCUAGAGGAUUUCAAUAUGGAAUAUUUAUGAUCAAUAGAAGAAUUCAAGUGACUGGAGAAAAUUCAGAUUGUUCAAAAUGGGUUCUCAAACGAGAUAAGCCUCAGGUAGUAGACCUCACCAACAUCAGUACCAGACUCAAUCCAUAGAAUCGGUCUCGUCUUAAGCCUAACAGCUCCCUUUUAAUAUAAUCUAGUGAGAACGGUGAGGUGCUUGGUAUAUCAUACACCAAAAAUCAACGAUGCUUGGACUUUCAAGAAAAAGAGAAAAACAAAUGCAUGCAGGGGGAAACGUACUAAUUAAAAGCAAAUCAUAUAAUUUACAAAUUAUUAUAGGCUUGUAGCCAUAAGAUCGAGAGAAACUAAAACAUUUCUUGCAUUUUCUGGCCAUAUUUUCUAAAUGAAGGGAUGGUCCAUUGCUGCUCUGCCAUACUGGAUCUCAAGAUGUCAUUAACAAUAGGUCUCAAGAUGUCGCUAACAAGGUGUCACUCUGAUACCGACAGGUCUACCACUUAGACAUAACACUUGCCAUAUAAAAUUUUCUCCUAUUUUUGCUAUUUCCUUCGUAUCUUGCAUUGAAUUAUUGCCAGCAAAUGAUAUUUCGAGUCAAAAAAGUAUAUUCAAUUAUUGCAUAUAUGCUCCUAGGUAAUUUGCACAAUUGAAUUAUAGCUGUUAAUCUACUUAUUUACACAAAUGAUUAAUUGUACGCAUCCAUUGCAAGACUUUCGCACUAGGUUUCAAUUUCAACCACAAAUCCUACCUCUAGAUAAAAAUGAUGUGGUCGUAGAGAUUUCGAAUGUAUUCACUUUGUGAUUAACGGAAGCAUUGCUUUCAUUUGUAAGACGUUAAAUCAUCAUUUUGGUAAAGGAAAAAGAAUGAAAAAAGCUGCACUAUUUUAAAGGCCAUUUGGUAUAUGACCACUUCCCAUUGGACUUGGAGACCGGGUAAUUUUGUCAUCUCCACUCCUAGAAUCUGCUCUCAUGCUACUUGCAUGGUUCCAUCUUUGAAGUCUGGUACUGUUUUGUUUGGAAAAUACCCCACUAUAAUAUCUUCACGAAGAAAAUUGAUCCCCGUUAACUAGCGUGAUUAGCUUAGUUUCUUAAAUUCAACGUUCGUUUGGUUAAUUGUCUGUUAGUUUUAGAAUUUUGAUUAGCCAAUAAAACAAUGAGUUUUAUUGUUUGAUAAGGCAAGUUGAAAUAAAUUCAAUCCUACUCACAGAAAAAUUUAAAUGACACAUAUCAUAAUCUUUUUCAUAUCUUCAGAAAAAUUAAAUCAUAAGAGGAUCAUGAACAAUUUGAUGAUGCUCUGAAAUAUAGUCUUCUGUUUUUCAAGGAAAAAAUAAGGAAGUUAAAAACAUGUUUAUCAGGUUUUUCAGAGAUCAUUUUGACGUUUUUGUUUAAAAACAUGAAAAUUGUUCUUAUUCUCGUAAACCAGAAAAAAUUAUCUGGCCGGUUAGCUAAUUAUUCUUGUUCUUCUGUUCUUUUUUAUUUGAAUUGUUUCUCCCUUUUCCAUUCAUUUUUCACUAUGAAAUUAAUUACUAAUUAAUCUACAGUUAGUUUCUUUACAGCUAAUAGGAACGUGAUUUAUGCCCGAAGACUCGCAUCUUUUUGAUUCAUUAUCUACAGUGCCUCACCUCCAAUCUAUGUAUAGGCGGACAUGCAUAUUUAUUAUAUCAAAUAAGUUAUUGAUGGAAAUUUCACUUUCGAAAUAGAGAAUUAUCCUUAAUUAAAUCUUUGUGGGCCUAAAUUCGAGUAAGAUUUAAUGAUGUAUGAUUCAAAAUUAUUGAAAUCGGACAUUUUAAACAAGAAAAAAAUAAAAAAUCUUGUUCUCUUUUUUAAAUAAUAAAUUUCAUUUUGAUGGAUUUUUAAUAUUAAAUUAGACAUUUGCUAAAUUGGCUCAAAUAUAAUAGAUCUUAGACCUUGCUUUUAAUGGAUUUAAUUAGGUUUUGGGCAUUUAAAUUAUACAACUGGAGACAGAAUUUAUAAAUAGAUAAGAUUCUAAUGUGAUUUUAAAAUAAUUUUGAACUUGAACUUGAACUUGAUGCAUUUAAUUAAUCCAGAAAGGUAAAUUUAUAAUUUCAACUUUUAAAUAAAACAUAUCCUUUGGAUUUUUUACAUAAACUAGAGGCAAUUGUACAAUAUUUACUUGACUAGUGGUAUAUAUCCCAAAUUUUUUAUCCUAAGAAAUGCCACAUCAUUUGGUUGAUGAGGAUAAUAUAAUUAAUUCACUUAGAUAUUAUAAAAAAUUAUCAACCAAUCAAUGAAUAACAUAUCAUUUUCAUUGGGAUGAAAUUUGAAAAAAAAAUUUAGGACGUCUAUCAUUACUUUAGUAAGAAAGCAUAUUAAGAUGGACUGACAUGUUUGGAUGCCCCAGCCUAAGAUGCAAGAGAUCAAUUUCUUUUGUUGUCUUGAAAUCCCUACUAUUUGACUCAACAACAUUGGCAACAUUUAACUCAUUACUACUAGAACAAAAAGAUAUCAUAGACAAAGGAUUGCUAAUGCAAUUUAUUGACUCAUACUCUAAAGAUAGAGGUAACUCAACAGCACAUUCAAUCUUGCGCUACUCAUGCACAUUAGCUCAUAUAGCCUAUCUUUAGUCACUCCUUUCAUUAGGAUUUUCACUUGGCUAAAGCAAGUAGAUUUUUGAAGCACAACAUCAAUAUCAUUAUCACGGAACAAUUUUGAGACAUUAAUAAGGUUCUUAGUAAUGCUAGGCACAGACAACGAGCUGUUUAGUUUAAUCUGUUUGUGUGGAUCAUAAGUGAGCAAUAUAGAGUAUCCAAUAUGAGAAAUCAAAAGUUUAUCACCAUUUCCAACAGUAGCUCAUCAUUACCUUGAUAUUAUGAAUUAAAGCUCAUGCUUCCAAUAGCACUGGUUGCAUGAUUUGUAGCACCAUUGUCAAGGUACCAAGCUCUACUAUUCUCACCGUCAACUGCAACCACAUAUGCUCUUCUUGGAUCUCUUCUUCUAUUUGGCUGUGGAACUGAUAUGAACCCUAUUAAGAACUAACAUGACCCUAACCAAUUUAGUCUCUAAGAUUGAAACCAAUUUUUUAUUUUUUUUAGAAGAGAUUGAAACCAAAUCUAAAAUUGAAUGGAACCGCGAUUUGAUCUCAAUGAAAGUACGAACCUUGGUAUGUGAUGACGCCACAAUCAGCUAUGGAUGAUCUUAUUGAUAAGUCAAGAGUUUGAACGCCACAGAAAUCCGAUAAAUUCAAAGGGUUAGUUUAAGAACCAAAGAGAAUUAGCUUUCUCACCAAUUGCAUCAAAAUUGAUGCCUUUCUUAUUGGAUACGAGUACAUUAGAUAGGGUUGGUUUAUAAGAAUUUUAAGAAAUAAAUCCUAAACCAAAAUCAAAUCAGAAUCCUAAUUUAAAGCAAAUAAGGAAAGAAACUAAAUCAAACCAGAAUCCUUAUUGGCUUAAAUGCCUUGCAUCAAUUAAAAAUGGAAACAAGGCAAUUAAAAGAGAAAUAAUUGAUUCGUUUUGCCACUUGCCUACUCAAGAAAUGGGAAAGUAUCCUAAAAGGAAAGUAGUAUAUUUUCCAAACGAGAAAACAUCUGAUAAGGUAAAUAAUGUAUUUUCUUGCCAUAAUGUGCAAACCAACUUGCUGAUUUUAUGGAAAUGAUUAUGUGGAAACUUAAAAAGCCUGAAUCACGUAUUUAGUGGUCUGAAUAUCAUGUGCGCUUUCUUCAACGGGCCUCCACGAAUUUGAUUGAGCUCAAGUUGCUUAAAUCAACCCAUUAAGCGAUUUUUUGAAUUUUUUUGCACGAGCUCUUGUGAUGGGUCCAACAGGAACUUGAAUGGGAUAUGAAUAUACCUCAUCCCAUGUGCUUGUGACAGUUUUGUCCUCAAUAUCAUAUUUUUUCCUUCAAAGAAACAAUUUUGCUUCAUAUGGAAAAGGAAAUUCUUAUGUAGCCUUACAUGAUUUAUACAUAAACUCAUAAUAUUUGUGUAGUCCUUCAUGAACAUGUGAAAUAUACACUUAUAUAGUGAAUCCUUCAUGAGCAAGAUGUUAGUGAAUAACAUCAUAAUUUUGGAAUAGUCUUUCAGGAACAUAUUUUGAAAGAAAAUCUUCAUUAUGUAUAGUGCGAUCCUUAGAGAUGCAUUCUUAAUUUUCUUUCAUUAUAUAUUAUAAUAUUCAUACUUUAGGAUGAAUAUUUUGAAUUUCAAGAAUAGAAAAUAUAUAAUAGCAAUUGAAUAUUAUAAUAUAAAAAAUCAAACAAUAACAAAAUCAAUCAAUGGAACAUUAAAUAAAUGUUGGAAUCCAAAUCUCAUAAAAUAUAUGUAAUCAUUAAUAAAGGAAGUAUUAGAACAAGAAUCAAUCGGUCCUUGAUCUUAGCCACUAACUUAGCAUAUUGUAAUAUUCAUUCUCCUUUAUAUUCUUUCCUUUUCUAUUAUUUGACCGUUUGGUACUUGCCUUAGAUGAUUCUAGUAUUUUUGUAUAUAAGGAUCUUGUACACAGCAACAAAUAUAUAUGAGCAUUUCCACAAUUCUUUACAUGGUACCAGAGAAAAUUUUGCUCAUUUAUGCUUUUCUCUUUGACAAUCAUGUCUAGUAGUUUGAAUCCAAUAUCAGAAACAUCAAAUUCCCUCAUUACCGAUGCUUCUUCACCAUACUUUCUUCAUUCAUCUGAUCAUCCUGGAGCCAUUCUUGUAUCUAAUGUGCUAAUGGGUGAUAAUUAUUCAACAUGGAAAAAAUCCAUGAAGAUGGCAUUAAAUGCCAAAAACAAAUUGGGUUUUAUUGAUGGAAGCAUACAAAAACCUUCAUCAACCUCACAAGAUUUAAAAACUUGGGAGCGAUGCAAUGACAUGGUCCUUUCAUGGAUGCUCAAUGGAAUAGAGAAAAAUCUUGCCAACAGCCUCAUUUAUUGUGAUACUCCACGCUCUCUUUGGCUUGGGUUGGAAGAACGUUUUUCACAAAGUAAAAAUCAUUAGUGAUUUAUUUUAAUACUUUGAAAUUUUAUUAGGAUGAAUUGUCCACAUUAACCACUAUUUCUUCUUGCAAGUGUGAAACUUCAUAUGAAUUGCAGGGAUUACUAGAGACUGAAAAGGUGUUUCAAUUCCUAAUGGGUCUCAAUGAUUCAUAUUCUUCGGUACGAAGUCAAAUCUUAGCCAUGGAACCACUUCCAAAUGUUGGAAAACCAUAUUCAAUUAUUCAUCAGGAAGAACGUCAACGACUUCUCCAUGUUUCCAGUCAACCAUCCAUUGAAUCAACAGCCUUGACAGCCAAUAAUAAGACUCAAAUGACCGGCUGUCAAAAUCAUUCACAUUGUGAAGCCAGCAAGUAGUUAUAUUCUGUUUAAUUGAAUGAGGUGGCAUGCUGAGUUGGCAUAAGAUCCUUGAGUCUGUUAAAUCUGUUAAUGAAGAAUAACAGUUGGCACUCUUCUUUCGUAGCUAAGGAGUUAUAAAAGGGCAGCAAGGAGAUACAUUGGAGAUACGAGUGUAUGAGAGAUUCUUGGAGUGAGAUAUAGAACUUUUGUGAGAAGUUAAUAUCUCUGUAAUCUCAUCAUCUUUUGUAAACCAUCUUUCAUUCUAAAUAAAGCUUAGAGCUGUGCUGUUUCAACCGUGGAUGUAGGCUUUUUGUGGCCGAACCACGUUACAUCUUCUUGCCUUUAUCUUUUAUAUUCUUGGUAUCUUUGGUUGUUUGGUUUAGAUCUUUAGUGAGAAUACAUUUGUUCGUAUGCUUGUUUUCUUAAAGAAGCUUGAAAGUGCUGGGCUAAGUUCUUAACAAACUGGUAUCAGAGCCAGAAGGGCACUCUGUUCUUGAUCUGGCAUAAUGGGCAGCACAAGAUUCGAUCUUGAAAAGUUCAAUGGAGAGAAUGACUUCUACCUGUGGAGUCUGAAGAUGCGAGCCAUUCUGAUUCAACAGGGCUUGGAUAGUGCCCUCGAUGAUGACUGCGAAUCAAAGUCCAAAAGGGAAAAGGAAGAAGGAUCUUCAAGUUUGGGUGGAGACUCAAGGACUAUAAACAACAAGGCUCACAGCACUAUCAUUCUACACUUGUCUGAUGAAGUGCUGAGAGAAGUAGCCAAAGAGAAGACAGCCUCUGGUUUGUGGGCUAAACUAGAAGAACUCUUCUUGAAGAAAUCUUUGGCUAAAAGAUUGUACAUGAAGAGGAAACUCUACACGUUUUCAAUGAAGGAAGGGACAUCCAUGAAAGACCACCUUGAUGAGUUCAAUAAGUUGAUACUCGAUCUUGAAAACGUUAAUGUCAUGCUUGAAGAUGAAGAUAGAGCUCUUAUUUUGUUAAGCUCACUACCUGACUCCUAUGAGCAUUUCGUGGACACCUUGCUCUAUGGGAGACAGACCCUCACAUUGAAGGAUGUCAAGAAUGCUCUCGAAUCUAAAGACCUAAAGAAAAGAUCAGACUUCAAGGAUCAAGCUAUAGGAGAUGGUUUGUUUGUGAAAACAAAAUCAGAAAAGAAAGGAAACAAAGAUAAGAAGAACAAAAAUCAGAAAGAAAAAGAUGACAAGAAGAAGAAGAAAAGAAAAUGCUACUUCUGUCAAAGAGAAGGACAUUACAUCAAAGACUGUUUCGAGAAAAAGAAGCUAGAAAAGCUGCAAAAGGAGACAAAUGGAAAAGCAGCAAUUGCAUCUGAAGAUGAAGAGGAUGCUGAAGGUGCUGAUGUUCUCAUUGCAGCAGAUAAACAACCCACAGCUGAAUGGAUUCUUGAUUCUGGAUGUUCCUUCCACAUGUGCCCAAAUAAAGAAUUCUUCAAGACCUUCUAGAACAUAAAUAGUGGGAAAGUGUUGCUGGGAAACAACCUUGCUUGCAGAGUCACUGGAAUGGGGACUAUCAACAUUCAGAUGUUUGAUGACAAAACCAGGGAGCUUAAACAAGUAAGGUAUGUCCCUGAACUAAAAAGAAACCUGAUCUCUCUUGGGAUGAUGGAUAAAUUGGGUUGUAGCAUUAAGGCUGAAGAUGGAAAAAUUGAGGUCUUAAAUAAAGGUGAAGUCAUAAUGAAGGGUGUUAGAAGGAAUGGUUUGUAUGUGUUAGUUGGGUCAGUGCCUCAGCUUGGAGUAAAUGCUAACAUAAAUAGUGAUAAAACCAAGCUCUGGCACAUGAGACUUGGACAUAUGAGUCAAAAAGGUAUGAAGGAGCUGGAGAAACAAGGUCUGUUUGGCCAUGAUCAGAUUUCUCAACUGGAAUUCUUUGAAAAGUGUGUGUUUGGUAAAGCCACUAGACUUAAGUUUAACACAAGUAAGCAUGAAACCAAACAGACCCUGGACUACAUACAUUCUGACAUCUGGGGUCCCUCCCAAGUUUCAUCCCAUGGUGGAGCUAGAUACCUUAUCACCUUCAUAGAUGACUACUCAAGGAAGCUUUGGGUUUACAUCUUGAAGCAUAAGAGUGAAGCCCUAGAUAAAUUCAAGGAAUGGACAACUCUAAUGGAAAAUCAAACUGGGAGGAAAGUAAAAAGGCUCAGAACUGAUAAUGGGCUAGAAUACUGCAGUAAUGAGUUUGAUGAAUUCUGUAAAAGGUUGGGCAUUGCAAGACACAAGACAGUAAGACAUACACCUCAGCAAAAUGGACUUGCUGAAAGGAUGAAUAGGACCUUGAUUGAAAAGGUCAGAUGCAUGCUGUUGAGCUCAAAUCUCCCCAAGCAUUUUUGGGCUAAAGCUGCUGUUACAGCUGCAUAUCUCAUUAGCAGAAGUCCAUCAUCAGCUCUGGAGUUCAAAACACCUCAGGAAGUCUGGUCUGGGAAGCCACCUGAUCUCAGCAAUCUGAAAGUCUUUGGUUGCCCUGCCUAUGCUCACAUUAGACAGGGCAAGCUGGAACCAAGGGCUGUGAAAGGUUACUUUAUAGGGUACCCUGAGGGCGUUAAAGGAUACAAAAUAUGGAGCAUAAAUGGGAAACCCACCAGAACCUUUAUUAGCAGGGAUGUUGUUUUUGAUGAGGAAGCCCUGACACAGUCAAAGGUUGAGACUGAAAUAAUCAAUACAAGCUCUGAAGUAAAGGGAGUUGUUGAGCUGGAGGUGGAGUCACCAAAAGAAGCAAAACAACAUCCAAAACAAACACAUUCUGAAUUGGAAGGAUAUCAACUGACUAGGGAUAGAAUAAGAAGAACCAUCAAAAUGCCUGAAAGAUUUGGAGUUGCAGAUCUUAUAUCCUAUGCUUUGGCUGUGGCUGAAGCUGAAACAAGUGAGGAACCUGCAACCUACAAGCAAGCUAUGAGAACCAAGGACAAAAGAAAGUGGGUUGCUGCCAUGGAAGAAGAAAUGGCCUCACUCAGAAAGAAUAAGACCUGGACUUUAGUAAAGAAACCAGCUAACCAAAAGCUAGUAGGCUGUAAAUGGAUAUAUAAGAUAAAGGAGGGAGUCUCAGAAGCUGAACCAGCCAGGUACAAGGCCAGACUUGUAGCAAAGGGGUUCACCCAAAGAGAGGGAGUGGAUUUUAAUGAAGUAUUCUCCCCUGUGGUCAAACACAGCUCAAUAAGAGUCUUGUUAUCCAUUGCAGCAUACAAUGACUUGGAGUUAGAUCAAAUGGACGUGAAGACUGAUUUCCUACAUGGAGAUCUCAGUGAGAGGAUACUGAUGGAACAGCCAGAGGGAUUUGUUGAAGCUGAAUCAGAAGAUAUGGCUUGCUUGCUCAAUAAAAGCCUAUAUGGAUUAAAACAGUCACCUAGGCAAUGGUAUUUGAAAUUCGAUGAGUUUAUGAUCACACAUGGCUACAGCAGAAGUAAAUAUGACAGUUGUGUGUACUCUAAGGCUCUAACCUCUGGAAAUUUCAUUUACCUUUUACUCUAUGUGGAUGACAUGCUCCUGGCAUGUAAACAAAGAGAAGAGCUGGAGUGGCUUAAAGGUGAACUAAGCUCAGAAUUUGAAAUGAAGGACCUAGGUCCAGCCACCAAAAUAUUGGGAAUGCAUAUAAUCAGAGAUAGAGUUUCUAAAACCCUUUUCUUGUCUCAGACAGGAUAUGUGGAGAAGGUUCUCAGUAGAUUUGGAAUGAAUGAAUCCAAACCAGCCUUAACUCCUUUAGGAGCUCAGUUCAGACUCUCUAAACAGGAAGAGCCAAAAGAUAAUGCAGAGGUUGAACACAUGAAGAAUAUACCAUACACUAGUGUGAUUGGUUGUAUUAUGUAUGCCAUGGUCUGCACCAGACCUGAUUUGGCCUAUGGAAUUGGAGUCUUGAGCAGAUUCAUGUCAAAUCCUGGAAAACAUCAUUGGCAUGCAGCUAAAUGGAUGUUGAGGUAUUUAAAGGGCACAGCUGGUAUGGGUAUAGUAUAUGGAAGGGUUGACAAAAGCUCAGAUCAAAUUCAAGGAUAUGUUGAUUCAGACUUUGCUGGUGAUCUGGAUAAAAGAAGGUCAAUCACUGGUUAUGUUUACACUUUGUGUGGUGGAGCAGUCAGCUGGAAAGCUUCUUUACAGUCAGUAGUUGCUUUGUCAACUACUGAGGCAGAGUACAUAGCACUCUCAGAAGCAGUGAAAGAAGCAAUAUGGUUAAAAGGGUUAGUAGCAGAGUUAGGCCUGGAGCAAGGAUCAGUCAAUAUCAACUGUGACAGUUCUAGUGCCAUCCAGUUGAGCAAGAACCCAAAAUACCAUGAGAGAACAAAACAUGUGGAUAUAAGGUUACACUUCAUCAGAGAUGAGAUUGCUCAAGAAGUUGUAAAUGUAAUUAAGAUUGCAUCAGAAUGUAACCCUGCAGACAUGCUUACGAAGACUCUGCCAUCAGUCAAGUUCAAAGCUGCUUUGAAUUUGAUUGGCAUGGUUAUUUAGUAGAUCUAGUUAUGGUUGGUUGGUUCAGUGACUGAGAGAAGCUUUAACAGAAUAAAACUAGGUGGAGAUUUGUGAAGCCAGCAAGUAGUUAUAUUCUGUUUAAUUGAAUGAGGUGGCAUGCUGAGUUGGCAUAAGAUCCUUGAGUCUGUUAAAUCUGUUAAUGAAGAAUAACAGUUGGCACUCUUCUUUCGUAGCUAAGGAGUUAUAAAAGGGCAGCAAGGAGAUACAUUGGAGAUACGAGUGUAUGAGAGAUUCUUGGAGUGAGAUAUAGAACUUUUGUGAGAAGUUAAUAUCUCUGUAAUCUCAUCAUCUUUUGUAAACCAUCUUUCAUUCUAAAUAAAGCUUAGAGCUGUGCUGUUUCAACCGUGGAUGUAGGCUUUUUGUGGCCGAACCACGUUACAUCUUCUUGCCUUUAUCUUUUAUAUUCUUGGUAUCUUUGGUUGUUUGGUUUAGAUCUUUAGUGAGAAUACAUUUGUUCGUAUGCUUGUUUUCUUAAAGAAGCUUGAAAGUGCUGGGCUAAGUUCUUAACACACAUCCUAGCCAUUUGCAUGGAGUACAAGAGACACAAGGACGGGGUAGAUCUUUCUGCGAUCAUUGCCAGAAAUAUGGGCAUAUAAAAGCCAAAUGUUACAAAAUUGUUGGCUACCCACCAAACUGGAAACAUUCAAAUCGAUCGCAUGUUGCUGCUCCUACAACCACAAAGCCACAACAACUAGAUGAUCAUCCCAUUCCAACAGACAAGAAUGCAUCAUCUCAGCCUACUAUCCAAAUUCCUGGUCUCACGGCUGAACAAUAUCAACAAUUAUUAUCUAUACUUUCAACAAGUGAGCAACCAUCUACUGCAAACUUAGCUGGUAAAAUCUUUCCUUUUUGCAAUUCUGCUAUUAACUCAUAUAAUAAUUCUUGGAUAAUUGAUAGUGGGAAUCUGAUCACAUGACCCCUAAUAUUUCUUCCUUUAAAAAUUUUGUGCCCAUGUCUCAUGUCAAACCCGUGAGACUACCAAAUGGCACAACUGUUCCUACAACAAAAUGUGGAUCCAUUAAAUUAUCCUCCUCUUUGACUUUAGAUAAUGCCUUAUUGGUUCCUCAUUUUAAUUUUAAUCUAUUAUCUGUAAGCAAGCUAACCAAGGAUUUGAACUGUGCUGCUAUAUUUUUUUCCUUCAUUUUGUGUUUUUCAGGACCUUUCAACGAAGAAGCUGAUUGGAAAGGGUGAAGUUUGGGAUGGACUAUAUUAUUAUGAGCUUAUCAAUGGUCAUUCUUCCCUUCCUUCAGUAAUGAACGUUGCAAAGGAACCCAAUUCCAAUCUUUGACAUUUGCGACUCGGUCACCCUUCUAAAGACCGAAUGCAGCGUUUGUCUUUUAUUUCUGAUAUUGCAUCAUUUAAUUCUUGUUGUGAAAUUUGUCAACUUUCAAAAAACACUAGAAGUUCAUUUCAAUUGAAUAAAAAUCAUUCUGAUAUGCCAUUUCAAUUAAUUUUUUGUGAUAUUUGGGGACCUCAUCGCACAUCUACAUAUACGGGAGCAUAUUAUUUUCUUACUAUUGUUGAUGACCAUACUCGUUGUACUUGGGUUUACCUCAUACGGCACAAGUUUGAAGCUUUUCAAUUAUUAAAAAAUUUUUACUUCUUGAUCAAGACACAAUUUCACACACAAAUUAAAAAAAAAAAUUUGUAUUAAUCAAGGAAGUGAAUUUUUAUCAAAUCAGAUGCAAUUUUUUUCAUGAGCAUGGCAUCUUGCAUGAACACACUUGUGUUGAAACACCUCAACAAAAUGGGGUAGCAGAACGCAAGUAUCGACAUAUUUUAGAAGUUGCACGUGCAUUAUGUUUUCAAGCACAUUUACCUUUGUCUUUCUGGGGAGAUUGUGUUUUAGUUGCAACCCAUUUAAUUAAUCGUAUACCCACUCCUAAUCUUGGUGGUCAAUCACCUUAUGAAAUGCUUUUUAAGACUAAACCUCACUAUGAUCUUCUUCGUGUCUUUGGCUGUCUUUGUUAUGCUCAUACCAACAGUGCUAAUCGUCAUAAAUUUGCUUCCCGUGCUACCAAGUGUAUAUUUGUUGGUUACCCAUUUGGGUAUCUCGGAUACAAAGUUUAUGAUAUCAUUAAUAAAAAGACUUUUAUUUCUCGUGAUGUUACUUUUGUGGAAACUGAAUUCCCAUUCAAAACUAUCACCAAUCAACAAGAAAAUAGCAAUCUUUUACCUCUUCCUAUCAUACUUCCUGCCAAUGAAAAUGCACAGCUCCUUCCAACUUCUUCCAAUGAAAAGCCACUCCACCAAGGUACAUCUGAUUCAAUAGUUCUCCCUUCUCCACCUCUUCGACGAUCCCAACGACAGUCUUGUCGUCCAAAUUAUCUUCAGAAUUAUAUUUUCUCUACUGCACUUCACGGUACAUUUGGCAACUCUAUUACUUUUACUAAUCAUCCACCAUUGGUAAGUUCUUUAUAUCCAUUAUCCAAGUAUUUAUCAUAUGACAAGUUUUCUAGUGAUCAUGUAGCCUUUCUUUAAGCUAUAUCUCACGGUGUUGAACCAACUACAUAUUCUCAAGCCGUUCAACAUGCUUAUUGGCGCAAUGCUAUGGAUAUAGAGAUUAAAGCUUUGGAGCAAAGUAACACUUGGACAAUACAAGAUCUACCCCCCGGCAAGAAACCAAUUGGUUGUAAAUGAGUGUUUAAAAUUAAAAGAAAAGCUGAUGGUUCUAUUGAUAGAUACAAAGCAUGCCUUGUUGCUAAAGGAUACACACAAACUGAAGGUUUGGAUUACCAUGAGACAUUUGCACCUGUUGCAAAACUUGUGACUGUUAGAUGUGUAUUGGCAAUGGCAGCUAUUCGAGGGUGGUUAUUAUUUCUGUUAGAUGUUCAUAAUGCAUUUCUUCAUGGCAACUUGCAUGAGGAAAUUUAUAUGACCUUACCUCCAGGAGUUCGUAAACAGGGGGAGUCUUAUCAAUUUUGUCGGUUAAACAAGUCCCUUUAUGGUCUUAAGCAAGCUUUUCAAAAAUUGGUUUGAAAAAUUCUCAUCCGCUCUUAAACAAAUUGGUUACAUUCAAUUUUGUGCUGAUUCUUGUUUAUUUACUAAUAUGCACGAUUCUCAUUUUACAUUGGUGCUUGUGUAUGUUGAUGAUAUAAUAAUUGCUGGUAACCAUCUUGACACUAUAACUGCAUUGAAGAUAUUUUUACAGGCUCAAUUUCAUAUUAAAGACUUGGGAACUUUGAAAUAUUUUUUAGGAAUUGAAGUGGCUCGUUCAAAGCAAGGGAUUUUCUUAAAUCAAAGGAAAUAUGCUUUAGAUAUACUUCAAGACAGUGGACAAUUAGGCACACGGCCAUCUUCUUUUCCAAUGGAAUAAAACUUGAAGCUCUCUAACGAUCAAGGAACCCUUUGUCAAAAUCCUGACCACUACUAACCACUGUCAUAGGAUGUCUCAUCUAUUUGACAAUCACCCGGCCAGAAAUUACAUAUGCUGUGAACAUACUUAGUCAAUUUAUGCACACUCCAAGACGACCACAUUAUGAUGUUGCCCUGCGUGUCUUACGUUACAUUAGAUCUUCUCCCGGCGCUGGUAUCCUCUUGUCCUCCGCUAGCUCUUUGGAACUCUCUGCCUUCUCAGAUUCAGAUUGGGCAAGUUGCCCCAUGACCCGUCGAUCCACCACUGAAUAUAUUAUCAUGCUCGGCAACAAUCCUAUUUCUUGGAAAACCAAGAAGCAACCAUUUGUAUCGCGCUCUUCCGCUGAAGCCGAAUAUCGAGCAAUGGCGACAACAACAUGUGAAUUGGUUUGGUUGAAAACUCUACUUCAUGAUCUUCAUGUGACCCAUCCAAUGCCUAUAACUUUACAUUGUGACAAUCAAGUUGUGCUUCAUAUCGCUGCGAAUCCCAUCUUCCAUGAGCGUACCAAGCACAUAGAAAUAGACUGCCAUCUUGUUCGUGAAAAGCUUCAUGCCAAAAUCAUUUCCUUAACUUAUGUGCCUUCACGACAACAAUUGGCUGACAGUUUUACCAAAGUUCUUGGUAAAGAUCAAUUUCAAUAUCUUCUUGGCAAGUUGGGAGUUACGGAUCUUCACUUUCCAACUUGAGGGGGAGUAUUAGAACAAGAAUCAAUCGGUCCUUGAUCUUAGCCACUAACUUAGCAUAUUGUAAUAUUCAUUCUCCUUUAUAUUCUUUCCUUUUCUAUUAUUUGACUGUUUGGUACUUGCCUUAGAUGAUUAUAGUAUUUUGGUAUAUAAGGAUCUUGUACACAGCAACAAAUAUAUAUGACCAUUUCCACAAUUCUUUACAGGAAGUAAGGAACAACUUCAUAGAUCCAUUAUUCUUAAAUUAUAAAAAUACAUAAACAACAUAUGUAUAUGAUUUUAGACAAAUCAAGAUAGUUUAAUUCAUACCUUUGUGAGUGAGAUCAAAGGAGGGAUAUUAUCAUAUUACCUCUUAAUGGCUAGAGACUCGUGUUGAUAAUGUGUUAUAUCAUUUAUCAAUUGGGAGUGCAACAAUAUAGCAAGAGAAAUAAAGAAGGCAAAUAAGAGACACAAUGUUUAGAGGGGAAUUUUAUUCAAUCUCAAAUAUAUACAAAUAGGAAGCAAAGGCCUGCUUUUAUAGUGAUACAAGCAUAAAGUAGUAAGUAAUACCUCGUAAUUAUAAGAGAUGACAAUCCUCAGAUUAGGGAGAUAAUGAGAGUUAUAAAAGAUGGAAAGUUACUUGUGAGGAGAUCGAAGAUUGCUUUGAUGAACAUCCACAUAUAUUAUAAUAAUUUCAUAACAUACAUUUACUUUUAAUUUAUUUUUAAGGUUAAUUGGUUAAUAAGCUUCUUGUGUAGUAGAUUGAUUAAUGUGCCCAAGAAUAUUGUUGGAUGCUAUUAUUUUAAAGGCAAAGAAAAAUAAGGCAUAAGUGUCACAUGUUCAAUAGCAGGGAUGUUUUGAGGAAUUUCUUAAAAUAAAAAGACUAAGUAGAUCUUUAGCCCAAAAUAUAGGGAUUAAGCAAGCAUUCAUCCUAUUGAAAAGCAAAGUAAACUAAUGUAACCAUAAUUGAAUAUAAAGUUAACUCUUCUAUGGCAUUAUAGAGAACAAAAGAAGGAAAAAUAUUAUUCAAAUUCAAGAUAAGAAGGUAGUUUAUUAACUGUCUAAAGUUCAAAAUUUUAUUAAUUUCAGACCUUUUUUAAAAUUUACUUAUUUGUUUUUUUGUAACUUAUGUUUGAUUUUUAGAUAUUUACAUCUGAAUAGAAAAAGUAAGAUUUUUUGACUUUUAUCUAAAUGGAAAAAGAUCUGAAUGAUUAGUAAAUAUUAUAUUCCAUAAAUAUCUCUAUAAAAUAACUUAUUUCCUAAUCUAUAAAAUAGAAUCCCCUUUUUUUAUUUUGAUUUACAAGGACGUAAAUGUCAAAGAACUAAGUUUAAGAUGUUUUUUAUUAUAAAAACAAAUAAGAUGCCACUUACAUUCAUAUAUUAAAAAAUGAAAAACAAACAUGUGAUUCAAAUUUUCGUAUUCAAACCCAUUCAAACUUGAAAAAAAUUUAGACACAUUCAAAUUUCAGACAAAAAAGACAAAUACUACUUCAAUUUUUUUUUCGCUUUGCAACUGCCCACUGCUAACCAAAUAAAAAAAGAUUUUCAAUUUGGAAUUAUGUUAUCCAACAUAUGAAGACAAUUCUUCCUUUGAACGAAUCUUUAUGAUUGUUUUCUGAACGAAUAUUGCUCUAAAUUAAAAUAUUUUAGAACAAAAAAUAGUUGAUUGCCAAAUGUACAAUAGGUACAAUUUUCUUUUUUCAGCUCUCUUUUGGAAGAGAACUAUGUCGUCCUUUAUAAUUAUUAUUUCUUGAAAGAAUACAAACUUAAAUUACUGGCUUUUUAUUUGUAAAAUCAUAUAAAAUAGACUCUUUUAAGGAAAAUAUCUCAUACCGGAGAUAAUAAUUUCUGGACUAAGAAUAUAAACUUAAAACAGCACUACUAUCAAAUUAUCUUUAAAAGAGUUCCUUGAUCAAAAGAAUUUAUUUAUCAUUUUUCACAGUUUAAAAAAAUAAAAAAAAUUACAUAGAAAUAAUUGGAAGAUUUCCUAAAUAAGCAUCAAAUAAAUGCUAAUUUAUUGCAUGAUACUUGGAAGAAACCAUAAAUAAAAAUUAAGGAUUUAUAAUUUUAAAGACAAGUUGGGAGUUUAAAUUUUCUUGCCAUCUUGAGGGAGAAUAAUAAGACCGAAAUAAUAUUGAUGAAACAAAAUAAUCAAUCAAAUAUUUGAUUGUCUUCAUCUUAAUCAGUGAUCAAGAAAAAUUGGUUGUUAAUUAACAUAAAAAUUGAUUGACUCAAUAUUUACUAAUAGAUCAUUAUUCCCAAAUUAUGUUAAUUAUAUAUAUUUCAAAUACUUAUAAGAAUUGAGUUUGCUUACGGUUUAUUAAAUAUAGUCUCUUAAAAGUUUACAUGUGGCCCAUACAAAGCUAACAUUACUCUGUUAUAGCAUUUCGGGCAUCCAACAAGAUCCUCUUCUUCACUUAUUGUUAGAACUAGAGCUAACAAAUUAAUUACUUAAUCACGGCUAAGUUUGGAAUUAAAAUCAAACUAAAUUAUCUAAUUGGUUGAGUUCGGUUUCCGUUUGUAUGGGCUACAUGAAAUUUUUUCUCUCAUCUUCUCUCGUCUGCUAAUCGCAUCUUUCUCUCUUUCGACUCUCUAAUUUCUCUCUUGGAUUUGGUUACCAAGCACAUAAAAUUGAAGCCACCAUCUCGCUCAUAACAAACAACUAGUCGGAUCCACCAAACUGUUGCUGUCAUCUUGAGCCAUUCAAGUAACUUGAACACAUCAUCUUCUCGUAAAUUCUCUUUCAUUUUCGAAUUAAAGACAAGGUAAGGAUGUAAUCUUGACUUUUGUGUUUUUUGUGAUGACUACAGAAAAUGCUAUAUGAAACAAUUAGGGAUUUAUGUGCUAUAUAAUAAUAAUAAUAAUAAUAAUAAUAACAACAACAACAACAACAACAAGUAGUCAUUUAUGAAUUUUGAGUGAAAAAAUAGGGAUUUAUGUGCUUCUUCUUCUUCUUCUUCUUCUUCUUCUUAUUAUUAUUAUUAUUAUUAUUAUUUUCCCUAUAUUAAACAAGUAGUCAUUUAUGAAUUUUGAGUGAAAAAUUCACUCGGCUGUGGCAAAUUUUGUGCCUUACAAGUAGUCGAUUUCACGCAUUCAUCAUCACCAUUACUAUGUUCAUUAUUAUUUGCUAUUGUUUUUUACUUUUUCUGCUGUUAUUGAUUAAAUUGACAUUAAAUUUAUGUCUUGUUCAUUACAAGACUUAGGGUGCGUUUGGGAUUGAGGUUGGGCAGCUGUAGCUUAAAAGCUACAGCACUAAAGUGUUUGGUAAACACUAGCUGUUGUAGCUUUUAAGAUAUGUUGAUAUGAUUUUUCACUUGUAUAAUAUAAAAUUUAUUAUAUCUUUAAUAAUUUUAUCAAAAUUAUUAUUUAAAAUUUAUAUUUACUAUUAUUAUUAACUUUUGUUUUAUAAUUACAGCUUUUUUUUCACAGCAGCUGUAGCUUAAAAGCUACAGCACCUCAAUCCCAAACGCACCCUUAACAAUAUAAUCCAGUUGUAACAUGGACACUACAGAUGAUACAAGUGCGCAAGACCUAGUCAGAGAGCGUAGUACACUUUUUGUAAGUAUAAACUAAUUGAUAUUUUUCGAGUUGUUAUGUUAGCAACCAUUUUAAAAACACUUUUGUUUUCGAAUUUUGGUUACGUUGAAGUGAAGGGGAUUGAGUUGCCAUUAAAAAUCAAAGUAUUUUGGUCUUUAUAAACAAAGCGCUUUUGUGGAAUAGAUCUAAGAAGAUGCUAAUCUUCUUAAUAAAUUUUUUUUAAAAAAAAUUCUAUUACUCUUGGUGCAACAAAUUUCCUAGUCCCAAAACCUUGUCAUAGAAAAAAAAAAAAAAAAAAAAAGAAAACAGAAAAAGAGUGAAAAUCUCUUCGGUCAACCAAAUUACUCAAAUUCGUAAAAUAAUAUAAUACUUGAACCUUAAAAAUAAAAGCUCUAUAUAUUACUAUAUAAACAGUGAUAAACACAAUUACUAUCUAAGCCCACUCGAAGUUUUAUCAUACAGUCGUAUAUUUAUCACCUUAUGUACGUAUAUUGUAAUUUGGAUACGUUAUUUAAUUGUAUUUAUAUUGUGUAUAUUUACCACAUUAUGUACGUAUAUAAAAUAUAACGUAUAUUGUGUAAACUCUACUAUAAACAAUUAAUAUUUGGUCAUAUUUCUUUUGGCAAAUAACCCCCUGGGAUUUCUUCUUUAUCGCAACAUGAAAUUGAAGAUAUUUAAAAGGUUUUGAAACGUUAUUUUUAUUGAAUGGAGUUGCCAUUUUUAAUUUUGGUUGCAAAUAAUAAUUCCUUGGUGGUUACAAUAUUUUUAAAUAUCCCCAUUAAGGCUGUAGGGGCUACAAAUCUUCAUUCUAGAUCUGUAACAUAUGACUAUGAAUUAUAUAUAAAUGAGCUAUUUUUCUUUAUCUUUGGAUAUAUUAUAUACUCUAUUGUUUUCUCCGAAACUCUACGAUAAACAAUUAAUACUUUUCUUUGCAACUUCGACAAAUGAGCUAAGGAAUGUUAAUGCAUUCAUUAAUUAUUCAAUUUCUUAUCUAAAGACUAAGAUUCUUUUAUUUUUUAUUCUAUCAAUUUAUUAUUAUCGUAAAACAAUUGCGGGUGAGUAUAUUUAAACUCAUUAGAUCACUUCCUAUAUCCUAAAUCAAUAAAUAAUUUUAUUACAAAAUUACUGAAAAAUCCUUUUAAUUUCUUGAAUACCCAAAAAGUAAAAUUACCAUUCUAGAUGGAGGAUAAAUCUUUAAAACUGCCUUAAACGCAUCUUAUUUGUUCAUACACACACAAGUUAUUAAACAACCAUGGAUGUUGAACCAAAGUGUCAAACUUAGUUUCUGGUUGUCAAAUUUUCUUCCUAUUGGACAUCUAAAUCGUUUUGUAGUCAGUAACAUAGUCAGAAAAUCAAAUUAGUGGGGUAGAAUGACUGACAUAAAAUAUAAAGAAAUUUUUUUACUGUGUUCUUUAUCUAUUUUUCUAAUAUUUUUAGCAUUCCUCCUUACAUAUGUCUUAAUAGCAUGUUUAAUUUGAAGAAAUAAAAUAAGAAGAGAUGAGAGAUAAGGAGAAUGGGAACAAUAAAUAAUGGAAAAAGAGAUAUAAUUAUAUAUUAAAUUAAACAAUGAAAUUGAGAAUGAUCCUAUUUUUUCCCUCAUUUUUGAUCACUUACUCUAAGGAACCAGAACUUUAAGGAAAGACAGACAAAUCAUAAAGAUUGAAGAGCAGGAAUUUUUGUUCUCCUUUUUAAAUAAAAAAUUUCAUUUCAAUGGAUUUUUAUUAUUAAAUUAGUCUUUCUCUAAAUCAGAUCAAAUAUAUUAGAUCUUAAAUCUUGUUUUUAAUGAAAUUAAUUACGUUUUGGGCAUUUAAAUUAUGAAAUUGGACAAGAUUUGUGUGUGAUUUUAAAAUAAAUAUGAACUUGAAUUUGAUGCAUUUAAUUAAUCCAAAGAGGCAAAUUUAUAAUUUCAACUUCUAAAUAAAACAUAUCAUUUGAAUUUUAUCAGUGGUUUCUAACAAUAACUGACAGGUCAUUAUAAUAAUUAUAAAUGUAAUAUUUAUUUUUAUAAUUAUACAGUUAUGAUCAAUGCUAUGCUGUAGUGCCGUUCCAAAGGCAACUGCUCCCACUAUAAUUAUAAUCAUUAAGCAAGAACUUGCAAAAGCAACUUAAUUACAAGUAAUCUUUCCUCUGUUCUUAUUUUCAGUUCAAUUUGGUCCCGAGAAUAAUGAUGUUGACGACAACAAAAAUAAUAAUUGAUGCAUCUUGCUGUUUAAUAAGGCAAGCUCGAAAUAAAUCAAAUCCUAGUCAUACAAAAAUUCAAAUGAUAUGAGCCAUGAUCUCUUGCCAAGCUUCAGACAAGUUAAAUUAUAAGAGGAUCUUGAUAAGUUAAAUUAUGAACAGACAUUUACGCUGUGGACCCAUUCAUGCAUCCCCGUUUCGAUUUUGCAAUUUAACGUAGCCGUUAAUCUUACCUAGCCAUGUGUACGAGAAAAACUCCGCCGUCGAUCCGUAUAUGUAAGCACCAAGCAUGCAUUAUUAUUUUACCAAUUAUAAAGCACCGACACCCAGGGCCAGCCUAGAAUUAUAAUACUAUUUUUUUUUUUGGAUCAGGACGAAAUUAUUAUUGAAUAAUAAUUAAAACAAAAAAAAUCUGAAUCUUUCUAUGAUUGUAUCAACUUAUUAUGCAUGCCUAUGUUAUUGCCCAGUUGCCUAUGUUAUUGACAUCUACUACGAAGUUAGAAAUUGGUCUUAAUUAAUUAGAUAUGUUUCGAAAUUGGUCUUAAUUAAUUAGAUGCAUUUCUCAUUUGAAUUAUUUGGAGACGUGUAUAAUACAGGUCAAGUUUUCUAAUAAGAGGUUAGUGACUUUAUUUCUUUUAUUGGCUCAUAUUGAUUUAUGUGGCUAUCAUUCCUAGCUAAUUCGAUUAUUUAUCAAUAAUUUUAUUGAACAAAUUGAUUUAUUGGUUAAAAUAAGUUGUUCUUAUUAUUGUUUUUGACUAGAAGGUCUCAAUAAAGUUGGAAUAAAUAAAUUUUCAUCUAUGUCUCGCACUUACGUAAAAUAAAAGAAAAAAUCAUAAUUACAAAGAAAUUAAGAACCAAUGUCAAUCAUGUAAAAUCAAAUAUUUAAACAAUCAAAAUUUUAUCACUUCUGAGUUUAAGACUUUUUUCUUUCAUAUGUUAGAAAAUAAAAUUUUGAUGGAAUUUUUUUUUUUUAAAAUGAAAUUGGGAAUUAGAAAAUUUCAUUUCCAAGACUUUUUUCUUUCAAAUUAAGACUGCACGUGAUAAUUGCGGUUAGUUUUCCCCUGUUAUCAAUUAUUGCCACCGGAUGGGACCCACGUAAUUCGUCUAAUUGAACUGUACCCGGUUAUUCGCAAUCCACACCGGGCAAACUUGAAUCAUCUAUAUAUAUUACAUCAAAUUGUCAAAUCGGAAGCGAGAACUCGAAAAAGUAAUUUAGUAAAACUCGCCGCCUAUAAAAUUCAAAACCGAGGGCCAAGACGAAGUAUUCACUCAAGGACCGCGAGUCACGCAUUGUGGUGUGAACGGUUACCAAAACAACGAAAAUGAACCAACGUCUUUGCUGUCUUAUUGUUCUCUUUCUCUCCGUGGUCCCUCUCCUGGCCGCCGGCGACCGUAAAGGAGCGUUGGUUGGGGGAUGGAAGGCGAUAGAGGACCCCAAGGAGAAGCACGUGAUGGAGAUUGGGCAGUUCGCGGUGACGGAGUACAACGAACGGUCAAAGAGCGCGUUGAAGUUUGAGAGCGUGGAGAAGGGCGAGACUCAGGUGGUUUCCGGCACCAAUUACCGGCUGAUCUUGGUCGUCAAGGACGGUCCUUCGAUCAAGAAAUUUGAAGCUGUCGUUUGAGAGAAGCCAUGGGAGCAUUUCAAGAGUCUCACCUCGUUUAAGCCUAUGUUUGGGGGAUGGACUCCGAUAGACCCCACGGAGAAGCACGUGAUGGAGAUCGGGCAGUUCGCGGUGACGGAGUACAACAAACGGUCAAAGAGCGCGUUGAAGUUCGAGAGGGUGGAGAAGGCCGAGACUCAGGUGGUUUCCGGCACCAAUUACCGGCUGAUCUUGGUCGUCAAGGACGGACCUUCGACCAAGAAAUUUGUAGCUGUCGUUUGGGAGAAGCCAUGGGAGCAUUUCAAGAGUCUCACCUCGUUUAAGCCUAUGUUUGGGGGAUGGACUCCGAUAGACCCCACGGAGAAGCACGUGAUGGAGAUCGGGCAGUUCGCGGUGACAGAGUAAUACAAACGGUCAAAGAGCGCGUUGAAGUUCGAGAGCGUGGAGAAGGCCUGGACUCAGGUGCUUUCCGGCACCAAUUACCGGCUGAUCUUGGUCGUCAAGGACGGACCUUCGACCAAGAAAUUUGAAGCUGUCGUUUGGGAGAAGCCAUGGGAGCAUUUCAAGAGUCUCACCUCGUUUAAGCCUAUGUUUGGGGGAUGGACUCCGAUAGACCCCACGGAGAAGCACGUGAUGGAGAUCGGGCAGUUCGCGGUGACAGAGUACAACAAACGGUCAAAGAGCGCGUUGAAGUUCGAGAGCGUGGAGAAGGCCUGGACUCAGGUCGUUUCCGGCACCAAUUACCGGCUGAUCUUGGUCGUCAAGGACGGACCUUCGACCAAGAAAUUUGUAGCUGUCGUUUGGGAGAAGCCAUGGGAGCAUUUCAAGAGUCUCACCUCGUUUAAGCCUAUGUUUGGGGGAUGGACUCCGAUAGACCCCACGGAGAAGCACGUGAUGGAGAUCGGGCAGUUCGCGGUGACAGAGUAAUACAAACGGUCAAAGAGCGCGUUGAAGUUCGAGAGCGUGGAGAAGGCCUGGACUCAGGUGCUUUCCGGCACCAAUUACCGGCUGAUCUUGGUCGUCAAGGACGGACCUUCGACCAAGAAAUUGUUAGCUGUCGUUUGGGAGAAGCCAUGGGAGCAUUUCAAGAGUCUCACCUCGUUUAAGCCUAUGCUUGGCGGAUGGACUCCGAUAGACCCCACGGAGAAGCACGUGAUGGAGAUCGGGCAGUUCGCGGUGACAGAGUACAUCAAACGGUCAAAGAGCGCGUUGAAGUUCGAGAGCGUGGAGAAGGCCUGGACUCAGGUGGUUUCCGGCACCAAUUACCGGCUGAUCUUGGUCGUCAAGGACGGACCUUCGACCAAGAAAUUUGAAGUUGUCGUUUGGGAGAAGCCAUGGGAGCAUUUCAAGAGUCUCACCUCGUUUAAGCCUAUGCUUGGGGAUGGACUCCGAUAGACCCCACGGAGAAGCACGUGAUGGAGAUCGGGCAGUUCGAGGUGACGGAGUGCAAUAAACGGUCAAAGAGCGCGUUGAAGUUCGAGAGCGUGGAGAAGGCCUGGACUCAGGUGGUUUCCGGCACCAAUUACCGGCUGAUCUUGGUCGUCAAGGACGGACCUUCGACCAAGAAAUUUGAAGCUGUCGUUUGGGAGAAGCCAUGGGAGCAUUUCAAGAGUCUCACCUCGUUUAAGCCUAUGUUUGGGGGAUGGACUCCGAUAGACCCCACGGAGAAGCACGUGAUGGAGAUCGGGCAGCUCGCGGUGACGGAGUACAACAAACGGUCAAAGAGCGCGUUGAAGUUCGAGAGCGUUUAGAAGGCCGAGACUCAAGUGGUUUCCGGCACCAAUUACCGGCUGAUCUUGGUCGUCAAGGACGGACCUUCGACCAAGAAAUUUGUAGCUGUCGUUUGGGAGAAGCCAUGGGAGCAUUUCAAGAGUCUCACCUCGUUUAAGCCUAUGUUUGGGGGAUGGACUCCGAUAGACCCCACGGAGAAGCACGUGAUGGAGAUCGGGCAGUUCGCGGUAACAGAGUACAACAAACGGUCAAAGAGCGCGUUGAAGUUCGAGAGCGUGGAGAAGGCCUGGACUCAGGUCGUUUCCGGCACCAAUUACCGGCUGGUCUUGGUCGUCAAGGACGGACCUUCGACCAAGAAAUUGUUAGCUGUCGUUUGGGAGAAGCCAUGGGAGCAUUUCAAGAGUCUCACCUCGUUUAAGCCUAUGCUUGGGGGAUGGAAUCCGAUAGACCCCACGGAGAAGCACGUGAUGGAGAUCGGGCAGUUCGCUGUGACAGAGUACAACAAACGGUCAAAGAGCGCGUUGAAGUUCGAGAGCGUGGAGACGGCCUGGACUCAGGUGGUUUCCGGCACCAAUUACCGGCUGAUCUUGGUCGUCAAGGACGGACCUUCGACCAAGAAAUUUGUAGCUGUCAUUUGGGAGUAGCCAUGGGAGCAUUUCAAGAGUCUCACCUCGUUUAAGCCUAUGCUUGGGGGAUGGACUCCGAUAGACCCCACGGAGAAGCACGUGAUGGAGAUCGGGCAGUUCGCGGUGACAGAGUACAACAAACGGUCAAAGAGCGCGUUGAAGUUCGAGAGCGUUGAGAAGGCUUGGACUCAGGUGGUUUCCGGCACCAAUUACCGGCUGAUCUUGGUCGUCAAGGACGGACCUUCGACCAAGAAAUUUGAAGCUGUCGUUUGAGAGAUGCCAUGGGAGCAUUUCAAGAGUCUCACCUCGUUUAAGCCUAUGCUUGGGGGAUGGACUCCGAUAGAGCCCACGGAGAAGCACGUGAUGGAGAUCGGGCAGUUCGCGGUGACAGAGUACAAUAAACGGUCAAAGAGCGCGUUGAAGUUCGAGAGCGUUGAGAAGGCUUGGACUCAGGUGGUUUCCGGCACCAAUUACCGGCUGAUCUUGGUCGUCAAGGACGGACCUUCGACCAAGAAAUUUGUAGCUGUCGUUUGGGAGUAGCCAUGGGAGCAUUUCAAGAGUCUCACCUCGUUUAAGCCUAUGCUUGGGGGAUGGACUCCGAUAGACCCCACGGAGAAGCACGUGAUGGAGAUCGGGCAGUUCGCGGUGACGGAGUACAACAAACGGUCAAAGAGCGCGUUGAAGUUCGAGAGCGUGGAGAAGGCCUGGACUCAGGUGCUUUCCGGCACCAAUUACCGGCUGAUCUUGGUCGUCAAGGACGGACCUUCGACCAAGAAAUUUGAAGCUAUCGUUUGGGAGAAGCCAUGGGAGCAUUUCAAGAGUCUCACCUCGUUUAAGCCUAUGGUUAAAUAGGGUGUUUAACAAAUAACAAAUGCAUGUAAUUGUUAAAUAAAGGAUAGGUAUACUAUUACCUAUCAAUCAUGGCAAUGUCUUAGUCUGUUUUAGUUCAACUUAUAAGAUUUCUUGAGAUGUACAAGAGAUCUUUUUGUUUACUUUUGAGCCAAGUAUUUUCCUGAAAAAGGAAAUAAAUCAAUAAAAAUUAUUGUGUGUCAACAUAUUGGUUAUAUUAGUCUAUACACGUCGGUUUUAAUUACCAUAUCUCCUCCUAAAUAUUUUACUUUUUUUGAAACAAGCUCAAAAAUUUGUUGUAUAAAAAACACUAUCACUUUCAAUCAUAACGUCCUCCUGGUCCUCCAUUGGGGAUAUUAUAGUGUGUCAUUCUGUAACCCAGAACUAUCAUUUAUUCCACCUCUACGAUAUCUUGUAAUGUUACUUGCAGCUUCAUAAGCCACAGAAACAUCAUCAAAAUCAACAAAUUGUUUUCUUUUCUUUUUUUUUAGGAAAGUAAUAAGAAAAAUAAAAGCUGCAUUAUUCUAUUUAUGAUCAAUAGAAGAAUUCAAGUGACUGGAGAAAAUUCAGAUUGUUCAAAAUGGGUUCUCAAACGAGAUAAGCCUCAGGUAGUAGACCUCACCAACAUCAAUACCAGACUCAAUCCAUUGAAUCGGUCUCGUCUUAAGCCUAACAGCUCCCUUCUAAUAUAAUCUAGUGAGAACGGUGAGGUGCUUGGUAUAUCAUACACCAAAAAUCAACGAUGCUUGGACUUUCAAGAAAAAGAGAAAAACAAAUGCAUGCACGGGGAAACGUACUAAUAAAAAGCAAAUCAUAUAAUUUACAAAUUAUUAUAGGCUUGUAGCCAUAAGAUCGAGAGAAACUAAAACAUUUCUUGCAUUUUCUGGCCAUAUUUUCUAAAUGAAGGGAUGGUCCAUUGCUGCUCUGCCAUACUGGAUCUCAAGAUGUCGUUAACAAUAGGUCUCAAGAUGUCACUAAAUUAUUGCCAGCAAAUGAUAUUUCGAGUCAAAAAAGUAUAUUCAAUUAUUGCAUAUAUGCUCCUAGGUAAUUUGCACAAUUGAAUUAUAGCUGUUAAUCUACUUAUUUACACAAUUGAUUAAUUUACGCAUCCAUUGCAAGACUUUCGCACUAGGUUUCAAUUUCAACCACAAAUCCUAGCUCUAGAUAAAAAUGAUGUGGUCGUAGAGAUUUCGAAUGUAUUCACUUUGUGAUUAACGGAAGCAUUGCUUUCAUUUGUAAGACGUUAAAUCAUCAUUUUGGUAAAGGAAAAAGAAUGAAAAAAGCUGCACUAUUUUAAAGGCCAUUUGGUAUAUGACCACUUCCCAUUGGACUUGGAGACCGGGUAAUUUUGUCAUCUCCACUCCUAGAAUCUGCUCUCAUGCUACUUGCAUGGUUCCAUCUUUGAAGUCUGGUACUGUUUUGUUUGGAAAAUACCCCACUAUAAUAUCUUCACGAAGAAAAUUGAUCCCCGUUAACUAGCGUGAUUAGCUUAGUUUCUUAAAUUCAACGUUCGUUUGGUUAAUUGUCUGUUAGUUUAGAAUUUUGAUUAGCCAAUAAAACAAUGAGUUUUAUUGUUUAAUAAGGCAAGUUGAAAUAAAUUCAAUCCUACUCACAGAAAAAUUUAAAUGACACAUAUCAUAAUCUUUUUCAUAUCUUCAGAAAAAUUAAAUCAUAAGAGGAUCAUGAACAAUUUGAUGAUGCUCUGAAAUAUAGUCUUCUGUUUUUCAAGGAAAAAAUAAGGAAGUUAAAAACAUGUUUAUCAGGUUUUUCAGAGAUCAUUUUGACGUUUUUGUUUAAAAACAUGAAAAUUGUUCUUAUUCUCGUAAAACAGAAAAAAUUAUCUGGCCGGUUAGCUAAUUAUUCUUGUUCUUCUGUUCUUUUUUAUUUGAAUUGUUUCUCCCUUUUCCAUUCAUUUUUCACUAUGAAAUUAAUUACUAAUUAAUCUACAGUUAGUUUCUCUACAGCUAAUAGGAACGUGAUUUAUGCCCGAAGACUCGCAUCUUUUUUAUUCAUUAUCUACAGUGCCUCACCUCCAAUCUAUGUAUAGGCGGACAUGCAUAUUUAUUAUAUCAAAUAAGUUAUUGAUGGAAAUUUCACUUUCGAAAUAGAGAAUUAUCCUUAAUUAAAUCUUUGUGGGCCUAAAUUCGAGUAAGAUUUAAUGAUGUAUGAUUCAAAAUUAUUGAAAUCGGACAUUUUAAACAAGAAAAAAAUAAAAAAUCUUGUUCUCUUUUUUAAAUAAUAAAUUUCAUUUUGAUGGAUUUUUAAUAUUAAAUUAGACAUUUGCUAAAUUGGCUCAAAUAUAAUAGAUCUUAGACCUUGCUUUUAAUGGAUUUAAUUAGGUUUUGGGCAUUUAAAUUAUACAACUGGAGACAGAAUUUAUAAAUAGAUAAGAUUCUAAUGUGAUUUUAAAAUAAUUUUGAACUUGAACUUGAACUUGAUGCAUUUAAUUAAUCCAGAAAGGUAAAUUUAUAAUUUCAACUUUUAAAUAAAACAUAUCCUUUGGAUUUUUUACAUAAACUAGAGGCAAUUGUACAAUAUUUACUUGACUAGUGGUAUAUAUCCCAAAUUUUUUAUCCUAAGAAAUGCCACAUCAUUUGGUUGAUGAGGAUAAUAUAAUUAAUUCACUUAGAUAUUAUAAAAAAUUAUCAACCAAUCAAUGAAUAACAUAUCAUUUUCAUUGGGAUGAAAUUUGAAAAAAAAAUUUAGGACGUCUAUCAUUACUUUAGUAAGAAAGCAUAUUAAGAUGGACUGACAUGUUUGGAUGCCCCAGCCUAAGAUGCAAGAGAUCAAUUUCUUUUGUUGUCUUGAAAUCCCUACUAUUUGACUCAACAACAUUGGCAACAUUUAACUCAUUACUACUAGAACAAAAAGAUAUCAUAGACAAAGGAUUGCUAAUGCAAUUUAUUGACUCAUACUCUAAAGAUAGAGGUAACUCAACAGCACAUUCAAUCUUGCGCUACUCAUGCACAUUAGCUCAUAUAGCCUAUCUUUAGUCACUCCUUUCAUUAGGAUUUUCACUUGGCUAAAGCAAGUAGAUUUUUGAAGCACAACAUCAAUAUCAUUAUCACGGAACAAUUUUGAGACAUUAAUAAGGUUCUUAGUAAUGCUAGGCACAGACAACGAGCUGUUUAGUUUAAUCUGUUUGUGUGGAUCAUAAGUGAGCAAUAUAGAGUAUCCAAUAUGAGAAAUCAAAAGUUUAUCACCAUUUCCAACAGUAGCUCAUCAUUACCUUGAUAUUAUGAAUUAAAGCUCAUGCUUCCAAUAGCACUGGUUGCAUGAUUUGUAGCACCAUUGUCAAGGUACCAAGCUCUACUAUUCUCACCGUCAACUGCAACCACAUAUGCUCUUCUUGGAUCUCUUCUUCUAUUUGGCUGUGGAACUGAUAUGAACCCUAUUAAGAACUAACAUGACCCUAACCAAUUUAGUCUCUAAGAUUGAAACCAAUUUUUUAUUUUUUUUAGAAGAGAUUGAAACCAAAUCUAAAAUUGAAUGGAACCGCGAUUUGAUCUCAAUGAAAGUACGAACCUUGGUAUGUGAUGACGUCACAAUUAGCUAUGGAUGAUCUUAUUGAUAAGUCAAGAGUUUGAACGCCACAGAAAUGCGAUAAAUUCAAAGGGUUAGUUUAAGAACCAAAGAGAAUUAGCUUUCUCACCAAUUGCAUCAAAAUUGAUGCCUUUCUUAUUGGAUACGAGUACAUUAGAUAGGGUUGGUUUAUAAGAAUUUUAAGAAAUAAAUCCUAAACCAAAAUCAAAUCAGAAUCCUAAUUUAAAGCAAAUAAUGAAAGAAACUAAAUCAAACCAGAAUCCUUAUUGGCUUAAAUGCCUUGCAUCAAUUAAAAAUGGAAACAAGGCAAUUAAAAGAGAAAUAAUUGAUUCGUUUUGCCACUUGCCUACUCAAGAAAUGGGAAAGUAUCCUAAAAGGAAAGUAGUAUAUUUUCCAAACGAGAAAACAUCUGAUAAGGUAAAUAAUGUAUUUUCUAGCCAUAAUGUGCAAACCAACUUGCUGAUUUUAUGGAAAUGAUUAUGUGGAAACUUAAAAAGCCUGAAUCACGUAUUUAGUGGUCUGAAUAUCAUGUGCGCUUUCUUCAACGGGCCUCCACGAAUUUGAUUGAGCUCAAGUUGCUUAAAUCAACCCAUUAAGCGAUUUUUUGAAUUUUUUUGCACGAGCUCUUGUGAUGGGUCCAACAGGAACUUGAAUGGGAUAUGAAUAUACCUCAUCCCAUGUGCUUGUGACAGUUUUGUCCUCAAUAUCAUAUUUUUUCCUUCAAAGAAACAAUUUUGCUUCAUAUGGAAAAGGAAAUUCUUAUGUAGCCUUACAUGAUUUAUACAUAAACUCAUAAUAUUUGUGUAGUCCUUCAUGAACAUGUGAAAUAUACACUUAUAUAGUGAAUCCUUCAUGAACAAGAUGUUAGUGAAUAACAUCAUAAUUUUGGAAUAGUCUUUCAGGAACAUAUUUUGAAAGAAAAUCUUCAUUAUGUAUAGUGCGAUCCUUAGAGAUGCAUUCUUAAUUUUCUUUCAUUAUAUAUUAUAAUAUUCAUACUUUAGGAUGAAUAUUUUGAAUUUCAAGAAUAGAAAAUAUAUAAUAGCAAUUGAAUAUUAUAAUAUAAAAAAUCAAACAAUAACAAAAUCAAUCAAUGGAACAUUAAAUAAAUGUUGGAAUCCAAAUCUCAUAAAAUAUAUGUAAUCAUUAAUAAAGGAAGUAUUAGAACAAGAAUCAAUCGGUCCUUGAUCUUAGCCACUAACUUAGCAUAUUGUAAUAUUCAUUCUCCUUUAUAUUCUUUCCUUUUCUAUUAUUUGACCGUUUGGUACUUGCCUUAGAUGAUUCUAGUAUUUUUGUAUAUAAGGAUCUUGUACACAGCAACAAAUAUAUAUGAGCAUUUCCACAAUUCUUUACAUGGUAUCAGAGAAAAUUUUGCUCAUUUAUGCUUUUCUCUUUGACAAUCAUGUCUAGUAGUUUGAAUCCAAUAUCAGAAACAUCAAAUUCCCUCAUUACCGAUGCUUCUUCACCAUACUUUCUUCAUUCAUCUGAUCAUCCUGGAGCCAUUCUUGUAUCUAAUGUGCUAACAGGUGAUAAUUAUUCAACAUGGAAAAUAUCCAUGAAGAUGGCAUUAAAUGCCAAAAACAAAUUGGGUUUUAUUGAUGGAAGCAUACAAAAACCUUCAUCAACCUCACAAGAUUUAAAAACUUGGGAGCGAUGCAAUGACAUGGUCCUUUCAUGGAUGCUCAAUGGAAUAGAGAAAAAUCUUGCCAACAGCCUCAUUUAUUGUGAUACUCCACGCUCUCUUUGGCUUGGGUUGGAAGAACGUUUUUCACAAAGUAAUAAUCCACGGAUUUAUGAACUUAAGAGAGCCAUAUGCAAUCACUAGCAAGAGCAAAAAUCAUUAGUGAUUUAUUUUAAUACUUUGAAAUUUUAUUAGGAUGAAUUGUCCACAUUAACCACUAUUUCUUCUUGCAAGUGUGAAACUUCAUAUGAAUUGCAGGGAUUACUAGAGACUGAAAAGGUGUUUCAAUUCCUAAUGGGUCUCAAUGAUUCAUAUUCUUCGGUACGAAGUCAAAUCUUAGCCAUGGAACCACUUCCAAAUGUUGGAAAAACAUAUUCAAUUAUUCAUCAGGAAGAACGUCAACGACUUCUCCAUGUUUCCAGUCAACCAUCCAUUGAAUCAACAGCCUUGACAGCCAAUAAUAAGACUCAAAUGACCAGCUGUCAAAAUCAUUCACAUCCUAGCCAUUUGCAUGGAGUACAAGAGACACAAGGACGGGGUAGACCUUUCUGCGAUCAUUGCCAGAAAUAUGGGCAUAUAAAAGCCAAAUGUUACAAAAUUGUUGGCUAUCCACCAAACUGGAAACAUUCAAAUCGAUCGCAUGUUGCUGCUCCUACAACCACAAAGCCACAACAACUAGAUGAUCAUCCCAUUCCAACAGACAAGAAUUCCUGGUCUACUAUCCAAAUUCCUGGUCUCACGGCUGAACAAUAUCAACAAUUAUUAUCUAUACUUUCAACAAGUGAGCAACCAUCUACUGCAAACUUAGCUGGUAAAAUCAUUCCUUUUUGCAAUUCUGCUAUUAACUCAUAUAAUAAUUCUUGGAUAAUUGAUAGUGGGGCAUCUGAUCACAUGACCCCUAAUAUUUCUUCCUUUAAAAAUUUUGUGCCCAUGUCUCAUGUCAAACCCGUGAGACUACCAAAUGGCACAACUGUUCCUACAACAAAAUGUGGAUCCAUUAAAUUAUCCUCCUCUUUGACUUUAGAUAAUGCCUUAUUGGUUCCUCAUUUUAAUUUUAAUCUAUUAUCUGUAAGCAAGCUAACCAAGGAUUUGAACUGUGCUGCUAUAUUUUUUUCCUUCAUUUUGUGUUUUUUAGGACCUUUCAACGAAGAAGCUGAUUGGAAAGGGUGAAGUUUGGGAUGGACUAUAUUAUUAUGAGCUUAUCAAUGGUCAUUCUUCCCUUCCUUCAGUAAUGAACGUUGCAACGGAACCCAAUUCCAAUCUUUGACAUUUGUGACUCGGUCACCCUUCUAAAGACCGAAUGCAGCGUUUGUCUUUUAUUUCUGAUAUUGCAUCAUUUAAUUCUUGUUGUGAAAUUUGUCAACUUUCAAAAAACACUAGAAGUUCAUUUCAAUUGAAUAAAAAUCGUUCUGAUAUGCCAUUUCAAUUAAUUUUUUGUGAUAUUUGGGGACCUCAUCGCACAUCUACAUAUACGGGAGCAUAUUAUUUUCUUACUAUUGUUGAUGACCAUACUCGUUGUACUUGGGUUUACCUCAUACGGCACAAGUUUGAAGCUUUUCAAUUAUUAAAAAAUUUUUACUUCUUGAUCAAGACACAAUUUCACACACAAAUUAAAAAAAAAAUUUGUAUUAAUCAAGGAAGUGAAUUUUUAUCAAAUCAGAUGCAAUUUUUUUCAUGAGCAUGGCAUCUUGCAUGAACACACUUGUGUUGAAACACCUCAACAAAAUGGGGUAGCAGAACGCAAGUAUCGACAUAUUUUAGAAGUUGCACGUGCAUUAUGUUUUCAAGCACAUUUACCUUUGUCUUUCUGAGGAGAUUGUGUUUUAGUUGCAACCCAUUUGAUUAAUCGUAUACCCACUCCUAAUCUUGGUGGUCAAUCACCUUAUGAAAUGCUUUUUAAGACUAAACCUCACUAUGAUCGUCUUCGUGUCUUUGGCUGUCUUUGUUAUGCUCAUACCAACAGUGCUAAUCGUCAUAAAUUUGCUCCCCGUGCUACCAAGUGUAUAUUUGUUGGUUACCCAUUUGGGUAUCUCGGAUACAAAGUUUAUGAUAUCAUUAAUAAAAAGACUUUUAUUUCUCGUGAUGUUACUUUUGUGGAAACUGAAUUCCCAUUCAAAACUAUCACCAAUCAACAAGAAAAUAGCAAUCUUUUACCUCUUCCUAUCAUACUUCCUGCCAAUGAAAAUGCACAGCUCCUUCCAACUUCUUCCAAUGAAAAGCUACUCCACCAAGGUACAUCUGAUUCAAUAGUUCUCCCUUCUCCACCUCUUCGACGAUCCCAACGACAGUCUUGUCGUCCAAAUUAUCUUCAGAAUUAUAUUUUCUCUACUGCACUUCACGGUACAUUUGGCAACUCUAUUACUUUUACUAAUCAUCCACCAUUGGUAAGUUCUUUAUAUCCAUUAUCCAAGUAUUUAUCAUAUGACAAGUUUUCUAGUGAUCAUGUAGCCUUUCUUUAAGCUAUAUCUCACGGUGUUGAACCAACUACAUAUUCUCAAGCCGUUCAACAUGCUUAUUGGCGCAAUGCUAUGGAUAUAGAGAUUAAAGCUUUGGAGCAAAGUAACACUUGGACAAUACAAGAUCUACCCCCCGGCAAGAAACCAAUUGGUUGUAAAUGAGUGUUUAAAAUUAAAAGAAAAGCUGAUGGUUCUAUUGAUAGAUACAAAGCAUGCCUUGUUGCUAAAGGAUACACACAAACUGAAGGUUUGGAUUACCAUGAGACAUUUGCACCUGUUGCAAAACUUGUGACUGUUAGAUGUGUAUUGGCAAUGGCAGCUAUUCGAGGGUGGUUAUUAUUUCAGUUAGAUGUUCAUAAUGCAUUUCUUCAUGGCGACUUGCAUGAGGAAAUUUAUAUGACCUUACCUCCAGGAGUUCGUAAACAGGGGGAGUCUUAUCAAUUUUGUCGGUUAAACAAGUCCCUUUAUGGUCUUAAGCAAGCUUUUCAAAAAUUGGUUUGAAAAAUUCUCAUCCGCUCUUAAACAAAUUGGUUACAUUCAAUCUUGUGCUGAUUCUUGUUUAUUUACUAAUAUGCACGAUUCUCAUUUUACAUUGGUGCUUGUGUAUGUUGAUGAUAUAAUAAUUGCUGGUAACCAUCUUGACACUAUAACUGCAUUGAAGAUAUUUUUACAGGCUCAAUUUCAUAUUAAAGACUUGGGAACUUUGAAAUAUUUUUUAGGAAUUGAAGUGGCUCGUUCAAAGCAAGGGAUUUUCUUAAAUCAAAGGAAAUAUGCUUUAGAUAUACUUCAAGACAGUGGACAAUUAGGCACACGGCCAUCUUCUUUUCCAAUGGAAUAAAACUUGAAGCUCUCUAACGAUCAAGGAACCCUUUGUCAAAAUCCUGACCACUACUAACCACUGUCAUAGGAUGUCUCAUCUAUUUGACAAUCACCCGGCCAGAAAUUACAUAUGCUGUGAACAUACUUAGUCAAUUUAUGCACACUCCAAGACGACCACAUUAUGAUGUUGCCCUGCGUGUCUUACGUUACAUUAGAUCUUCUCCCGGCGCUGGUAUCCUCUUGUCCUCCGCUAGCUCUUUGGAACUCUCUGCCUUCUCAGAUUCAGAUUGGGCAAGUUGCCCCAUGACCCGUCGAUCCACCACUGAAUAUAUUAUCAUGCUCGGCAACAAUCCUAUUUCUUGGAAAACCAAGAAGCAACCAUUUGUAUCGCGCUCUUCCGCUGAAGCUGAAUAUCGAGCAAUGGCGACAACAACAUGUGAAUUGGUUUGGUUGAAAACUCUACUUCAUGAUCUUCAUGUGACCCAUCCAAUGCCUAUAACUUUACAUUGUGACAAUCAAGUUGUGCUUCAUAUCGCUGCGAAUCCCAUCUUCCAUGAGCGUACCAAGCACAUAGAAAUAGACUGCCAUCUUGUUCGUGAAAAGCUUCAUGCCAAAAUCAUUUCCUUAACUUAUGUGCCUUCACGACAACAAUUGGCUGACAGUUUUACCAAAGUUCUUGGUAAAGAUCAAUUUCAAUAUCUUCUUGGCAAGUUGGGAGUUACGGAUCUUCACUUUCCAACUUGAGGGGGAGUAUUAGAACAAGAAUCAAUCGGUCCUUGAUCUUAGCCACUAACUUAGCAUAUUGUAAUAUUCAUUCUCCUUUAUAUUCUUUCCUUUUCUAUUAUUUGACUGUUUGGUACUUGCCUUAGAUGAUUAUAGUAUUUUGGUAUAUAAGGAUCUUGUACACAGCAACAAAUAUAUAUGACCAUUUCCACAAUUCUUUACAGGAAGUAAGGAACAACUUCAUAGAUCCAUUAUUCUUAAAUUAUAAAAAUACAUAAACAACAUAUGUAUAUGAUUUUAGACAAAUCAAGAUAGUUUAAUUCAUACCUUUGUGAGUGAGAUCAAAGGAGGGAUAUUAUCAUAUUACCUCUUAAUGGCUAGAGACUCGUGUUGAUAAUGUGUUAUAUCAUUUAUCAAUUGGGAGUGCAACAAUAUAGCAAGAGAAAUAAAGAAGGCAAAUAAGAGACACAAUGUUUAGAGGGGAAUUUUAUUCAAUCUCAAAUAUAUACAAAUAGGAAGCAAAGGCCUGCUUUUAUAGUGAUACAAGCAUAAAGUAGUAAGUAAUACCUCGUAAUUAUAAGAGAUGACAAUCCUCAGAUUAGGGAGAUAAUGAGAGUUAUAAAAGAUGGAAAGUUACUUGUGAGGAGAUCGAAGAUUGCUUUGAUGAACAUCCACAUAUAUUAUAAUAAUUUCAUAACAUACAUUUACUUUUAAUUUAUUUUUAAGGUUAAUUGGUUAAUAAGCUUCUUGUGUAGUAGAUUGAUUAAUGUGCCCAAGAAUAUUGUUGGAUGCUAUUAUUUUAAAGGCAAAGAAAAAUAAGGCAUAAGUGUCACAUGUUCAAUAGCAGGGAUGUUUUGAGGAAUUUCUUAAAAUAAAAAGACUAAGUAGAUCUUUAGCCCAAAAUAUAGGGAUUAAGCAAGCAUUCAUCCUAUUGAAAAGCAAAGUAAACUAAUGUAACCAUAAUUGAAUAUAAAGUUAACUCUUCUAUGGCAUUAUAGAGAACAAAAGAAGGAAAAAUAUUAUUCAAAUUCAAGAUAAGAAGGUAGUUUAUUAACUGUCUAAAGUUCAAAAUUUUAUUAAUUUCAGACCUUUUUUAAAAUUUACUUAUUUGUUUUUUUGUAACUUAUGUUUGAUUUUUAGAUAUUUACAUCUGAAUAGAAAAAGUAAGAUUUUUUGACUUUUAUCUAAAUGGAAAAAGAUCUGAAUGAUUAGUAAAUAUUAUAUUCCAUAAAUAUCUCUAUAAAAUAACUUAUUUCCUAAUCUAUAAAAUAGAAUCCCCUUUUUUUAUUUUGAUUUACAAGGACGUAAAUGUCAAAGAACUAAGUUUAAGAUGUUUUUUAUUAUAAAAACAAAUAAGAUGCCACUUACAUUCAUAUAUUAAAAAAUGAAAAACAAACAUGUGAUUCAAAUUUUCGUAUUCAAACCCAUUCAAACUUGAAAAAAAUUUAGACACAUUCAAAUUUCAGACAAAAAAGACAAAUACUACUUCAAUUUUUUUUUCGCUUUGCAACUGCCCACUGCUAACCAAAUAAAAAAAGAUUUUCAAUUUGGAAUUAUGUUAUCCAACAUAUGAAGACAAUUCUUCCUUUGAACGAAUCUUUAUGAUUGUUUUCUGAACGAAUAUUGCUCUAAAUUAAAAUAUUUUAGAACAAAAAAUAGUUGAUUGCCAAAUGUACAAUAGGUACAAUUUUCUUUUUUCAGCUCUCUUUUGGAAGAGAACUAUGUCGUCCUUUAUAAUUAUUAUUUCUUGAAAGAAUACAAACUUAAAUUACUGGCUUUUUAUUUGUAAAAUCAUAUAAAAUAGACUCUUUUAAGGAAAAUAUCUCAUACCGGAGAUAAUAAUUUCUGGACUAAGAAUAUAAACUUAAAACAGCACUACUAUCAAAUUAUCUUUAAAAGAGUUCCUUGAUCAAAAGAAUUUAUUUAUCAUUUUUCACAGUUUAAAAAAAUAAAAAAAAUUACAUAGAAAUAAUUGGAAGAUUUCCUAAAUAAGCAUCAAAUAAAUGCUAAUUUAUUGCAUGAUACUUGGAAGAAACCAUAAAUAAAAAUUAAGGAUUUAUAAUUUUAAAGACAAGUUGGGAGUUUAAAUUUUCUUGCCAUCUUGAGGGAGAAUAAUAAGACCGAAAUAAUAUUGAUGAAACAAAAUAAUCAAUCAAAUAUUUGAUUGUCUUCAUCUUAAUCAGUGAUCAAGAAAAAUUGGUUGUUAAUUAACAUAAAAAUUGAUUGACUCAAUAUUUACUAAUAGAUCAUUAUUCCCAAAUUAUGUUAAUUAUAUAUAUUUCAAAUACUUAUAAGAAUUGAGUUUGCUUACGGUUUAUUAAAUAUAGUCUCUUAAAAGUUUACAUGUGGCCCAUACAAAGCUAACAUUACUCUGUUAUAGCAUUUCGGGCAUCCAACAAGAUCCUCUUCUUCACUUAUUGUUAGAACUAGAGCUAACAAAUUAAUUACUUAAUCACGGCUAAGUUUGGAAUUAAAAUCAAACUAAAUUAUCUAAUUGGUUGAGUUCGGUUUCCGUUUGUAUGGGCUACAUGAAAUUUUUUCUCUCAUCUUCUCUCGUCUGCUAAUCGCAUCUUUCUCUCUUUCGACUCUCUAAUUUCUCUCUUGGAUUUGGUUACCAAGCACAUAAAAUUGAAGCCACCAUCUCGCUCAUAACAAACAACUAGUCGGAUCCACCAAACUGUUGCUGUCAUCUUGAGCCAUUCAAGUAACUUGAACACAUCAUCUUCUCGUAAAUUCUCUUUCAUUUUCGAAUUAAAGACAAGGUAAGGAUGUAAUCUUGACUUUUGUGUUUUUUGUGAUGACUACAGAAAAUGCUAUAUGAAACAAUUAGGGAUUUAUGUGCUAUAUAAUAAUAAUAAUAAUAAUAAUAAUAACAACAACAACAACAACAACAACAAGUAGUCAUUUAUGAAUUUUGAGUGAAAAAUUAGGGAUUUAUGUGCUUCUUCUUCUUCUUCUUCUUCUUCUUCUUAUUAUUAUUAUUAUUAUUAUUAUUAUUAUUAUUAUUAUUAUUAUUAUUAUUAUUUUCCCUAUAUUAAACAAGUAGUCAUUUAUGAAUUUUGAGUGAAAAAUUCACUCGGCUGUGGCAGAUUUUGUGCCUUACAAGUAGUCGAUUUCACGCAUUCAUCAUCACCAUUACUAUGUUCAUUAUUAUUUGCUAUUGUUUUUUACUUUUUCUGCUGUUAUUGAUUAAAUUGACAUUAAAUUUAUGUCUUGUCCAUUACAAGACUUAACAAUAUAAUCCAGGUGUAACAUGGACACUACAGAUGAUACAAGUGCGCAAGACCUAGUCAGAGAGCGUAGUACACUUUUUGUAAGUAUAAACUAAUUGAUAUUUUUCGAGUUGUUAUGUUAGCAACCAUUUUAAAAACACUUUUGUUUUCGAAUUUUGGUUACGUUGAAGUGAAGGGGAUUGAGUUGCCAUUAAAAAUUAAAGUAUUUUGGUCUUUAUAAACAAAGCGCUUUUGUGGAAUAGAUCUAAGAAGAUGCUAAUCUUCUUAAUAAUUUUUUUUUUUUUUAAAUUCUAUUACUCUUGGUGCAACAAAUUUCCUAGUGCCAAAACCUUGUCAUAAAAAAAAAAGAAAAAAAAAAAGAAAACAGAAAAAGAGUGAAAAUCUCUUCGGUCAACCAAAUUACUCAAAUUCGUAAAAUAAUAUAAUACUUGAACCUUAAAAAUAAAAGCUCUAUAUAUUACUAUAUAAACAGUGAUAAACACAAUUACUAUCUAAGCCCACUCGAAAUUUUAUCAUACAGUCGUAUAUUUAUCACCUUAUGUACGUAUAUUGUAAUUUGGAUACGUUAUUUAAUUGUAUUUAUAUUGUGUAUAUUUACCACAUUAUGUACGUAUAUAAAAUAUAACGUAUAUUGUGUAAACUUUACUUUUGAGCUAAGUAUUUUCCUGAAAAAGGAAAUAAAUCAAUAAAAAUUAUUGUGUGUCAACAUAUUGGUUAUAUUAGUCUAUACACGUCGGUUUUAAUUACGAUAUCUCUUCCUAAAUAUUUUACUUUUUUUGAAAGUAACUCAAAAAUUUGUUGUAUAAAAAACACUAUCACUUUCAAUCAUAUGAUGGUUACAUUUUAAUCAUUUAUUCAUAACGUCCUCCUGGACCUCCAUUGGGGAUAUUAUAGUGUGUCAUUCUGUAACCCAGAACUAUCAUUUCUUCCACCUCUACGAUAUCUUGUAAUGUUACUUGCAGCUUCAUAAGCCACAGAAACAUCAUCAAAAUCAACAAAUUGUUUUCUUUUCUUUUUUUUUAGGAAAGUAAUAAGAAAAAUAAAAGCUGCAUUAUUCUAUUUAUGAUCAAUAGAAGAAUUCAAGUGACUGGAGAAAAUUCAGAUUGUUGAAAAUGGGUUCUCAAACGAGAUAAGCCUCAGGUAGUAGACCUCACCAACAUCAGUACCAGACUCAAUCCAUAGAAUCGGUCUCGUCUUAAGCCUAACAGCUCCCUUCUAAUAUAAUCUAGUGAGAACGGUGAGGUGCUUGGUAUAUCAUACACCAAAAAUCAACGAUGCUUGGACUUUCAAGAAAAAGAGAAAAACAAAUGCAUGCACGGGGAAACGUACUAAUCAAAAGCAAAUCAUAUAAUUUACAAAUUAUUAUAGGCUUGUAGCCAUAAGAUCGAGAGAAACUAAAACAUUUCUUGCAUUUUCUGGCCAUAUUUUCUAAAUGAAGGGAUGGUCCAUUGCUGCUCCGCCAUACUGGAUCUCAAGAUGUCAUUAACAAUAGGUCUCAAGAUGUCCCUAACAAGGUGUCACUCUGAUACCGACAGGUCUACCACUUAGACAUAACACUUGCCAUGUAAAAUGUUCUCCUAUUUUUGCUAUUUCCUUCGUAUCUUGCAUUGAAUUAUUGCCAGCAAAUGAUAUUUCGAGUCAAAAAAGUAUAUUCAAUUAUUGCAUAUAUGCUCCUAGGUAAUUUGCACAAUUGAAUUAUAGCUGUUAAUCUACUUAUUUACACAAUUGAUUAAUUGUACGCAUCCAUUGCAAGACUUUCGCACUAAGUUUCAAUUUCAACCACAAAUCCUAGCUCUAGAUAAAAAUGAUGUGGUCGUAGAGAUUUCGAAUGUAUUCACUUUGUGAUUAACGGAAGCAUUGCUUUCAUUUGUAAGACGUUGUCAUCACAGAUUAAUUAAUUAAUCAUCAUUUUGGUAAAGGAAAAAGAAUGAAAAAAGCUGCACUAUUUUAAAGGCCAUUUGGUAUAUGACCACUUCGCAUUGGACUUGGAGACCGGGUAAUUUUGUCAUCUCUACUCCAAGAAUCUGCUCUCAUGCUACUUGCAUGGUUCCAUCUUUGAAGUCUGGUACUGUUUUGUUUGGAAAAUACCCCACUAUAAUAUCUUCACGAAGAAAAUUGAUCCCCGUUAACUAGCGUGAUUAGCUUAGUUUCUUAAAUUCAACGUUCGUUUGGUUAAUUGUCUGUUAGUUUUAGAAUUUUGAUUAGCCAAUAAAACAAUGAGUUUUAUUGUUUAAUAAGGCAAGUUGAAAUAAAUUCAAUCCUACUCACAGAAAAAUUUAAAUGACACAUAUCAUAAUCUUUUUCAUAUCUUCAGAAAAAUUAAAUCAUAAGAGGAUCAUGAACAAUUUGAUGAUGCUCUGAAAUAUAGUCUUCUGUUUUUCAAGGAAAAAAUAAGGAAGUUAAAAACAUGUUUAUCAGGUUUUUCAGAGAUCAUUUUGACGUUUUUGUUUAAAAACAUGAAAAUUGUUCUUAUUCUCGUAAACCAGAAAAAAUUAUCUGGCCGGUUAGCUAAUUAUUCUUGUUCUUCUGUUCUUUUUUAUUUGAAUUGUUUCUCCCUUUUCCAUUCAUUUUUCACUAUGAAAUUAAUUACUAAUUAAUCUACAGUUAGUUUCUCUACAGCUAAUAGGAACGUCAUUUAUGCCCGAAGACUCGCAUCUUUUUUAUUCAUUAUCUACAGUGCCUCACCUCCAAUCUAUGUAUAGGCGGACAUGCAUAUUUAUUAUAUCAAAUAAGUUAUUGAUGGAAAAUAUCACUUUCGAAAUAGAGAAUUAUCCUUAAUUAAAUCUUAGUGGGCCUAAAUUCGAGUAAGAUUUAAUGAUGUAUGAUUCAAAAUUAUUGAAAUCGGACAUUUUAAACAAGAAAAAAAAUAAAAAAUCUUGUUCUCUUUUUUAAAUAAUAAAUUUCAUUGUGAUGGAUUUUUAAUAUUAAAUUAGACAUUUGCUAAAUUGGCUCAAAUAUAAUAGAUCUUAGACCUUGCUUUUAAUGGAUUUAAUUAGGUUUUGGGCAUUUAAAUUAUACAACUGGAGACGGAAUUUAUAAAUAGAUAACAUUCUAAUGUGAUUUUAAAAUAAAUUUGAACUUGAACUUGAUGCAUUUUAUUAAUCCAGAAAGGUAAAUUUAUAAUUUCAACUUUUAAAUAAAACAUAUCCUUUGGAUUUUUUACAUAAACUAGAGGCAAUUGUACAAUAUUUACUUGACUAGUGGUAUAUAUCUCAAAUUUUUUAUCCUAAGAAAUGCCACAUCAUUUGGUUGAUGAGGAUAAUAUAAUUAAUUCACUUAGAUAUUAUAAAAAAUUAUCAACCAAUCAACGAAUAACAUAUCAUUUUCAUUGGGAUGGAAUUUGGAAAAAAAAAUUUAGGACGUCUAUUAUUACUUUAGUAAGAAAGCAUAUUAAGAUGGACUAACAUGUUUGGAUGCCCCAGCCUAAGAUGCAAGAGAUCAAUUUCUUUUGUUGUCUUGAAAUCCCUACUAUUUGACUCAACAACAUUGGCAACAUUUAACCAAUUACUACUAGAACAAAAAGAUAUCAUAGACAAAGGAUUGCUAAUGCAAUUUAUUGACUCAUACUCUAAAGAUAGAGGUAACUCAACAGCACAUUCAUUCUUGCUACUCAUGCACAAUAGCUCAUAUAGCCUAUCUUUAGUCACUCCUUUCAUUUGGAUUUUCACUUGGCUAAAGCAAAUAGAUUUUUGAAGCACAACAUCAAUAUCAUUAUCACGGAACAAUUUUGAGACAUUAAUAAGGUUCUUAAUAACGCUAGGCACAGACAACGAGCUAUUUAGUUUAAUCUGUUUGUGCGGAUCAUAAGUGAGCAAUAUAGAGUAUCCAAUAUGAGAAAUCAAAAGUUUAUCACCAUUUCCAAUAGUAGCUCAUCAUUACCUUGAUAUUCUAAAUUAAAGCUCAUGCUUCCAAUAGCACUGGUUACAUGAUUUGUAGCACCACUGUCAAGGUACCAAGCUCUACUAUUCUCACCGUCAACUGCAACCACAUAUGCUCUUAUUGGAUCUCUUCUUCUAUUUGGCUGUGGAACUGAUAUGAACCCUAUUAAGAACUAACAUGACCCUAACCAAUUUAGUCUCUAAGAUUGAAACCAUUUUUUUUUUUUUUAGAAGAGAUUGAAACCAAAUCUAAAAUUGAAUGGAACCGCGAUUUGAUCUCAAUGAAAGUACGAACCUUGGUAUGUGAUGACGCCACAAUCAGCUAUGGAUGAUCUGAUUGAUAAGUCAAGAGUUUGAACGCCACAGAAAUCCGAUAAGUUCAAAGGGUUAGUUUAAGAACCAAAGAGAAUUAGCUUUCUCACUAAUUGCAUCAAAAUUGAUGUCUUUCUUAUUGGAUACAAGUACAUUAGAUAGGGUUGGUUUAUAAGAAUUUUAAGAAAUAAAUCCUAAACCAAAAUCAAAUCAGAAUCCUAAUUUAAAGCAAAUAAGGAAAGAAACUAAUUCAAACCAUAAUCCUUAUUGGCUUAAAUGCCUUGCAUCAAUUAAAAAUGGAAACAAGGCAAUUAAAAGAGAAAUAAUUGAUUCGUUUUGCCACUUGCCUACUCAAGAAAUGGGAAAGUAUCCUAAAAGGAAAGUUUUUUCCAAACGAGAAACAUCUGAUAAGGUAAAUAAUAUAUUUUCUAGCCAUAAUGUGCAAACCAACUUGCUGAUUUCAUAGAAAUGAUUAUGUGAAAACUUAAAAAGCCUGAAUCACGUAUUUAGUGGUCUAAAUAUCAUGUGCGAUUUCUUCAACGGGGCUCCACGAAUUUGAUUGAGCUCAAGUUGCUUAAAUAAACCCAUUAAGCGAUUUUUUGAAUUUUUUUGCACGAGCUCUUAUGAUGGGUCCAACAAGAACUUGAAUGGGAUAUGAAUAUACCUCAUCUCAUGUGCUUGUGACAGUUUUGUCCUCAAUAUCAUAUUUUUUCCUUCAAAGAAACAAUUUUGCUUCAUAUGGAAAAGGAAAUUCAUAUGGAAAAGGAAAUUUUCCUUCAAAGAAAUAAUUUCAUAACAUACAUUUACUUUUAAUUUAUUUUUAAGGUUAAUUGGUUAAUAAGCUUUUUGUGUAGUAGAUUGAUUAAUGUGCCCAAGAAUAUUGUUGGAUGCUAUUAUUUUAAAAGCAAAGCAAAAUAAGACAUAAGUGUCACAUGUUCAAUAGUAGGGAUGUUUUGAGGAAUUUCUUAAAAUAAAAAGACUAAGUAAUCUUUAGCCCAAAAUAUAGGGAUUAAGCAAGCAUUCAUUCUAUAGAAAAGCAGAGUAAACUAAUGUAACCAUAAUUGAAUAUAAAGUUAACUCUUCUAUGGAAUUAUAGAGAACAAAAGAAGGAAAAAUAUUAUUCAAAUUCAAGAUAAGAAGGUAGUUUAUUAACUGUCUAAAGUUCAAAAUUUUAUUAAUUUCAGACCUUUUUUAAAAUUUGCUUAUUUGUUUUUUUGUAACUUAUGUUUGAUUUUUAGAUAUUUAUAUCUGAAUAGAAAAAGUAAGAUUUUUUUACUUUUAUAUAAAUGGAAAAAGGUCUGAAUGAUUAGUAAAUAUUAUAUUCCAUAAAUAUCUCUAUAAAAUAACUUAUUUCCUAAUCUAUAAAAUAGAAUCCCCUUUUUUUAUUUUGAUUUACAAGGACGUAAAUGUCAAAGAACUAAGUUUAAGAUGUUUUUUAUUAUAAAAACAAAUAAGAUGCCACUUACAUUUAGAUAUUAAAAAAUGAAAAACAAAUAUGUGAUUCAAAUUUUCGUAUUCAGACUAGAGAUGGCCAAUGGGCCGGGCGGCACGUGGCACGGCACGGGCACGGAAUGGGCACGGCACGUGUCCGUACGGCACGACACGGCACGAGCACGUUUCGGUGAGGCACGAGGCACGGCACGGCAUGCACGUGGGCUGUGCCGGGCCUAGAAUUUUAGGCACGCGGGCCUUAAAGCACGGCACGAUUAGAGAUGGGCCAAAGCACGGCACACGAAAAAGCACGUAAUAAGCACGGUUCAUUGGUGGGCUAGCACGCGGCCCGUGAGCCAUCAAUAGCACGUGGGCCAAAAUAUAUCUAAGUAAAUUUUUUUAACAAAAAGUAAAUAUAAAAUGUUAUGAAAUUAAAGUAAAAUAUCUUGAAAUUAAAUGUUUUAAUAUAUUUUUUAGCAUAGACUUCUAAAAAUUAAUUUAAAUCAUUAAAUCUUAGUUUAAAUAAAUAUUCUAAUUUUUUAUGUUUAUAAUUUAUCAAAUGAAUAAUUAAAUAUCAUGAUUUUAAUAAAUAAAUUAUAAAUAUCAUAAUUUUAUUUAUGAUAUUUAUUAAAUGAAUAAUGUUAUUUAUGAUAUUUAAUUUUAUUUAUGAUAUUUAUUUAAUUAUUUAUUUAUGUUUAUAAUUUAUUAAAUGAAUAAGUAAAUAACUAAAUAUCAUGAUUUUAAUAAAUAAAAUUAUAAAUAUCAUAAAUUUAUAAUUUAUAAAUAAAAAAUAAAUCUUUUUACAAAAUUAAUAAUAAAAUAUUUUUCAUAUGAAAUAUUUUUCAUAUUAAUAUUAAAUCAUAACUUAGUUAAUAUUUAAUAGAGAUACGUUUCAUUUGUGAAUGAAAUAUUUUUCAUAUUUAUACACAAGAAAAAAUUAUGAUAAAUUAAAAAUUACAUUUUCAUUAAAUGAAGUUAAAGUACAAUUAUAACUUGUAAGUUGUGACCUAUGAUUUGUUAUAUUAAUAUUUCGUAGUUAUGACUUAUUGUAGUGAUUAUUCGAGGAUUGUAUUUUUAAUUUUAAUUAAUUAUUAUUAUGAGCUAUGGAAUUAAAUUUAUGUAUUGUUGUGUUAUGAAUUAUGAUUGAUUAUUGUGAAAUAAAAUAUAUAGUUGUGAAAUUGUGAUAAACUAAUAAUAAAAUGUUAAUUGCUCUCUUAAUAAAAAUUAAUAUGAUUAUGAUUAUGAAUAUUAUUAUUAUUAUUAUUAUUAUUAUUAUUAUUAUUAUUAUUAUUAUUAUUAUUAUUAUUAUUAUUAUUAUGUUGGUGGGUUUAAAAAAGCACGUCAGGUAUGUGGGUUUGAAUAAAGCACGCCAGACACGUGGACUUUUUUAAGCACGCCAAAAAAACAAAGUUGAUGGGCUUUUUUUUGGGAACGGCCCACGGCACGGCACGAGCGGGCUCGUGCCGUGGGCCGUGCUGGGCUCAACUGAAAAAAAGGUAUGCACGGCACGGCACAGCCCACCACGAGCCCUUGUGGGCUGACAGUUUGCCGGCACGGCCCAUUGGCCAUAGUUAAUUCAGACCCAUUCAAACUUGAAAAAAAUUUAGACACAUUCAAAUUUCAGAUAAAAAAGACAAAUGCUACUUAAAUUUUUUUCGCUUUGCAACUGCCCACUGCUACACCAAAUAAAAAAAGAUUUUCAAUUUGGAAUUAUGUUAUCCAACAUAUGAAGACAAUUCUUCCUUUAAACGAAUCUUUAUGAUUGUUUUCUGAACGAAUAUUGCUCUAAAUUAAAAUAUUUUAGAACAAAAAAUAGCUGAUUGCCAAAUGUACAAUAGGUACAAUUUUCUUUUUUCAGCUCUCUUUUGGAAGAGAACUAUGGCGUCCUUUAUAAUUAUUAUUUCUUGAAAGAAUACAAACUUAAAUUACUGGCUUUUUAUUUGUAAAAUCAUAUAAAAUAGAUUCUUUUAAGGAAAAUAUCUCAUACCGGAGAUAAUAAUUUCUGGACUAAGAAUAUAAACUUAAAACAGCACUACUAUCAAACUAUCUUUAAAAGAGUUCCUUGAUCAAAAGAAUUUAUUUAUCAUUUUUCACAGUUAAAAAAAAUAAAAAAAAUUACAUAGAAAUAAUUUGAAGAUUUCCUAAAUAAGCAUCAAAUAAAUGCUAAUUUACUGCAUGAUACUUAGAAGAAACCAUAAAUAAAAAUUAAGAAUUUACAAUUUUAAAGACGAGCUGGGAGUUUUAAUUUUCUUGCCAUCUUGAGAGAGAAUAAUAAGACCAAAAUAAUAUUGAUGAAACAAAAUAAUCAAUCAAAUAUUUGAUUGUCUUCAUCUUAAUCAGUGAUUAAGAAAAAUUGGUUGUUAAUUAACAUAAAAAUUGAUUGACUCAAUAUUUAUUAAUAGAUCAUUAUUUCCAAAUUAUGUUAAUUAUAUAUAUUUCAAAUACUUAUAAGAAUUGAGUUUGCUUACGGUUUAUUAAAUAUAGUCUCUUAAAAGUUUUCAUGUGGCCCAUACAAAGCUAACAUUACUCUGUUAUAGCAUUUCGGGCAUCCAACAAGAUCCUCUUCUUCACUUAUUGUUAGAACUAGCGCUAACAAAUUAAUUACUUAAUCACGGCUAAGUUUGGAAUUAAAAUCAAACUAAAUUAUCUAAUUGGUUGAGUUCGGUUUCCGUUUGUAUGGGCUACACGAAAUUUUUUCUCUCAUCUUCUCUCGUCUGCUAAUCGCAUCUUUCUCUCUUUCGACUCUCUAAUUUCUCUCUUGGAUUUGGUUACCAAGCACAUAAAAUUGAAGCCACCAUCUCGUUCAUAACAAACAACUAGUCGGAUCCAUCAAACUGUUGCUGUCAUCUUGAGCCAUUCAAGUAACUUGAACACAUCAUCUUCUCGUAAAUUCUCUUUCAUUUUCAAAUUAAAGACAAGGUAAGGAUGUAAUCUUGACUUUUGUGUUUUUUGUGAUGACUACAGAAAAUGCUAUAUGGAACAAUUAGGGAUUUAUGUGCUUCUUCUUCUUCUUCUUCUUCUUCUUCUUCUUAUUAUUAUUAUUAUUAUUAUUAUUUUCCCUAUAUUAAACAAGUAGUUAUUUAUGAAUUUUGAGUGAAAAAUUCACUCGGCUGUGGCAGAUUUUGUGCCUUACAAGUAGUCGAUUUCACGCAUUCAUCAUCACCAUUACUAUGUUCAUUAUUAUUUGCUAUUGUUUUUUACUUUUUCUGCUGUUAUUGAUUAAAUUGACAUUAAAUUUAUGUCUUGUCCAUUACAAGACUUAACAAUAUAAUCCAGUUGUAACAUGGACACUACAGAUGAUACAAGUGCGCAAGACCUAGUCAGAGAGCGUAGUACACUUUUUGUAAGUAUAAACUAAUUGAUAUUUUUCGAGUUGUUAUGUUAGCAACCAUUUUAAAAACACUUUUGUUUUCGAAUUUUGGUUACGUUGAAGUGAAGGGGAUUGAGUUGCCAUUAAAAAUUAAAGUAUUUUGGUCUUUAUAAACAAAGCGCUUUUGUGGAAUAGAUCUAAGAAGAUGCUAAGAAUUGAGUUUGCUUACGGUUUGUAAUCUUGACUUUUGUGUUUUUUGUGAUGACUACAGAAAAUGCUAUAUGAAACAAUUAGGGAUUUAUGUGCUAUAUAAUAAUAAUAAUAAUAAUAAUAAUAAUAAUAAUUAUUAUUAUUAUUAUUAUUAUUAUUAUUAUUAUUAUUAUUAUUUUCCCUAUAUUAAACAAGUAGGCAUUUAUGAAUUUUGAGUGAAAAAUUCACUCGGCUGUGGCGGAUUUUGUGCCUUACAAGUAGUCGAUUUCACGCAUUCAUCAUCACCAUUACUAUGUUCACUAAAAUAUAACGUAUAUUGUGUAAACUCUACUAUAAACAAUUAAUAUUUGGUCAUAUUUCUUUUGGCAAAUAACCCCCUGGGAUUUCUUCUUUAUCGCAACAUGAAAUUGAAGAUAUUUAAAAGGUUUUGAAACGUUAUUUUUAUUGAAAGGAGUUGCCAUUUUUAAUUUUGGUUGCAAAUAAUAAUUCCUUGGUGGUUACAAUAUUUUUAAAUAUCCCCAUUAAGGCUGUAGGGGCUACAAAUCUUCAUUCUAGAUCUGUAACAUAUGACUAUGAAUUAUAUAUAAAUGAGCUAUUUUUCUUUAUCUUUGGAUAUAUUAUAUACUCUAUUGUUUUCUCCGAAACUCUACGAUAAACAAUUAAUACUUUUCUUUGCAACUUCGACAUUCAAAGACUUGGUUUAUUCUUCAGGUAAAUCGUGCUUAGGAAGAAGAGCGGCAUGAAGAUAUUUGGGUUGUAUUUUGGAGCUGCGAAAUACCGACAAUAUCCGCCCGUGGGGAGGGCUCUUUGACAUUUGGGUUGUAUUUUGGACAUUUGUUCUUCUCCAUAGUACUGGCCGGAUUCUUCAACAAUACCCUAAUACUUCUAAAGUCAAAGACAUGCUUCUCUUUCGUUGAAUAUAUUUGCAUCUCUAGGUGAAAGUUGUAAUUGGCUGAGGAAAUUUUUAUUUUUAUAGAAUGGAAGAACAGGGACUUUACGUGGAGAAAAAAUUGUAGUGGGUAUUUUCCAUAGAUAUGGCUAUACAUGUAGCAUGACGAGCUGAUGACGGGAGUUCAUUUGACGGAAUUAGCCCUUCAAUGGGUUGUCGUUAUAAACCAGAUGGCCAAUAUAAUCAUGCAGCCUAUUUCAGCAAUGUUGUUUAUUAUGAUAUUAAUUUUGUGACUCAAGAAGCUGCAAGUAACAAUAAUACAGGACACCGUACAUAUGCAAGUAAUUGUUUUGGUUGCAAAAUGCAACACUUUCUGGACCAUCUUCUGGUUAUAAUUUUGUUUUUAGUAAAAUGUAAUUUUUUUUUAUUAUAGACAUUGUAUAAUUGUUUUAAAAUUUGGUAUAGCAAUAAAUAUGAUCUAUGUUUUGGACUGGUAGGUGGUUUCUUAAAAUUCUAUCCCAAAAGUUUAUCUUAAAGUUCUAUCUUAAAUUAUGUGGUCUUUAGACUGAUUGGUGUAAUUAAUUUAAUUAAUAAAAAAGAUCAGAUCUUCUCCUAGAUAUUUUUUUCCUCCUCCUAAACUUUUAAUAAUCCAUUGAUAUGUGUCAUUAAUGAAAUUAAUAGAUAAAAAAUUAUUUUAUCUUUACCGCUUUAACCCUACCCAAUUUGUGGACCCAUUUUAUCUUCCACGUGAUUGGUAUUAUUACUUUAUUUGUCUUUUUAUGUACUAUUAUUUAUUCUGUGGACCCAUUCAUGCACCCACGUUUCGGACAUGCAAUUUAACCGUAGCCGUUAAUCUUACCUAAUCAUAUGUGCGAUAAAAAUCUGCCGUCGAUCCGUUAUAUGUAAGUACCAACCAUGCGUUAUUAUUCGAUUUGCUACGUUACAAAAUCUUAUUGAUAAGGUUUUUUCAGAGAUUUUUCUUUUAAGACUACCAUUACCUACGUUACAAAAUUAAAUUAUAAGAGGAUCUUGAUAAGGUUUUUUCAGAAACCACUUUGUAAAGUCAAAAUAAAGUCUUCGCCGUCUGCCUCCAAUGACUAACGCCCCAGGCCCUUGAUGAAAUAGAAAUCCGAGCAGUGAAGUCACACUUCUCAUUGAAAACGACUAAUAAAAAUUAAGUUGGAAACUCGAACAGUAACUAGAUAACCUUACUCUUUUAUAUUUUAAGAAUUUGUUCAGAAAAUAUUACGAUCUCUUCUAACUUAAGUUGAAAUGCCGUUUCUAUUUCUUAUUCUUAUAAAAUGUGUACUUAUCAAUAAAGUUUCUUAUAUAAAAUUUUCAACUAAGAAUGAAUCUUCUUCAUCCAAGAUGCUAAUACAGUCCUAAAGGUGGUGGUGAUGAAAGAAUGGACAUUAAACCAUUAAACUUCAUUCUCGUAGUCUCAAGCGUGGUUGCUGGUCCUCCAUAAGACCAAUAAUCUCUCCCUCCGUGACUCGUAACCAGACUGUGAUAUCACUUGUUGGACCCAGACACUUAUUGUGACUUUUUAGCAAGUCGCCAAUCACUAAAUUGGUCCAGAUUUAACAUGCUUAUUUAUGGAUCUUUCAAAUUAAAGUUUUCAUAUUCCUUUGAAAACUAAUUGGAAAUAAAAUAUAAAAAAAAAGAAUAAUAAACUAUUUAACUUCAUCCAUUUAUAAUCCUAAGGAUAUUCAUUGGGCACCCAUAAGAUCAACAGUCUUAUACUAUAAUUUAAAUUUAAUUAUGUUUUAUUGACAAAAAUUAGCUAUUAUCAUUAUGAAAUGCCCAUUUCACUGGACUAUCUUUGAUUAUAAAAUUGUUUUAGCAAUUCCAAGUGAAAUGAUAUUUUGAACGAGGAAAAGACUCAAUUAGACAUUUAGACCGGGCUGCAGUUCUGGCCUCAUUUUGUCCUGAAGCUCAGCCAUGAUCCUGCCAAAGUUUUGGAGCCAUUCUAGCCACAUUUUAUCUUACUAUUAUGCACCACAUUUACUUUUUCGAUCUUCGAGACUUCGACUGGGUCAAACAUAUCCUCAAGCUCCGCUUUAACCUUACGAAAUUUGUGCCACUUGGCCUUGUAGCUCAGUGGUGGAUCAUUACCCUCAAAGUUAAGCAUGAUUAUGAGGGCAAUGGUUCGAGUUUUUACGGACUUAAUCUCCCUCAAUUAAACAUAAUUGUGUGGAGAUUUUUUAUAACGUCUUUCUCUCUUGUGAAAUGCGAGUGGAGUAGAGAUAUCCCUCCUCCGUGAGGGGUAUUUGGAUGAGCAUGUACUUCAUAGAAUAAAAAUGUAAUUAUAUAAGUCCUAUGUAUAUAUAUCUGAUUGUAAAUAUCAAUGUAAUGACUUGUUGUCAUAGCAAUUGUAUAUAUCUCUGUGUAAUAUAGUAAUAUGAUACUUAAUCAAUUUAAAAAAAAAAAAAAACUUACGAAAUUUGUUGACCCAUUUUACCUUCACGUGAUUGGUAUUACUACUUUUGUCGACAAGGCUACGUUGCAGUUGCAGACUCAGCUGAGUACCAACAGCUUUUCCUCUCUCCUGCAACGCGUGGAUGCUCCUUGUUUGUCUUCUUAUCUGCAAUUAUUUUCUCUGUGGACCCAUUCAUGCACCCACGUCUCGAAUAUGCAAUCUAACCCACGUCUCGAAUAUGCAAUUAUUUUUUUUGUGGACCCAUUUUACCUUCACGUGAUUGGUAUUACUACUUUUGUGGACAAGGCUACGUUGCAGUUGCAGACUCUGUAUGCAACAGCUCAGUCCAAACUGGCCUUGUAUCAGCUGAGUUCCAACAGCUUUUCCUCUCUCCUGCAGCGCGUGGAUGCUCCUUGUUUGUCUUCUUAUCUGCAAUUAUUUUCUCUGUGGACCCAUUCAUGCACCCACGUCUCGAAUAUGCAAUUUAACCGUAGCCGUUAAUCAUAUCUAACUAUAUGUACGAUAAAAAUUCCGCCGUCGAUCCGCUAUAUGUAAGUACCAAUCAGGCAUUAGUUUUCUAAUAAGACUUUAUUUCUUUUAUUAGCUCAUAUUCAUCCAUGUGUUUAUCAUUCCUAGCUAAUUCGAUUAUUUAAAAUAACAAUGAUCCAUCAAUAAUUUUAUUCUUCGACCGGCUAAAAUGAUUUUUUUUAUUAUUAUUUUGAUGAGGAGGUCUCAAUAAAGUUCAAAUAAAUAAAUUUUGGUCUUUGUCUCACACUUACAUAAACAAACGAAAAAAUUAUAAAAUUAUAAAAAAAUUAAGAACCAUUGUCAAUUAUGUAAAUUCAAAUAUUUAAACAAUCAAAAUAAUUGCGGUUAGUUUUCCCCUGUAAUCAAUUAUUGGCAUCGGAUGGGAACCACGUAAUUCGUGUAAUUGAUAUAAAGCAAUCUUUGAUGAAUCGUGACCCACUUAACAAGGAUCAAUACAUUCAGAAAUGAAUUCCACUCACCAAUUGAGAUACUAGUAUUAAUAUUAUCGGGAUUUAUACUGCUCUAAAGACAAUGUUACAGAGAAGCUGCUAUAACUCUCAUGACUCUGAAUCUAAGUGUUCAAUACGAGUGUAAAGACCUAAUUGCUCUGAUACAAGAAAUCAGUCCAGUCUUGUAUUACUAAACUUAUUAGCAGAUUUUUGGCUCCCAGCUAGCACAUGGGUAGCACCUGUAACGCUGCAUCAAUUAACAAAACUGAUUUACCAGAAUUUCCAGCCCCUAUACUUUGCAUCAAUAAAUUAUGAAAUUGGACAAGAUUUGUGUGUGAUUUUAAAAUAAAUAUGAACUUGAAUUUGAUGCAUUUAAUUAAUCCAAAGAGGCAAAUUUAUAAUUUCAACUUCUAAAUAAAACAUAUCAUUUGAAUUUUAUCAGUGGUUUCUAAUAAUAACUGACAGGUCAUUAUAAUAAUUAUAAAUGUAAUAUUUAUUUUUAUAAUUAUACAGUUAUGAUCAAUGCUAUGCUGUAGUGCCGUUCCAAAGGCAACUGCUCCCACUAUUCUCUUAGCGGCUCUGCCACUAAUCGCAUUCUGGCCACAUUUUAUCUUGCUAUUAUGCACCAUAUUUAUUUUUGCAAUCUGCGAGACUGCGACUAGGAUAUGCAAUUGCUCAAGCUCCGGUUUAGUCUUAAUUUGUGGACCCAUUCUACCUCACACGUGAUUGGCAUUACUACUUUGUUUGUCUUCUUAUGUACUAUUAUUUAUUAUGUGGACCCAUUCGUGCACCCACGUUUCGAAUACACAAUUUAACCGCAGCCGCUAAUCUUACUUAAUUUAUGUACGAUAAAAGCUCCGCCGUCGAUCCGUUAUACUUAAGUACCAACCAUGAUUAUUAUUUGAUUAGCUACGUCACAAAGUCGUAUUGAUUACGAAACACCAACACCUAGGGCCUAGGCAAUAUAGACAGGUCCUAAAUUAUGAACAGACAUUUACGCUGUGGACCCAUUCAUGCAUCCCCGUUUCGAUUUUGCAAUUUAACGUAGCCGUUAAUCUUACCUAACCAUCUGUACGAGAAAAACUCCGCCGUCGAUCCGUAUAUGUAAGCACCAAGCAUGCAUUAUUAUUUUACCGAUUAUAAAGCACCGACACCCAGGGCCUAGAAUUAUAAUACUAUUUUUUUUUUGGAUUAGGACGAAAUUAUUAUUGAAUAAUAAUUAAAACAAGAAAAUCUGAAUCUUUCUAUGAUUGUAUCAACUUAUUAUGCAUGCCUAUGUUAUUGCCCGGUUGCCUAUGGUAUUGACAUCUACUACGAAGUUAGAAAUUGGUCUUAAUUAAUUAGAUGCAUUUCUCAUUUGAAUUAUUUGGAGACGUGUAUAAUACAGGUCAAGUUUUCUAAUAAGAGGUUAGUGACUUUAUUUCUUUUAUUGGCUCAUAUUGAUUUAUUUGGUUAUCAUUCCUAGCUAAUUCGGUUAUUUAUCAAUAAUUUUAUUGGACAAAUUCUUUUAUUGGUUAAAAUAAGUUUUUCUUAUUAUUGUUUUUGACGAGAAGGUCUCAAUAAAGUUGGAGUAAACAAAUUUUCAUCUAUGUCUCGCACUUACAUAAAAUAAAGGAAAAAAUUAUAAUUAUAAAUAAAUUAAGAACCAAUGUCAAUAAUGUAAAAUCAAAUAUUUAAACAAUCAAAAUUUUAUCACUUUUGAAUUUAAGACUUUUUUCUUUCAUAUGUUAGAAAAUAAAAUUUUGAUGGAAAUUUUUUUUUAAAUGAAAUUGGGAAUUAGAAAUUUUCAUUUCCAAGACUAUCUUUCAUUGGCUAUGUCCAAGACGAAACAGAUUAAAAGCAAAUUUUGUAAUUUACAAAAUUACUGUAGCAAUGAGAUGCGAAAGAAAAGACUGCACGUGAUAAUUGCGGUUAGUUUUCCCCUGUAAUCAAUUAUUGCCACCGGAUGGGAGCCACGUAAUUCGUCUAAUUGAACUGUACCCGGUUAUUCGCAAUCCACACCGGGCAAACUUGAAUCAUCUAUAUAUAUUACAUCAAAUUGUCAAACUGGAAGCAAGAACUCGAAAAAACAACUUAACUACUUUCGAACUUUGAUUCCCGUAAGCAGAGAUCUUUCUGAUUUGAAGAACAUGGAAACCACCUGCGCAGGUUUAUAGGCCAACUUUAUUUUAAUAUAUAUCGUUUAUACUUCUUAUUUUAGUAUAUGCGGUUAUAAAUUAAAUUUUUUAUAUGAAAUUUUCAGGUAAUAACUGGUCAGAGGGUCUUCUGCUUCCUCCGUUUGGCAGUAUUGCUGAUGAUGAUGUCAUGAACGACAAUCUUGAUUUUCUUAAUGUCCCCCAAUAUGGAAGAAACCCCGACUACAUGGGUUAAGUGCAGCACUGCUUUUUUUUUUUUUCUGUUUUGUUUAAUUAAAUAAAUGAUAGGUAUACUAUUACCUAUCAAUCAUGACAAUGUUUUAGUAUGGUUUAGUUCAACUUAUAAGAUUUCUUGAGACGUACAAGCAAUCUUUUUGUUUACUUUUGAGCUAAGUAUUUUCCUGAAAAAGGAAAUAAAUCAAUAAAAGUUAUUGUGUGUGUCAACAUAUUGGUUCUAUUAGUUUAUACACGUCGGUUUUAAUUACGAUCUCUCUUCCUAAAUGUUGUACUUUUUUUUGAAAUAAACUCAAAACUUUGUUGUAUAAAAAACUCUUAUCACUUUCAAUCAUAUGAUGGUUACAAUUUAAUCAUUUAUUCAUAACAUCCUCCUGGUCCUCCAUUGAGGAUAUUAAAGUGUGCCAUUCUGUAACCCAGAACUAUCAUUUCUUCCACCUCUACGAUAUCUUGUAAUGUUACUUGCAGCUUCAUAAGCCACAGAAACAUCAUCAAAAUCAACAAAUUGUUUUUUUUUUUUUUAGGAAAGUAAUAAGAAAAAUAAAAGCUGCAUUAUUUUAUUGGCCACAUUGGACUCCUAGGCCGGGUAAUCUUGUCAUCUCUACUCGUAGAGUCUUCUCCCAUGGUACUUGCAUGGUUCCAUCUUUUAACUCUAGUAGUAUUUUGUUUGGAAAAUACCCCAAUAUAAUAUCUUCAUUCAAGAAAAUUGAGGACUGAAUUUGUGGUGCUUUUAUCAUAUUAAAUUACAUUUAAUUAUCAAUAUUUAUUGACUGAAAUCAGAAGGGUGUUUGAAUCAGAUAUGAAUUCUCUCUUAAUCAAUUUUUUUUUCUAAAUUUUGUAAGAUAUUAUGGCAGAUUUCAUUUAAAUUGUUUUAUAGUUAGGAUUUAAUUUAUUUUGGGCUUUCCUUAUUGUUUGAAUCCGAUGAAUUUCAUAUCAUCUUGCUGGUGCUUCUUCUGAUCUUCUUCUCCCUCCCUCUCUCUCACUUUUUUUCUUCUCUCUCACAGACCUAAAACUUUGACGAGCAAAUUUGAAAACGAAAUAUCAGGACGGAAAAGCCUCAACAUAUUAAAAAAUUCGGAUAAUUUAACUCUCGUAGCAUUGAUGAAUUUUGGUGUUCUGAUGCGAUUCAAGUUUCUCAUAGAGCCAAAAAAUGGCAAUUCAAGCCAAUUUUUUUAUCCAUCAAUUGAAAUACAUGUUACAUAUGCAGCAGCCCGUAAUCGAAAAUAACUUAAUUUGUUUUAAAAAUUCUUUAUGUUAGACUAGAAAUGAAUCCAUUCUUGUUAUUGCGUAUCUGCAAUUUAACUUAUGCUGCUAGUUUACAAUUUAUUUUAUUCACAUAAAUGAUCGUUCCUUUUUCUUAUUCUCAAUUAAAUUUUGGUUCCUAGAAUGAUAGUUAAAAAAAUUAACAAUAAUAAUCGAUGUCGCAGAUCAAUUAUCAAAGUUUGUUUGUGUGAACAAGAAAUAUGAGAAAAAGUUUGUUAGUUAAUUGUCUCUUAGUUUUAGAAUUUUGAUUAACCAAUAAAACAACGUAUUUUAUUGUUUAAUAAAACAAGUUCAAAGUAAAUUCAAUCCUAGUCAUAUUUUGAUAUUUUUAUUACAUCGCAAUUAAAUUUAAGACAAACCACAUUUCGGCAAUUAAAUUUAAGACAAGCCACAUUCUCCACAUGAAAUAUUUUGUCGCGUCGUGAUUAAAUGAUUGAGUCUCACGUAGAAGUCUGUCACUAACCAUAUAUUUUUAUAAAUUUAUCAACACAAAAAGAAAAAAAAAAUGAAGUAUUUGAAAUUUAUCUGGGGCUAAGCAGUAACAUUGGAUGUUGCCUCGGAUGUCCUAUAUCAAGGGCCCGAUUAAUAAAAUUUUGGGCCCUAGGCAAAAUUUCUAAAUUAGCCCUUUUUAUUUAAAUGAAAGUUAAUGUGAGAUUAAUUUAAAUUUUUACGAUUAAUAUGAAUAAUUUAUUUUUUUAGAUAUAAUUCCUUUACAUAGUUUGUAUCUGUAUUAUUUCAAAGAUUUUUUUGGGUUAUGUUUAAGCAGGCUUAUUUUUGAGAGAUUAUGAAGAAUAAGAGAUUGUGUUUCAAUUGGAAAUAACAAAAAUUUCGUUGCAUAAUUUUUUUUAAGCAUUAAAGAAAUAAGUUAUUGACGGAAAUUUCACUUUCAACAUAGAGAAUAUCCAACAUUUUAAACAAGAAAAUAAAUAAAUUCUGAUUUUUUAACUGAACUAUAUAUUGAGGUGGGGCCAAAAUUUUUGGAGAGCAAAUAUAAUAACUCAAUUUCUAAAUAAUGAAUAAUGACUCAAUUUCUAAAUAAUGAAGUAAAACAUAAAUUAGGGUUUUAGUAGGAAAGUAUAUUAGAUGGGACCUUGAUUUUAGGGGAAGGCAUAGGCAGUUGCCUAAAGAGUAGAGCUUCUAACACCCCUUUUAAACUUGUAACAAACCCCAAUUUUUUGUUUUUUUAAGUCUCUUUCUUUUAUGAAAAAUACAGAAAAGGACAUAAAGUUAUAAUGAAAUUUUAAUUGAACUUCACUACUGUAUAGAAUACAUUUUGUAAACAAAUUUUUCAUAAUAAAUUUUUUAAUAAAUAAUUUAUUUCUUUGUUAUUUUGUUUUUAUCAGCAAAUUAAUUAUAAUAUCAUAGGAUUAGCAAAUAGUCAAGAUUCAAGAUUUGUUAAGCUAUUUUAAUGUAAUCAAAUUCAUAUUUUUCCUUUUAGUAAUUCUUAGUAAUAAUAGAACUAUUAUUUUAAAAGUAGGGUGAUGCAAGAAUAUUAAAACGGUGUGAAAAGCAUUACUCUUGCCUAAAUUAUUCCAAGGUUGAACCGGCGUGUCUAAUUACCACCCUCUAGAGAAAGGGGAAAUUUUUUUUUCCGAAGACAACCAUGUUUUGGGUAUUUCUACCGACACUCUACAAAAUAAAUGCUGGAAGAAAAUUAAUACUCUAUUAAUUGUUAGGGACAAAUCACACUUCCGUUGAGAAUAGACCUUCAGUUAAGUAUACCGGUUUCGACAUCCCUCGACUCUUGAGCUUUUCUUUGAAUAUAAGUUGGGUUCGUGGGUUUUUAUAUAAUAUCAGAGUUAGAAUCGUACAUAAGUGAGUCCACACUACCUUACCACAUCGAUUGAGAAUAAAUAUUGAGUUCAAUAUUAAACCUUCAACCACAAGGAUAAAACUAAUUAAGGCCCUUGAGGGGCUUCAAUACAUCCUCAACUAUUAAAUUCAUGGAAAUUCAUAUUAAUUUAAUGGAGUUGAACUUUUGGCACCCUUUGAAUAUGUCUUAAAACACAUUUUCUUUACUUAUCCCAUUAAAAUUGUAUAAAGAUUGCACACUUUCUCAUGAAAUCCCUAUGAUUCUAAAAAUAACCCUGAUUUCUUGUUAAAUAAACACCAAUGCAGAUGCGGCAAUAAAAUAGUUAAUUUAAAAAAAAAUCCCUAUCUGAGAGACAGAAAGCUAGAGGAUUUCAAUAUGGAAUAUUUAUGAUCAAUAGAAGAAUUCAAGUGACUGGAGAAAAUUCAGAUUGUUCAAAAUGGGUUCUCAAACGAGAUAAGCCUCAGGUAGUAGACCUCACCAACAUCAGUACCAGACUCAAUCCAUAGAAUCGGUCUCGUCUUAAGCCUAACAGCUCCCUUUUAAUAUAAUCUAGUGAGAACGGUGAGGUGCUUGGUAUAUCAUACACCAAAAAUCAACGAUGCUUGGACUUUCAAGAAAAAGAGAAAAACAAAUGCAUGCACGGGGAAACGUACUAAUUAAAAGCAAAUCAUAUAAUUUACAAAUUAUUAUAGGCUUGUAGCCAUAAGAUCGAGAGAAACUAAAACAUUUCUUGCAUUUUCUGGCCAUAUUUUCUAAAUGAAGGGAUGGUCCAUUGCUGCUCUGCCAUACUGGAUCUCAAGAUGUCAUUAACAAUAGGUCUCAAGAUGUCGCUAACAAGGUGUCACUCUGAUACCGACAGGUCUACCACUUAGACAUAACACUUGCCAUAUAAAAUUUUCUCCUAUUUUUGCUAUUUCCUUCGUAUCUUGCAUUGAAUUAUUGCCAGCAAAUGAUAUUUCGAGUCAAAAAAGUAUAUUCAAUUAUUGCAUAUAUGCUCCUAGGUAAUUUGCACAAUUGAAUUAUAGCUGUUAAUCUACUUAUUUACACAAUUGAUUAAUUGUGCGCAUCCAUUGCAAGACUUUCGCACUAAGUUUCAAUUUCAACCACAAAUCCUAGCUCUAGAUAAAAAUGAUGUGGUCGUAGAGAUUUCGAAUGUAUUCACUUUGUGAUUAACGGAAGCAUUGCUUUCAUUUGUAAGACGUUGUCAUCAGAGAUUAAUUAAUUAAUCAUCAUUUUGCUAAAGGAAAAAGAAUGAAAAAAGCUGCACUAUUUUAAAGGCCAUUUGGUAUAUGACCACUUCGCAUUGGACUUGGAGACCGGGUAAUUUUGUCAUCUCUACUCCAAGAAUCUGCUCUCAUGCUACUUGCAUGGUUCCAUCUUUGAAGUCUGGUACUGUUUUUUUUGGAAAAUACCCCACUAUAAUAUCUUCACGAAGAAAAUUGAUCCCCGUUAACUAGCGUGAUUAGCUUAGUUUCUUAAAUUCAACGUUCGUUUGGUUAAUUAUAUGUUAGUUUUAGAAUUUUGAUUAGCCAAUAAAACAAUGAGUUUUAUUGUUUAAUAAGGCAAUUUGAAAUAAAUUCAGUCCUACUCACAGAAAAAUUUAAAUGACACAUAUCAUAAUCUUUUUCAUAUCUUCAGAAAAAUUAAAUCAUAAGAGGAUCAUGAACAAUUUGAUGAUGCUCUGAAAUAUAGUCUUCUGUUUUUCAAGGAAAAAAUAAGGAAGUUAAAAACAUGUUUAUCAGGUUUUUCAGAGAUCAUUUUGACGUUUUUGUUUAAAAACAUGAAAAUUGUUCUUAUUCUCGUAAAACAGAAAAAAUUAUCUGGCCGGUUAGCUAAUUAUUCUUGUUCUUCUGUUCUUUUUUAUUUGAAUUGUUUCUCCCUUUUCCAUUCAUUUUUCACUAUGAAAUUAAUUACUAAUUAAUCUACAGUUAGUUUCUCUACAGCUAAUAGGAACGUGAUUUAUGCCCGAAGACUCGCAUCUUUUUUAUUCAUUAUCUACAGUGCCUCACCUCCAAUCUAUGUAUAGGCGGACAUGCAUAUUUAUUAUAUCAAAUAAGUUAUUGAUGGAAAUUUCACUUUCGAAAUAGAGAAUUAUCCUUAAUUAAAUCUUUGUGGGCCUAAAUUCGAGUAAGAUUUAAUGAUGUAUGAUUCAAAAUUAUUGAAAUCGGACAUUUUAAACAAGAAAAAAAUAAAAAAAUCUUGUUCUCUUUUUUAAAUAAUAAAUUUCAUUUUGAUGGAUUUUUAAUAUUAAAUUAGACAUUUGCUAAAUUGGCUCAAAUAUAAUAGAUCUUAGACCUUGCUUUUAAUGGAUUUAAUUAGGUUUUGGGCAUUUAAAUUAUACAACUGGAGACAGAAUUUAUAAACAGAUAAGAUUCUAAUGUGAUUUUAAAAUAAUUUUGAACUUGAACUUGAACUUGAUGCAUUUAAUUAAUCCAGAAAGGUAAAUUUAUAAUUUCAACUUUUAAAUAAAACAUAUCCUUUGGAUUUUUUACAUAAACUAGAGGCAAUUGUACAAUAUUUACUUGACUAGUGGUAUAUAUCCCAAAUUUUUUAUCCUAAGAAAUGCAACAUCAUUUGGUUGAUGAGGAUAAUAUAAUUAAUUCACUUAGAUAUUAUAAAAAAUUAUCAACCAAUCAAUGAAUAACAUAUCAUUUUCAUUGGGAUGGAAUUUGAAAAAAAAAUUUAGGACGUCUAUCAUUACUUUAGUAAGAAAGCAUAUUAAGAUGGACUGACAUGUUUGGAUGCCCCAGUCUAAGAUGCAAGAGAUCAAUUUCUUUUGUUGUCUUGAAAUCCCUACUAUUUGACUCAACAACAUUGGCAACAUUUAACUCAUUACUACUAGAACAAAAAAGAUAUCAUAGACAAAGGAUUGCUAAUGCAAUUUAUUGACUCAUACUCUAAAGAUAGAGGUAACUCAACAGCACAUUCAAUCUUGCGCUACUCAUGCACAUUAGCUCAUAUAGCCUAUCUUUAGUCACUCCUUUCAUUAGGAUUUUCACUUGGCUAAAGCAAGUAGAUUUUUGAAGCACAACAUCAAUAUCAUUAUCACGGAACAAUUUUGAGACAUUAAUAAGGUUCUUAGUAAUGCUAGGCACAUACAACGAGCUGUUUAGUUUAAUCUGUUUCUGUGGAUCAUAAGUGAGCAAUAUAGAGUAUCCAAUAUGAGAAAUCAAAAGUUUAUCACCAUUUCCAACAGUAGCUCAUCAUUACCCUGAUAUUCUGAAUUAAAGCUCAUGCUUCCAAUAGCACUGGUUGCAUGAUUUGUAGCACCAUUGUCAAGGUACCAAGCUCUACUAUUCUCACCGUCAACUGCAACCACAUAUGCUCUUCUUGGAUCUCUUCUUCUAUUUGGCUGUGGAACUAAUAUGAACCCUAUUAAGAACUAACAUGACCCUAACCAAUUUAGUCUCUAAGAUUGAAACCAAUUUUUUAUUUUUUUUAGAAGAGAUUGAAACCAAAUCUAAAAUUGAAUGGAACCGCGAUUUGAUCUCAAUGAAAGUACGAACCUUGGUAUGUGAUGACGCCACAAUCAGCUAUGGAUGAUCUUAUUGAUAAGUCAAGAGUUUGAACGCCACAGAAAUCCGAUAAAUUCAAAGGGUUAGUUUAAGAACCAAAGAGAAUUAGCUUUCUCAGCAAUUGCAUCAAAAUUGAUGCCUUUCUUAUUGGAUACGAGUACAUUAGAUAGGGUUGGUUUAUAAGAAUUUUAAGAAAUAAAUCCUAAACCAAAAUCAAAUCAGAAUCCUAAUUUAAAGCAAAUAAGGAAAGAAACUAAAUCAAACCAGAAUCCUUAUUGGCUUAAAUGCCUUGCAUCAAUUAAAAAUGGAAACAAGGCAAUUAAAAGAGAAAUAAUUGAUUCGUUUUGCCACUUGCCUACUCAAGAAAUGGGAAAGUAUCCUAAAAGGAAAGUAGUAUAUUUUCCAAACGAGAAAACAUCUGAUAAGGUAAAUAAUGUAUUUUCUAGCCAUAAUGUGCAAACCAACUUGCUGAUUUUAUGGAAAUGAUUAUGUGGAAACUUAAAAAGCCUGAAUCACGUAUUUAGUGGUCUGAAUAUCAUGUGCGCUUUCUUCAACGGGCCUCCACGAAUUUGAUUGAGCUCAAGUUGCUUAAAUCAACCCAUUAAGCGAUUUUUUGAAUUUUUUUGCACGAGCUCUUGUGAUGGGUCCAAUAGGAACUUGAAUGGGAUAUGAAUAUACCUCAUCCCAUGUGCUUGUGACAGUUUUGUCCUCAAUAUCAUAUUUUUUCCUUCAAAGAAACAAUUUUGCUUCAUAUGGAAAAGGAAAUUCUUAUGUAGCCUUAUAUGAUUUAUACAUAAACUCAUAAUAUUUGUGUAGUCCUUCAUGAACAUGUGAAAUAUACACUUAUAUAGUGAAUCCUUCAUGAACAAGAUGUUAGUGAAUAACAUCAUAAUUUUGGAAUAGUCUUUCAGGAACAUAUUUUGAAAGAAAAUCUUCAUUAUGUAUAGUGCGAUCCUUAGAGAUGCAUUCUUAAUUUUCUUUCAUUAUAUAUUAUAAUAUUCAUACUUUAGGAUGAAUAUUUUGAAUUUCAAGAAUAGAAAAUAUAUAAUAGCAAUUGAAUAUUAUAAUAUAAAAAAUCAAACAAUAACAAAAUCAAUCAAUGGAACAUUAAAUAAAUGUUGGAAUCCAAAUCUCAUAAAAUAUAUGUAAUCAUUAAUAAAGGAAGUAUUAGAACAAGAAUCAAUCGGUCCUUGAUCUUAGCCACUAACUUAGCAUAUUGUAAUAUUCAUUCUCCUUUAUAUUCUUUCCUUUUCUAUUAUUUGACCGUUUGGUACUUGCCUUAGAUGAUUCUAGUAUUUUUGUAUAUAAGGAUCUUGUACACAGCAACAAAUAUAUAUGAGCAUUUCCACAAUUCUUUACAUGGUACCAAAGAAAAUUUUGCUCAUUUAUGCUUUUCUCUUUGAAAAUCAUGUCUAGUAGUUUGAAUCCAAUAUCAGAAACAUCAAAUUCCCUCAUUACCGAUGCUUCUUCACCAUACUUUCUUCAUUCAUCUGAUCAUCCUGGAGCCAUUCUUGUAUCUAAUGUGCUAACGGGUGAUAAUUAUUCAACAUGGAAAAUAUCCAUGAAGAUGGCAUUAAAUGCCAAAAACAAAUUGGGUUUUAUUGAUGGAAGCAUACAAAAACCUUCAUCAACCUCACAAGAUUUAAAAACUUGGGAGCGAUGCAAUGACAUGGUCCUUUCAUGGAUGCUCAAUGGAAUAGAGAAAAAUCUUGCUAACAGCCUCAUUUAUUGUGAUACUCCACGCUCUCUUUGGCUUGGGUUGGAAGAACGUUUUUCACAAAGUAAUAAUCCACGGAUUUAUGAACUUAAGAGAGCCAUAUGCAAUCACCAGCAAGAGCAAAAAUCAUUAGUGAUUUAUUUUAAUACUUUGAAAUUUUAUUAGGAUGAAUUGUCCACAUUAACCACUAUUUCUUCUUGCAAGUGUGAAACUUCAUAUGAAUUGCAGGGAUUACUAGAGACUGAAAAGGUGUUUCAAUUCCUAAGGGGUCUCAAUGAUUCAUAUUCUUCGGUACGAAGUCAAAUCUUAGCCAUGGAACCACUUCCAAAUGUUGGAAAAACAUAUUCAAUUAUUCAUCAGGAAGAACGUCAACGACUUCUCCAUGUUUCCAGUCAACCAUCCAUUGAAUCAACAGCCUUGACAGCCAAUAAUAAGACUCAAAUGACCGGCUGUCAAAAUCAUUCACAUCCUAGCCAUUUGCAUGGAGUACAAGAGACACAAGGACGGGGUAGAUCUUUCUGCGAUCAUUGCCAGAAAUAUGGGCAUAUAAAAGCCAAAUGUUACAAAAUUGUUGGCUACCCACCAAACUGGAAACAUUCAAAUCGAUCGCAUGUUGCUGCUCCUACAACCACAAAGCCACAACAACUAGAUGAUCAUCCCAUUCCAACAGACAAGAAUGCAUCAUCUCAGCCUACUAUCCAAAUUCCUGGUCUCACGGCUGAACAAUAUCAACAAUUAUUAUCUAUACUUUCAACAAGUGAGCAACCAUCUACUGCAAACUUAGCUGGUAAAAUCAUUCCUUUUUGCAAUUCUGCUAUUAACUCAUAUAAUAAUUCUUGGAUAAUUGAUAGUGGGGCAUCUGAUCACAUGACCCCUAAUAUUUCUUCCUUUAAAAAUUUUGUGCCCAUGUCUCAUGUCAAACCCGUGAGACUACCAAAUGGCACAACUGUUCCUACAAUAAAAUGUGGAUCCAUUAAAUUAUCCUCCUCUUUGACUUUAGAUAAUGCCUUAUUGGUUCCUCAUUUUAAUUUUAAUCUAUUAUCUGUAAGCAAGCUAACCAAGGAUUUGAACUGUGCUGCUAUAUUUUUUUCCUUCAUUUUGUGUUUUUCAGGACCUUUCAACGAAGAAGCUGAUUGGAAAGGGUGAAGUUUGGGAUGGACUAUAUUAUUAUGAGCUUAUCAAUGGUCAUUCUUCCCUUCCUUCAGUAAUGAACGUUGCAAAGGAACCCAAUUCUAAUCUUUGGCAUUUGCGACUCGGUCACCCUUCUAAAGACCGAAUGCAGCGUUUGUCUUUUAUUUAUGAUAUUGCAUCAUUUAAUUCUUGUUGUGAAAUUUGUCAACUUUCAAAAAACACUAGAAGUUCAUUUCAAUUGAAUAAAAAUCGUUCUGAUAUGCCAUUUCAAUUAAUUUUUUGUGAUAUUUGGGGACCUCAUCGCACAUCUACAUAUACGGGAGCAUAUUAUUUUCUUACUAUUGUUGAUGACCAUACUCGUUGUACUUGGGUUUACCUCAUACGGCACAAGUUUGAAGCUUUUCAAUUAUUAAAAAACUUUUACUUCUUGAUCAAGACACAAUUUCACACACAAAUUAAAAAAAAAAUUUGCAUUAAUCAAGGAAGUGAAUUUUUAUCAAAUCAGAUGCAAUUUUUUUCAUGAGCAUGGCAUCUUGCAUGAACGCACUUGUGUUGAAACACCUCAACAAAAUGGGGUAGCAGAACGCAAGCAUCGACAUAUUUUAGAAGUUGCACGUGCAUUAUGUUUUCAAGCACAUUUACCUUUGUCUUUCUGGGGAGAUUGUGUUUUAGUUGCAACCCAUUUGAUUAAUCGUAUACCCACGCCUAAUCUUGGUGGUCAAUCACCUUAUGAAAUGUUUUUUAAGACUAAACCUCACUAUGAUCGUCUUCGUGUCUUUGGCUGUCUUUGUUAUGCUCAUACCAACAGUGCUAAUCGUCAUAAAUUUGCUCCCCGUGCUACCAAGUGUAUAUUUGUUGGUUACCCAUUUGGGUAUCUCGGAUACAAAGUUUAUGAUAUCAUUAAUAAAAAUACUUUUAUUUCUCGUGAUGUUACUUUUGUGGAAACUGAAUUCCCAUUCAAAACUAUCACCAAUCAACAAGAAAAUAGCAAUCUUUUACCUCUUCCUAUCAUACUUCCUGCCAAUGAAAAUGCACAGCUCCUUCCAACUUCUUCCAAUGAGAAGCCACUCCACCAAGGUACAUCUGAUUCAAUAGUUCUCCCUUCUCCACCUCUUCGACGGUCCCAACGACAGUCUUGUCGUCCAAAUUAUCUUCAGAAUUAUAUUUGCUCUACUGCACUUCACGGUACAUUUGGCAACUCUAUUAGUUUUACUAAUCAUCCACCAUUGGUAAGUUCUUUAUAUCCAUUAUCCAAGUAUUUAUCAUAUGACAAGUUUUCUAGUGAUCAUGUAGCCUUUCUUUCAGCCAUAUCUCACGAUGUUGAACCAACUACAUAUUCUCAAGCCGUUCAACAUGCUUAUUGGCGCAAUGCUAUGGAUAUAGAGAUUAAAGCUUUGGAGCAAAGUAACACUUGGACAAUACAAGAUCUACCCCCCGGCAAGAAACCAAUUGGUUGUAAAUGAGUGUUUAAAAUUAAAAGAAAAGCUGAUGGUUCUAUUGAUAGAUACAAAGCAUGCCUUGUUGCUAAAGGAUACACACAAACUGAAGGUUUGGAUUACCAUGAGACAUUUGCACCUGUUGCAAAACUUGUGACUGUUAGAUGUGUAUUGGCAAUGGCAGUUAUUCGAGGGUGGUUAUUAUUUCAGUUAGAUGUUCAUAAUGCAUUUCUUCAUGGCGACUUGCAUGAGGAAAUUUAUAUGACCUUACCUCCAGGAGUUCGUAAACAGGGGGAGUCUUCUCAAUUUUUUCGGUUAAACAAGUCCCUUUAUGGUCUCAAGCAAGCUUUUCGAAAAUUGGUUUGAAAAAUUCUCAUCCGCUCUUAAACAAAUUGGUUACAUUCAUUCUUAUGCUGAUUCUUGUUUAUUUACUAAUAUGCACGAUUCUCAUUUUACAUUGGUGCUUGUGUAUGUUGAUGAUAUAAUAAUUGCUAGUAACCAUCUUGACACUAUAACUGCAUUGAAGAUAUUUUUACAGGCUCAAUUUUAUAUUAAAGACUUGGGAACUUUGAAAUAUUUUUUAGGAAUUGAAGUGGCUCGUUCAAAGCAAGGGAUUUUCUUAAAUCAAAGGAAAUAUGCUUUAGAUAUACUUCAAGACAGUGGACAAUUAGGCACACGGCCAUCUUCUUUUCCAAUGGAACAAAACUGAAGCUCUCUAACAAUCAAGGAACCCUUUGUCAAAAUCCUGACCACUACUGACGACUCAUAGGAUGUCUCAUCUAUUUGACAAUCACCCGGCCAGAAAUUACAUAUGCUGUGAACAUACUUAGUCAAUUUAUGCACACUCCAAGACGACCACAUUAUGAUGUUGCCCUGCGUGUCUUACGUUACAUCAGAUCUUCUCCCGGUACUGGUAUCCUCUUGUCCUCCACUAGCUCUUUGGAACUCUCUGCCUUCUCAUAUUCAGAUUGGGUAAGUUGCCCCAUGACCCGUCGAUCCACCACUGGAUAUUUUAUCAUGCUCGGCAACAAUCCUAUUUCUUGGAAAACCAAGAAGCAACCAUUUGUAUCACGCUCUUCCGCUGAAGCCGAAUAUCGAGCAAUGGCGACAACAACAUGUGAAUUGGUUUGGUUGAAAACUCUACUUCAUGAUCUUCAUAUGACCCAUCCAAUGCCUAUAACUUUACAUUGUGACAAUCAAGCUGUGCUUCAUAUCGCUGCCAAUCCCAUCUUCCAUGAGCGUACCAAGCACAUAGAAAUAGACUGCCAUCUUGUUCGUGAAAAGCUUCAUGCCAAAAUCAUUUCCUUAACUUAUGUGCCUUCACGACAACAAUUGGCUGACAUUUUUACCAAAGUUCUUGGUAAAGAUCAAUUUCAAUAUCUUAUUGGCAAGUUGGGAGUUAUGGAUCUUCACUUUCCAACUUGAGGGGGAGUAUUAGAACAAGAAUCAAUCGGUCCUUGAUCUUAGCCACUAACUUAGCAUAUUGUAAUAUUCAUUCUCCUUUAUAUUCUUUCCUUUUCUAUUAUUUGACCGUUUGGUACUUGCCUUAGAUGAUUAUAGUAUUUUGGUAUAUAAGGAUCUUGUACACAGCAACAAAUAUAUAUGACCAUUUCCACAAUUCUUUACAGGAAGUAAGGAACAACUUAAUAGAUCCAUUAUUCUUAAAUUAUAAAAAUACAUAAACAACAUAUGUAUAUGAUUUUAGACAAAUCAAGAUAGUUUAAUUCAUACCUUUGUGAGUGAGAUCAAAGGAGGGAUAUUAUCAUAUUACCUCUUAAUGGCUAGAGACUCGUGUUGAUAAUGUGUUAUAUCAUUUAUCAAUUGGGAGUGCAACAAUAUAGCAAGAGAAAUAAAGAAGGCAAAUAAGAGACACAAUGUUUAGAGGGGAAUUUUAUUCAAUCUCAAAUAUAUACAAAUAGGAAGCAAAGGCCUGCUUUUAUAGUGAUACAAGCAUAAAGUAGUAAGCAAUACCUCGUAAUUAUAAGAGAUGACAAUCCUCAGAUUAGGGAGAUAAUGAGAGUUAUAAAAGAUGGAAAGUUACUUGUGAGGAGAUCGAAGAUUGCUUUGAUGAACAUCCACAUAUAUCAUAAUAAUUUCAUAACAUACAUUUACUUUUAAUUUAUUUUUAAGGUUAAUUGGUUAAUAAGCUUCUUGUGUAGUAGAUUGAUUAAUGUGCCCAAGAAUAUUGUUGGAUGCUAUUAUUUUAAAAGCAAAGCAAAAUAAGGCAUAAGUGUCACAUGUUCAAUAGCAGGGAUGUUUUGAGGAAUUUCUUAAAAUAAAAAGACUAAGUAGAUCUUUAGCCCAAAAUAUAGGGAUUAAGCAAGCAUUCAUCCUAUAGAAAAGCAAAGUAAACUAAUGUAACCAUGAUUGAAUAUAAAGUUAACUCUUCUAUGGCAUUAUAGAGAACAAAAGAAGGAAAAAUAUUAUUCAAAUUCAAGAUAAGAAGGUAGUUUAUUAACUGUCUAAAGUUCAAAAUUUUAUUAAUUUCAGACCUUUUUUAAAAUUUACUUAUUUGUUUUUUUGUAACUUAUGUUUGAUUUUUAGAUAUUUAUAUCUGAAUAGAAAAAGUAAGAUUUUUUGACUUUUAUCUAAAUGGAAAAAGAUCUGAAUGAUUAGUAAAUAUUACAUUCCAUAAAUAUCUCUAUAAAAUAACUUAUUUCCUAAUCUAUAAAAUAGAAUCCCCUUUUUUUAUUUUGAUUUACAAGGACGUAAAUGUCAAAGAACUAAGUUUAAGAUGUUUUUUAUUAUAAAAACAAAUAAGAUGCCACUUACAUUCAUAUAUUAAAAAAUGAAAAACAAACAUGUGAUUCAAAUUUUCGUAUUCAAACCCAUUCAAACUUGAAAAAAAUUUAGACACAUUCAAAUUUCAGACAAAAAAGACAAAUACUAGUUCAAUUUUUUUUUUCGCUUUGCAACUGCCCACUGCUAACCAAAUAAAAAAAGAUUUUCAAUUUGGAAUUAUGUUAUCCAACAUAUGAAGACAAUUCUUCCUUUGAACGAAUCUUUAUGAUUGUUUUCUGAACGAAUAUUGCUCUAAAUUAAAAUAUUUUAGAACAAAAAAUAGCUGAUUGCCAAAUGUACAAUAGGUACAAUUUUCUUUUUUCAGCUCUCUUUUGGAAGAGAACUAUGGCGUCCUUUAUAAUUAUUAUUUCUUGAAAGAAUACAAACUUAAAUUACUGGCUUUUUAUUUGUAAAAUCAUAUAAAAUGGACUCUUUUAAGGAAAAUAUCUCAUACCGGAGAUAAUAAUUUCUGGACUAAGAAUAUAAACUUAAAACAGCACUACUAUCAAAUUAUCUUUAAAAGAGUUCCUUGAUCAAAAGAAUUUAUUUAUCAUUUUUCACAGUUUAAAAAAAUAAAAAAAUUACAUAGAAAUAAUUGGAAGAUUUCCUAAAUAAGCAUCAAAUAAAUGCUAAUUUAUUGCAUGAUACUUGGAAGAAACCAUAAAUAAAAAUUAAGGAUUUAUAAUUUUAAAGACAAGUUGGGAGUUUAAAUUUUCUUGCCAUCUUGAGGGAGAAUAAUAAGACCGAAAUAAUAUUGAUGAAACAAAAUAAUCAAUCAAAUAUUUGAUUGUCUUCAUCUUAAUCAGUGAUCAAGAAAAAUUGGUUGUUAAUUAACAUAAAAAUUGAUUGACUCAAUAUUUACUAAUAGAUCAUUAUUCCCAAAUUAUGUUAAUUAUAUAUAUUUCAAAUACUUAUAAGAAUUGAGUUUGCUUACGGUUUAUUAAAUAUAGUCUCUUAAAAGUUUACAUGUGGCCCAUACAAAGCUAACAUUACUCUGUUAUAGCAUUUCGGGCAUCCAACAAGAUCCUCUUCUUCACUUAUUGUUAGAACUAGCGCUAACAAAUUAAUUACUUAAUCACGGCUAAGUUUGGAAUUAAAAUCAAACUAAAUUAUCUAAUUGGUUGAGUUCGGUUUCCGUUUGUAUGGGCUACAUGAAAUUUUUUCUCUCAUCUUCUCUCGUCUGCUAAUCGCAUCUUUCUCUCUUUCGACUCUCUAAUUUCUCUCUUGGAUUUGGUUACCAAGCACAUAAAAUUGAAGCCACCAUCUCGCUCAUAACAAACAACUAGUCGGAUCCAUCAAACUGUUGCUGUCAUCUUGAGCCAUUCAAGUAACUUGAACACAUCAUCUUCUCGUAAAUUCUCUUUCAUUUUCGAAUUAAAGACAAGGUAAGGAUGUAAUCUUGACUUUUGUGUUUUUUGUGAUGACUACAGAAAAUGCUAUAUGAAACAAUUAGGGAUUUAUGUGCUAUAUAAUAAUAAUAAUAAUAAUAACGACAACAACAACAACAACAACAAGUAGUCAUUUAUGAAUUUUGAGUGAAAAAUUAGGGAUUUAUGUGCUUCUUCUUCUUCUUCUUCUUCUUAUUAUUAUUAUUAUUAUUAUUUUCCCUAUAUUAAACAAGUAGUCAUUUAUGAAUUUUGAGUGAAAAAUUCACUCGGCUGUGGCAGAUUUUGUGCCUUACAAGUAGUCGAUUUCACGCAUUCAUCAUCACCAUUACUAUGUUCAUUAUUAUUUGCUAUUUUUUUUUACUUUUUCUGCUGUUAUUGAUUAAAUUGACAUUAAAUUUAUGUCUUGUCCAUUACAAGACUUAACAAUAUAAUCCAGUUGUAACAUGGACACUACAGAUGAUACAAGUGCGCAAGACCUAGUCAGAGAGCGUAGUACACUUUUUGUAAGUAUAAACUAAUUGAUAUUUUUCGAGUUGUUAUGUUAGCAACCAUUUUAAAAACACUUUUGUUUUCGAAUUUUGGUUACGUUGAAGUGAAGGGGAUUGAGUUACCAUUAAAAAUUAAAGUAUUUUGGUCUUUAUAAACAAAGCGCUUUUGUGGAAUAGAUCUAAGAAGAUGCUAAUCUUCUUCAUAAAUUUUUUUUAAAAAAAAUUCUAUUACUCUUGGUGCAACAAAUUUCCUAGUCCCAAAACCUUGUCAUAGAAAAAAAAAGAAAAAAAAAAAGAAAACAGAAAAAGAGUGAAAAUCUCUUGGGUCAACCAAAUUACUCAAAUUCGUAAAAUAAUAUAAUACUUGAACCUUAAAAAUAAAAGCUCUAUAUAUUACUAUAUAAACAGUGAUAAACACAAUUACUAUCUAAGCCCACUCGAAAUUUUAUCAUACAGUCGUAUAUUUAUCACUUUAUGUACGUAUAUUGUAAUUUGGAUACGUUAUUUAAUUAUAUUUAUAUUGUGUAUAUUUACCACAUUAUGUACGUAUAUAAAAUAUAACGUAUAUUGUGUAAACUCUACUAUAAACAAUUAAUAUUUGGUCAUAUUUCUUUUGGCAAAUAACCCCCUGGGAUUUCUUCUUUAUCGCAACAUGAAAUUGAAGAUAUUUAAAAGGUUUUGAAACGUUAUUUUUAUUGAAAGGAGUUGCCAUUUUUAAUUUUGGUUGCAAAUAAUAAUUCCUUGGUGGUUACAAUAUUUUUAAAUAUCCCCAUUAAGGCUGUAGGGGCUACAAAUCUUCAUUCUAGAUCUGUAACAUAUGACUAUGAAUUAUAUAUAAAUGAGCUAUUUUUCUUUAUCUUUGGAUAUAUUAUAUACUCUAUUGUUUGCUCCGAAACUCUACGAUAAACAAUUAAUACUUUUCUUUGCAACUUCGACAUUCAAAGACUUGGUUUAUUCUUCAGGUAAAUCGUGCUUAGGAAGAAGAGCGGCAUGAAGAUAUUUGGGUUGUAUUUUGGAGCUGCGAAAUACGGACAAUAUCCGCCCGUGGGGAGGGCUCUUUGACAUUUGGGUUGUAUUUUGGACAUUUGUGAUUCUCCAUAGUACUGGCCGGAUUCUUCAACAAUAUCCUAAUACUUCUAAAGUCAAAGACAUGCUUCUCUUUCGUUGUAUAUAUUUGCAUCUCUAGGUGAAAUUUGUAAUUGGCUGAGGACAUUUUUAUUUUUAUAGAAUGGAAGAACAGGGACUUUACGUGGAGAAAAAAUUAAUUGUAGUGGGUAUUUUCCAUAGAUAUAGCUAUACAUGUAGCAUGGCGAGCUGAUGACGGGAGUUCAUUUGACGGAAUUAGCCCUUCAAUGGGUUGUCGUUAUAAACCAGAUGGCCAAUAUAAUCAUGCAGCCUAUUUCAGCAAUCUUGUUUAUUAUGAUAUUAAUUUUUAAAAUAUAGUUACAAUCUAGACACAUAAUUUGUGGACCCAUUUUAUCUACCACGUGAUUGGUAUUAUUACUUUAUUUGUCUUUUUAUGUACUAUUUUUGUUCUGUGGACCCAUUCAUGCACCCACGUUUCGAACAUGCAAUUUAACCGUAGCCGUUAAUCUUACCUAAUCAUAUGUGCGAUAAAAAUCUGCCGUCGAUCCGUUAUAUGUAAGUACCAACCAUGCGUUAUUGUUCGAUUUGCUACGUUACAAAAUCUUAUUGAUUAUAGACAUUGUAUAUUUUAAGAAUUUGUUCAGAAAAUAUUACGAUCUAUUAUCAUUAUGAAAUGCCCAUUUCACUGAACUAUCUUUGAUUAUAAAUUUUUUUUAGCAAUUCGAAGUGAAAUGAUAUUUUGAAGACUCAAUUAGACAUUUAGACAGGGCUGCAGUUCUGGCCUCAUUUUGUCCUGAAGCUCAGCCAUGAUCCUGCCAAAGUUUUGGAGCCAUUCUAGCCACAUUUUAUCUUACUAUUAUGCAUCACAUUUACUUUUGCGAUCUUGGAGACUGCGACUGGGUCAAACAUAUCCUCAAGCUCCGCUUUAACCUUACGAAAUUUGUGGACCCAUUUUACCUUCACGUGAUUGGUAUUACUACUUUUGUGGACAAGGCUACGUUGCAGUUGCAGACUCAGCUGAGUACCAACAGCUUUUCCUCUCUCCUGCAACGCGUGGAUGCUCCUUGUUUGUCUUCUUAUCUGCAAUUAUUUUCUCUGUGGACCCAUUCAUGCACCCACGUCUCGAAUAUGCAAUUUAACGGUAGCCGUUAAUCAUACCUAACUAUAUGUACGAUAAAAAUUCCGCCGUCGAUCUGCUAUAUGUAAGUACCAAUCAGGCAUUAGUUUUCUAAUAAGACUUUAUUUCUUUUAUUAGCUCAUAUUCAUCCAUGUGUUUAUCAUUCCUAGCUAAUUCGAUUAUUUAAAAUAACAAUGAUCCAUCAAUAAUUUUAUUCUUCGACCGGUUAAAAUGAUUUUUUUUUAUUAUUAUUUUGAUGGGGAGGUCUCAAUAAAGUUGAAAUAAAUAAAUUUUGGUCUUUGUCUCACACUUACAUAAACAAAGGAAAAAAAUUAUAAAAUUAUAAAAAAAUUAAGAACCAUUGUCAAUUAUGUAAAUUCAAAUAUUUAAACAAUCAAAAUUUCAUCACCUUGAGUUGAGAUUUUUUUUUCUUUCUUUUAUGUGUUAGAAAAUAAACUUUUGAUGGAAUAAUUUUUUUUAAAAAAAUUUUGGGAACUAGAAAAUCAUUUUUUUAAAAAUGACGUUGGGAAUUACAAAUUUUUAUUUCCAAGACUAUCUUUCAUUGGCCAUGUCCAAGACGAAAAAGACUAAAAGGAACUUUUGUAAUUUCCAAAAUUAUUGUAGCAAUGAGACGCGAAAGAAAAGACUGCACUUGAUAAUUGCGGUUAGUUUUCCCCUGUAAUCAAUUAUUGGCAUCGGAUGGGAACCACGUAAUUCGUGUAAUUGAUAUAAAGCAAUCUUUGAUGAAUCGUGACCCACUUAACAAGGAUCAAUACAUUCAGAAAUGAAUUCCACUCACCAAUUGAGAUACUAGUAUUAAUAUUAUAGGGAUUUAUACUGCUCUAAAGACAAUGUUACAGAGAAGCUGCUAUUACUCUCAUGACUCUGAAUCUAAGUGUUCAAUACGAGUCUAAAGACCUAAUUGCUCUGAUACAAGAAAUCAGUCCAGUCUUGUAUUACUAAACUUAUUAGCAGAUUUUUAGCUCCCAGCUAGCACAUGGGUAGCACCUGUAACGCUGCAUCAAUUAAUGAAAUUGAUACAAGAAAUUCUUUUAAUUUCUUGAAUACCGAAAAAGUAAAAUUACCAUUCAAAAUGGAGGAUAAAUAUUUAAAACUGUCUUAAACGCAUCUUAUUUGUUCAUACACACACAAGUUAUUAAACAACCAUGAAUGUUGAACUAAAGUGUCAAACUUAGUUUCUGGUUGUCAAAUUUUCUUCCUAUUGGACAUCUAAAUCGUUUUGCAGUCAGUAACAUAGUCAGAAAAUCAAAUUAGUGGGGUAGAAUGACUGACAUAAAAUAUAAAGAAAAAAAUUUACUGUGUUCUUUAUCUAUUUUUCUAAUAUUUUUAGCAUUCCUCCUUACAUAUGUCUAAUAGCAUGUUUAAUUUGAAGAAAUAAAAUAAGAAGAGAUGUGAGAUAAGGAGAAUGGGAACAAUAAAUAAGGAAAAAAGAGAUAUAAUUAUAUAUUAAAUUAAAUAAUGAAAUUGAGAAUGAUCCUAUUUUUUCCAUCAUUUUUUGAUCACUUACUCUAAGGAACGAGAACUUUAAGGAAAGACAGACAAAUCAUAAAGAUUGAAGAGCAGGAAUUUUUGUUCUCCUUUUUAAAUAAAAAAUUUCAUUUCAAUAGAUUUUUAUUAUUAAAUUAGUCUUUCCCUAAAUCAGAUCAAAUAUAUUAGAUCUUAAAUCUUGUUUUUAAUGAAAUUAAUUACGUUUUGGGCAUUUAAAUUAUGAAAUUGGACAAGAUUUGUGUGUGAUUUUAAAAUAAAUAUGAACUUGAAUUUGAUGCAUUUAAUUAAUCCAAAGAGGCAAAUUUAUAAUUUCAAUUUCUAAAUAAAACAUAUCAUUUGAAUUUUAUCAGUGGUUUCUAAUAAUAACUGCCAGGUCAUUAUAAUAAUUAUAAAUGUAAUAUUUGUUUUUAUAAUUAUACAGUUAUGAUCAAUGCUAUGCCGUAGUGCCGUUCCAACAUAGUCACGCCGUUGAUUUUUUAGACAGACCAAAGGCAACUGCUCCCACUAUUCUCUUAGCGGCUCUGCCACUAAUCGCAUUCUGGCCACAUUUUAUCUUUGCUAUUAUGCACCGUAUUUAUUGUUGCAAUCUGCGAGACUGCUACUAGGAUAUGCAAUUGCUCAAGCUCGCUUUAAUCUUACUUAAUUUGUGGACCCAUUCUGCCUUACACGUGAUUGGCAUCACUACUUUGUUUGUCGUUCUUCUAGCUGUAGUAUUAUUUAUUUUGUGGACCCACUCGUGCACCCACGUUUCGAAUACACAAUUUAACCGCAGCCGCUAAUCUUACCUAAUUUAUGUACGAUAAAAGCUCCGCCGUCGAUCCGUUAUACCUAAGUACCAACCAUGCAUUAUUAUUUGAUUAGCUACGUCACAAAGUCUUUGUUCGAAUAGUUAUCAAAGUUUGUUUGUGUGACUCAUGGAAUCUUUGUUGGCCAAUAAAAGGAUGCAUUUUGCUGUUUAAUAAGGCAAGCUCGAAAUAAAUCAAAUCUUAGUCAUACAAAAAUUCAAAUGAUAUGAGCCAUGAUCUCUUGCCAAGCUUCAGACAAGUUAAAUUAUAAGAGGAUCUUGAUAGGUUAAAUUAUGAACACACAUUUACGCUGUGUACCCAUUCAUGCAUCCCCGUUUCGAUUUUGCAAUUUAACGUAGCCGUUAAUCUUACCUAACCAUCUGUACGAGAAAAACUCCGCCAUUUGGCAGCCAAAGACUUGGUGCAGCCGGUUAACAAACAGUUGCACCAUAUUUUUUAAAAAAUAUAUAUUAAAAAUACAAUAUAAAAAUGAAAAAAUUAAAUAAAAUGUCAAAAAUAUUUUUUUAUAAUAUAAUUAAUAGCAAAAGAUAAAGAAAUUAAAUAAUAUAAUACAAACCCUAUAAUACAAUAUAAUAUAAUUAAAUAAAAUGACAAAAAAUAAAGAAAUUGAAAAUGAAAAAAAUAGUAUUUCAAGUUUAACGUCAGUUGUUGCAUGUCCGACGUCUCGAUUGCAUGUUUGACGUUAGAUGUUGCAUGUGUUGAAUAAAGCCAAAAUAAAGAAUAUUCUCGAAUAUUCUCGUCUGUUUCAUGUUUGACGUUGAAGUUGCGAACUUUACGUGAUAAAUUGCAUAUUUCGCGUGAAGUGUUACAAGUUUCAUGUUUAACGUCCGUUGCUGCAUGUCGGACGUCACGGUUGCAUGUUUGACGUAAUCUGUUGCAUGUCUUGAAUAAAGCCAAAAAAAGAAUAUUCCUAAAUAUUCUUGUCCGUUUCAUGUUUGACGUCGAAGUUGCGAACUUUACGUGAUAAAUUGCAUAUUUCGAGUGAAGUGCUGCAAGUUUUAUGUUUAACGUCAGUUCUUGCAUGUUCGACGGUUGGAUUUCAUGUUUGACGUACGAUAUUGCAUGUUUUGAAUAAAGCCAAAAUAAAGAAUAUUCCUGAAUAUUCUCGUCCGUUUCAUGUUUGACGUCGAAGCUGUAAAUUUUACGUGAUAAGUUGUAUAUUUCACGUGCAGUGUUGCAGGUUGCAUGUUUAACGUUCGUUGUUGCAUGUCCGACGUCCCGCUUGCAUGUUUAACGUUAGAUAUUGCAUGUUUUGGAUAAAGCCAAAAUAAAGAAUAUUCUCGAAUAUUCUGGUCCGUUUCAUGUUUGAUGCCGAAGUUGCAAACUUUACGUGAUAAUUUGUAUAUUUCACGUGCAGUGUUGCAGGUUGCAUGUUUUACGUCCGUUGUUGCAUGUCGGCCGUCCCGGUUUCAUGUUUGACGUUAGAUAUUGCAUGUUUUGGAUAAAGCCAAAAUAAAGAAUAUUCUCGAAUAUUCUCGUCCGUUUCAUGUUUGACGUCGAAGUUGCAAACUUUACGUGAUAAGUUGUAUAUUUCACGUGCAGCGUUGCAGGUUGCAUGUUUAAUGUCUGUUGUUGCAUGUCCGACGUCCCGUUUGCAUGUUUGACGUUAGAUAUUGCAUGUUUUGGAUAAAGCCAAAAUAAAGAAUAUUCUUGAAUAUUCUGGUUCGUUUCAUGUUUGACGCCAAAGUUGUAAACUUUACGUGAUAAGUUGUAUAUUUCACGUGCAGUGUUGCAGGUUGCAUGUUUAACGUCCGUUGUUGCAUGUCCGACGUCCCGCUUGCAUGUUUGACUUUAGAUGUUGCAUGUUUUGGAUAAAGCCAAAAUAAAGAAUAUUCUCGAAUAUUCUCGAAUAUUCUCGUCCGUUUCAUGUUUGACGUCGAAGUUGCAAACUUUACGUGAUAAGUUGUAUAUUUCAUGUGCAGUGUUGCAGGUUGCAUGUUUAACAUCCGUUGUUGCAUGUCGGCCGUCCCGGUUUCAUGUUUGACGUUCGAUGUUGCAUGUUUUGGAUAAAGCCAAAAUAAAUAAUAUUCUCGAAUAUUCUCGUCCGUUUCAUGUUUGACGUCGAAGUUGCAAACCUUACGUGAUAAGUUGUAUAUUUCACGUGCAGUGUUGCAGGUUGCAUGUUUAACGUCCGUUGUUGCAUGUCUGACGUCCGAUGUUGCAUGUUUGGGAUAAAGCAAAAAUAAAGAAUAUUCUCGAAUAUUCUCGUCUGUUUCAUGUUUGACGUCGAAGUUGCAAACUUUAAGUGAUAAGUUGUAUAUUUCACGUACAGUGUUGCAGGUUGCAUGUUUAACAUCCGUUGUUGCAUGUUUGACGUCCAGCUUGCAUGGUUGACGUUAGAUGUUGCAUGUUUUACAUAAAGCCAAAAGAAAGAAUAUUCUCGAAUAUUCUCAUCCAUUUCAUGUUUGACGUCAAAGUUGCAUACUUUACGUGAUAAAUUGCAUAUUUAACGUGACUUCUUGUGGGUUUCAUGUUUUACGUCUAUUGUUGCAUGUUGGACGUCGGGGUUGCAUGUUUGACGUUAGAUGUUGCAUGUCUUGAAUAAAGCCAAAAUAAAUAAUAUUCCUGAAUAUUCUCGCUUGUUUUAUGUUUGACAUCAAAGUUGCAUACUUUACGUGAUAUGUUGCAUGUUUGACGUAAAAUAUUAUAGGUUUCAUGUUUAACGUCAGUUGUUGCAUGUUGGACAUCAGGGUUGCAUGUUUGACGACUAAUGUCACAUGUCUUAAAUAAAGUAAAAAUUUUAAAAAUUUCCCGCCCGUUUCAUUCACACACACCUUUCCCAAAAUUUUAAAAUUUAAAAUGGCGGUUCACCAUUACCUGGAUGUCGGUUCGCCGUGUUUGUCUAGUAACUUUGCAAUUGCUAUUAGUUAACCUUUGCCCUUAACGGAUCUUUAUCUGCAAUCAUAUACCUCUCUGGAUGAUAUUGGUUCACCAUUAUCUAAAAAAAAGUUCACCGUUCUCUUCCAGAAUCGAAUAAGCAAAUACACUUCUUUCUGGAAGAUAUCGGCUAACCGUUAUCAAAUUAACGAUUCAUUGUUAUCUUGUACAAUUAAAUUAACAUGUUUCUGGAAACUGUCGGUUAACUGUUAGCUCAAUAAUGGUUCAUGUCACUGUCCAGAAUUUUAAACACUUUAAAACGGUGUACUAUUUAAAUAUUAAUUAAGAUAAUAUAUUAAUUAAAAAAUUAUGAAAAAAAUACAGUUAAUAGUAACAAAAAUAGAAUUUUAUAAAUUAUAAAUUUGUAAAACAUAAUAGAAAAUAAACAAAUAAUUUGCUAUGGAAUUGGAAUUAUCAAAUCUCUUGCGUUUUAAAAUAUUCAAAGCUCUUGUAAUAUUAUAGAGUUAUAUAUAUAGAGACAUGCGUGCGUGCGUGCAUACAUACACAUGAAUAUUUUGAUCUUAUGUUUGUGGUCAAACCCCAUUAAUUACUCAUUAGAUUCAUGUUAUUUUACUAAACUAGAUUUUAUUAAUAAAGAUACAUUAAAUUGAAUUAAAUUCAACUUAUACCCAAUAAUUAUAUUUGGGAAUUUAUCUAACUUACUAAUUUUUAUUUAACUCAUACACAUUAUAAAUGUGUUCAUUAAAUUACACAUAUAAAUUUAAUUGUCUAACUAUUUUUUACAUGAUUGAUAAAAUGAUGGCUUUAAAAAGAACUUGUAAUUUGAAAAAAAAAUCCAAUUAAUUAUAAUAAAAUUACAUAUCUAUCCAAUUUUUUCCUUAUUUUAGUCUAAUAAUAGUUUGAAAAAGAAUUUGAUAAUUCAAGUGAAAAUCACUAUUCUUAUUUGUUGCAUAAUAAUAUUUUUUAGGUGUAUUUUGUUUGAUUUUUUUUUAAAACAAACUAAUCAUGGUGGAUAUUUUAAAUUACUGAGUCACAAAAAUUCUAAGCUCAAUUGAAAUUUACAAUCGUUUAUCAAUGAAAAAAUGCUAGCAAAACAAAAAAAUAUUGAGGGAUAAAAAGAAAAUAUGGUAGAAAGAAAAAGGCAACAUCACUAUGAUCAUUGUUAUAAGAAAAAUAAAGCGAAAAUCUUCCCAGGGUAAAUCCAUAUGCUAAACAUCCAAAAUUGACGCCGUAGAAUUUCAAUAUCACCAAUAACACCCCCCAAACCUAAAGAUUGCAACAAAUUGAUGGCACAUUUGAGGGCUUAGAACCUAGUAUAUCUUAAAUCAUUUUGGAUUAAAUUAUAUCACAAUUUUUUCAUUUUUUUUAAUUGUGUGAAAAAAAACUACAGUACACUUAUUUCAAAAGAAAUUUGUUAAUGAAAAACAAAAUAAUGAAAAUCAAGAGCACUCAUUUAUAAGAGUAGGCUAUAAAAAGAAAAAAAAAAAUUAUUAUAAGCAUAAUCUCCCAAAAAAUAAAAGCAUCGUCAAAUUGAGUUACAAACUAAUUACAAUUUCAUUCGUAUUCGUAAACCAAGAGGUUGCGCAACAUCAAAAAGUUUCCAGUAAAACACUUAUGCCAGAUAAUUUAUAGAACCAAGCAAUAUCCGGUUGAAUUCUCCCCUGCAAAUAAUUAAAAAUUUCAAGUUAAUUGAUAAGAUAAAAAUAGCCGUUAAUCAUAAUAAGAAGCAACAGCAAAUCACAAUAAGAAGCAACAACAAAUUACACUAAAAAAUAGCAGGAAAAAAGCACCAAAACAACAAAUAUAACCAAGAAACAACAAUAAAAAAAUGCCCAAAAACAGCAGAAAAAGAUGCCCAAAACAGCAAUAAAAAUUACCCUAAAACAACAGUGAAAAAUGCCUAAAAACAACAUAAAUAAAUCCAAAACAAAAGUGAAAAAAUUGCCUAGAAACAAUAGACAAAAGCCCAAAACAACUAGAAGACUACCUAAAACCAGCAGAAAAAAUCUAAGAUAGUAGCAAAAUCUUCCACUGGUAAAGAAAGAUAUGAAAGAAAAGAAAUAAAACUCAUAAAGAGUUAAAGGUAACAUAAUGAAGGCUCAAAUCUGAAGCUCCAUAUGUAAGAACAAACAUCCCUAUACAAACACCCCUAUGCAUGUAAUAGUCAUAUAAAACAUAAUUACAAUUACAGUCCAUCCAGCAACUGUUUGCUUGUUUCAUUAUAAAUGUCUGCAAUAGUCAUAUAAAACAUAAUUAAACACUUAAGCAGAACCCAUAAGAUAAAGUACAAAAAACAUGGUAAAAGAAAUAAAUGUCACAGCAGAGUCCAGAGAGUAAUAUAUCAAAGAGUCCAGCUCAAUCCAACCUCCAUAAAUUUAAAUAUGAUGGUGAAAGGAUCAUAAUUCAAACACACUCCAAAGAGAUGUAAUUUACAUUAGAUAACACAGCUUUUCAUAUUCUGAUUAAGCACAUGCCAAGUUAAGAAUAUAUUUACUUUUGAAAUUAGGAAAAUUACCACACAGUGAAUUCAGGCACACCAAUCAGAGCAGCUAUUGAUCAAGCAAUACUAAAUUGCACCUCAUUAUUUGAAAAUUUACAAGAAUUGCAUAUUUUAAAGGUCUACAUGACCAAAUACAAAGGUUGCACAAUACCUUGAACUCGUUUUAUAAAAGGAUAACUGGCUGCUCCACCCUUUUUGGCAAGGCUGAGUUUAUUUCAAAGUGCCAACAUCAACAAGGUUUUGCCCACUAAUAGCCAGAGAACUCUGACUAAAUUGCAAUGAUACAUAAUCAAUUGAUGACUGAAGUGUGGAUAGAACUGGCACCUCAUCAGGUGGGACAUAUUUGAGAAUCAAUACAGAAAUAUAUAUAGAAAAAAGUGAUAAGAGAAAUAUAAAUACAAUUGAAAGGAACAAAUGGAUACCUCCUUGAUUCCCACACACAGGAGUCCAGUAACAAAAAGUACAAUAAUUGCAGCACAGGGAUCAACAAUAAUGUCAAGCCCAGGAAUUUCUUGAUGAGCCAAAAAGAAAGGAAGAAUGCACAACCUAUAAUCAUUAAUAACAACAACAUAAGAACAUAAACGUUUAAAUUGCAUAGGCAAUUGUAGACCUCCAUCAUAAAAUAUAUGAAUUCAAAUCAAUACAAAGAUGAUUAGUUGUCAAAAAGGUAACUCAUAGAAAAUAAGGGAAAGGAAAAAGUAAACAAGCUAAAUGAACAAACAAUACAAUUAAACCAUUCCAAUUUAGUUGAUAGUGCAAAACACAUAUGACUCAAUAGUAACAACUAAAGUAAAUAAAUAUACAAUCAAAGCUCGAUAAAAUUCACCAGACCAGAUUCGGGUAUAUGCCACGAGGAACAGCAGACCCGCCAAUUGUGUACUCAAGUAUCAGAGCUAGCCAAUCAACCACCUAACACUGCCAAAAUACAACAUCAACUAAGUUAAAUCAAUUUAUUAGACCAAAACAUUAAUAACGAUUACUAUGCCCCAGCUAAUCACUAGUUUAUCCCACUUUAGAAACAAGAUCCAAUUAUAUGAAUCAAUAAACUACAUCUCUAAGAAAUGACUAUUACGAGUUAUACCAGUAUUAAAGGUAACAAGGACUUACCCUUCUCCAACACAUAUGUAUGAAUAAUGAUAGGCACUCCCAGCAGAUGGCCAACGACUUGCAAGCUCAGCAUAGCAAAAGGCUGAAAAAGCAGAAGCUAUUCCAGCUAUAAGGAAACGAAAGGGUGAGUGCCGGUCCUGAAUGCUCUCUAGCAACUGUUCCAACAAGAAUAUAUGCUCCAGCCCCAAGUGUUGAGUCAACACCUAACCAGAGUUUGUACAAGAAAUAAAUAGUAAGAUCCAUCUUAAAAAAGAAAUUCCGGAAUUUAUUAUAUCACUGCCUAAUAAAGAAAUAUUGAUUAUAUGAACUGCAAUCAAAAACGAAAAUUUUUAGAGCAAAACCUAUCACAAUAAAUAAGCAACUAAUCCAAGCUCCAAGACCAUAGUCUACCCAAAACACUUAGCCAUUUAAAGAGAGGGGAGGGGGAAAGCCUAAUAAUCACACACACCCAUCAUGAAAUCUUGAGUUUCCUGACGAGAAUCUAACAAAAUGCUCAAGAACACUUAAAGCCAUAGAAAAAAAAAUAUAAAAUUAAAUUCAAGAUCUGUUUCAUAAGAAUUUAACCAAAAAUCCAAAUUCUUAGAUAUUCAAUAUGGAAAGCAAAAACCCAUAUUCUUAAAAAUUAGAAAUUUAACCAAAAUAAAAAAGAUUUAGAAAGAAAAAUAUCUUUUGUUCAUUACGAGUCAUCUUCCCAUUGAGCUCAUGUAGGAUUUUGAGAGAGAGAGACCAAAUUUGAAAAAUUAGUGCUUUCAGAGAGAAAUGCAAAUUCCAAAAAUAAGAAAUAAGACAAAAUAAAAUAUAAAAAAAAUACCUUUUAUUCAUUCGGCGUUGCUCCCCAGCGAGCUAAUGUACGGCUUCAGGAGAGAAAGAUCAAGUUUGAAAAGUUAGGGCUUUGAAGGAGAAAGCCAAAUUUUAAAAAUUAAAAAUUUAAUAAAAAAGAAUACCUUUAUUCAUUCUGAUUCAUGCCUCCCACUGAGCAAUGUAGGGCCUGAAGAGAGAUAUCAAAUUUGAGAAUGAAAAAAUUAGAGAUAUCAAAUUUGAGAAUGAAAAAAUUAGGGCUUGAACAUAGAUAGGCCAAUUUUGAGAAUGAAAAAUUUAGGGAUUUGAGAGACCGAAUUUGUCAACCAGAGAUUUCAGAGAGAAAAUAUCAUCGUUGAGAGAGCGAUUAGAUUUUAGAAUGGAAAAAUUUUAGGGAUUUGAGAGACGAAUUUGAAAAAAAAAAGGAGGAUUUAAAUAAAUGAUAGGUGUAUUAUUACCUAUCAAUCAUGACAAUAUCUUAAUCUGGUUUAGUUCAACUUAUAAAAUUUCUUGAGAUGUACAAGAGAUCUUUUUGUUUACUUUUGAGUUAAGUAUUUUUUUAAAAAAGGAAAUAAAUCAAUAAAAGUUAUUGUGUGUGUCAACAUAUUGGUUAGAUUAGUCUAUACACGUCAGUUUUAAUUACGAUCUCUCUUCCUAAAUAUUUUAUUUUUUGAAACAAACUCAAAAAUUUAUUGUAUAAAAAACACUAUCACUUUCAAUCAUAUGAUGGUUACAUUUUAGUCAUUUAUUCAUAACAUCCUCCUGAUCCUCCUUUGAGAAUAUUAAAAUGUGUCAUUCUGUAACCCAGAACUAUCAUUUCUUCCACCUCUACGAUAUCUUGUAAUGUUACUUGCAGCUUCAUAAGCCACAGAAACAUCAUCAACCUUUUUUUUUUUAGGAAAGUAAUAAGAAAAAUAAAAGCUGCAUUAUUCUAUUUAUGAUCAAUAGAAGAAUUCAAGUGACUGGAGAAAAUUCAGAUUGUUCAAAAUGGGUUCUCAAACGAGAUAAGCCUCAGGUAGUAGACCUCACCAACAUCAGUACCAGACUCAAUCCAUUGAAUCGGUCUCGUCUUAAGCCUAACAGCUCCCUUCUAAUAUAAUCUAGUGAGAACGGUGAGGUGCUUGGUAUAUCAUACACCAAAAAUCAACGAUGCUUGGACUUUCAAGAAAAAGAGAAAAACAAAUGCAUGCACGGGGAAACGUACUAAUAAAAAGCAAAUCAUAUAAUUUACAAAUUAUUAUAGGCUUGUAGCCAUAAGAUCGAGAGAAACUAAAACAUUUCUUGCAUUUUCUGGCCAUAUUUUCUAAAUGAAGGGAUGGUCCAUUGCUGCUCCGCCAUACUGGAUCUCAAGAUGUCAUUAACAAUAGGUCUCAAGAUGUCACUAACAAGGUGUCACUCUGAUACCGACAGGUCUACCACUUAGACAUAACACUUGCCAUAUAAAAAUUUCUCCUAUUUUUGCUAUUUCCUUCGUAUCUUGCAUUGAAUUAUUGCCAGCAAAUGAUAUUUCGAGUCAAAAAAGUAUAUUCAAUUAUUGCAUAUAUGCUCCUAGGUAAUUUGCACAAUUGAAUUAUAGCUGUUAUUCUACUUAUUUACACAAUUGAUUAAUUGUACGCAUCCAUUGCAAGACUUUCGCACUAGGUUUCAAUUUCAACCACAAAUCCUACCUCUAGAUAAAAAUGAUGUGGUCGUAGAGAUUUCGAAUGUAUUCACUUUGUGAUUAACGGAAGCAUUGCUUUCAUUUGUAAGACGUUAAAUCAUCAUUUUGGUAAAGGAAAAAGAAUGAAAAAAGCUGCACUAUUUUAAAGGCCAUUUGGUAUAUGACCACUUCCCAUUGGACUUGGAGACCGGGUAAUUUUGUCAUCUCCACUCCUAGAAUCUGCUCUCAUGCUACUUGCAUGGUUCCAUCUUUGAAGUCUGGUACUGUUUUGUUUGGAAAAUACCCCACUAUAAUAUCUUCACGAAGAAAAUUGAUCCCCGUUAACUAGCGUGAUUAGCUUAGUUUCUUAAAUUCAACGUUCGUUUGGUUAAUUGUCUGUUAGUUUUAGAAUUUUGAUUAGCCAAUAAAACAAUGAGUUUUAUUGUUUGAUAAGGCAAGUUGAAAUAAAUUCAAUCCUACUCACAGAAAAAUUUAAAUGACACAUAUCAUAAUCUUUUUCAUUUCUUCAGAAAAAUUAAAUCAUAAGAGGAUCACGAACAAUUUGAUGAUGCUCUGAAAUAUAGUCUUCUGUUUUUCAAGGAAAAAAUAAGGAAGUUAAAAACAUGUUUAUCAGGUUUUUCAGAGAUCAUUUUGACGUUUUUGUUUAAAAACAUGAAAAUUGUUCUUAUUCUCGUAAAACAGAAAAAAUUAUCUGGCCGGUUAGCUAAUUAUUCUUGUUCUUCUGUUCUUUUUUAUUUGAAUUGUUUCUCCCUUUUCCAUUCAUUUUUCACUAUGAAAUUAAUUACUAAUUAAUCUACAGUUAGUUUCUCUACAGCUAAUAGGAACGUGACUUAUGCCCGAAGACUCGCAUCUUUUUGAUUCAUUAUCUACAGUGCACUCACCUCCAAUCUAUGUAUAGGCAGACAUGCAUAUUUAUUAUAUCAAAUAAGUUAUUGAUGGAAAUUUCACUUUCGAAAUAGAGAAUUAUCCUUAAUUAAAUCUUAGUGGGCCUACAUUCGAGUAAGAUUUAAUGAUGUAUGAUUCAAAAUUAUUGAAAUCGGACAUUUUAAACAAGAAAAAAAAUAAAAAAUCUUGUUCUCUUUUUUAAAUAAUAAAUUUCAUUUUGAUGGAUUUUUAAUAUUAAAUUAGACAUUUGCUAAAUUGGCUCAAAUAUAAUAGAUCUUAGACCUUGCUUUUAAUGGAUUUAAUUGGGUUUUGGGCAUUUAAAUUAUACAACUGGAGACAGAAUUUAUAAAUAGAUAAGAUUCUAAUGUGAUUUUAAAAUAAAUUUGAACUUGAACUUGAACUUGAUGCAUUUAAUUAAUCCAGAAAGGUAAAUUUAUAAUUUCAACUUUUAAAUAAAACAUAUCCUUUGGAUUUUUUACAUAAACUAGAGGCAAUUGUAGAAUAUUUACUUGACUAGUGGUAUAUAUCCCAAAUUUUUUAUCCUAAGAAAUGCCACAUCAUUUGGUUGAUGAGGAUAAUAUAAUUAAUUCACGUAGAUAUUAUAAAAAAUUAUCAACCAAUCAAUGAAUAACAUAUCAAUUUCUUUUGUUGUCUUGAAAUCCCUACUAUUUGACUCAACAACAUUGGCAACAUUUAACUCAUUACUACUAGAACAAAAAGAUAUCAUAGACAAAGGAUUGCUAAUGCAAUUUAUUGACUCAUACUCUAAAGAUAGAGGUAACUCAACAACACAUUCAAUCUUGCGCUACUCAUGCACAAUAGCUCAUAUAGCCUAUCUUUAGUCACUCCUUUCACUAGGAUUUUCACUUGGCUAAAGCAAAUGGAUUUUUGAAGCACAACAUCAAUAUCAUUAUCAUGGAAAAAUUUUGAGACAUUAAUAAGGUUCUUAGUAACGCUAGGCACAGACAACGAGCUAUUUAGUUUAAUCUGUUUGUGCGGAUCAUAAGUGAGCAAUAUAGAGUAUCCAAUAUGAGAAAUCAAAAGUUUAUCACCAUUUCCAACAGUAGCUCAUCAUUACCUUGAUAUUCUAAAUUAAAGCUCAUGCUUUCAAUAGCACUGGUUACAUGAUUUGUAGCACCACUGUCAAGGUACCAAGCUCUAUUAUUCUCACCGUCAACUGCAACCACAUAUGCUCUUCUUGGAUCUCUUCUUCUAUUUGGCUGUGGAACUGAUAUGAACCCUAUUAAGAACUAACAUGACCCUAACCAAUUUAGUCUCUAAGAUUGAAACCAAUUUUUUUUUUUUUUAGAAGAGAUUGAAACCAAAUCUAAAAUUGAAUGGAACCGCGAUUUGAUCUCAAUGAAAGUACGAACCGUGGUAUGUGAUGACACCACAAUCAACUAUGGAUGAUCUGAUUGAUAAGUCAAGAGUUUGAAUGCCACAGAAAUUCGAUAAGUUCAAAGGGUUAGUUUAAGAACCAAAGAGAAUUAGCUUUCUCACCAAUUGCAUCAAAAUUGAUGUCUUUCUUAUUGGAUACAAGUACAUUAGAUAGGGUUGGUUUAUAAGAAUUUUAAGAAAUAAAUCCUAGACCAAAAUCAAAUCAGAAUCCUAAUUUAAAGCAAAUAAGGAAAGAAACUAAAUCAAACCAAAAUCCUUAUUGGCUUAAAUGCCUUGCAUCAAUUAAAAAUGGAAACUAGGCAAUUAAAAGAGAAAUAAUUGAUUCGUUUUGCCACUUGCCUACUCAAGAAAUGGGAAAGUAUCCUAAAAGGAAAGUAGUAUAUUUUCCAAACGAGAAAGCAUCUGAUAAGGUAAAUAAUAUAUUUUCUAGCCAUAAUGUGCAAACUAACUUGCUGAUUUCAUGGAAAUGAUUACGUGGAAACUUAAAAAGCCUGAAUCACGUAUUUAGUGGUUUGAAUAUCAUGUGCGAUUUUUUCAACGGGCCUCCACGAAUUUGAUUGAGCUCAAGUUGCUUAAAUCAACCCAUUAAGCGAUUUUUUGAAUUUCUUUGCACGAGCUCUUAUGAUGGGUCCAACAGGAACUUGAAUGGGAUCUGAAUAUACCUCAUCCCAUGUGCUUGUGACAGUUUUGUCCUCAAUCUCAUCAUUCCCCUCAUCUUGAAGAGGAUUUAUUCUCAAAUUGUCACAUGCAUCAAAAGAACUCAAAUUAAAAAAUUAAAAGUAGCACUUAUGUUGUACUUACCUGGAAAAUCCAGCUUGUGUGCAUUAUCAUUGAUCCAUUCUAAGACUUGGAAGGGCCAUCCCCUUGAGGCAAUAACUUGGAUUUCAUUUGUUCCAGAAAUCGUUCCUUGCGCAUGUGUAACUACACCCAAUCGCUGAGUUCAAAGACUCAUUGUCGGUGUGGAUCACGAACUCCUUAGGUCAUAGGUGCAAUUCAUCAAUCAUAUUAUUGUACAAAUUUAUUGUACUCGCAAGCACAAGAAUUUAUUGUAGAAUAGAUUUUAUGGUGGCGAGUGUCGAUCCCACGAGGAUGUAGAUUUAAUUUUGUGUAGGGUUAAUUUUCUAAAUGUAUAUGUGAGUAGGUUGGAAGUGAAUUUUUUUAAUCGUAAGAUUUAAAAUAAAAUGGCGGGAAUAAAUUAAAAAUGGAAUCAAUGCAAAUGAAACACUUAAGUCUCUGGAUUCAUACUCAACAUUCAUCAUCGGUUUAAUAUUUCCUUUUUAGUUCCAAUUAAUUCAUGAGAGGGUAUUUCCACUCCUCAUGAUCCUCAGUCUAAUAAAUAUCAUAUCAAGAGCUCAGUGUGCCAGAGGGUAAUGAUCUUCCACUAAGUGUGGUAUCAAAAACACGUUGUGCCGAUUGAUAAUAAUCCUUCUAUCGACAAGGUGGCAAGGCCAUCCAAUAAAUAACUUUGAUACACUCUCUGUCGAUAAUGAGUCAAGACAACCCAUAAAAUGUUAGAGGGGAACUUUCUCUCUAGUUAAUAUGGUGCUAAGUGCUCAUUAUGCCAGACAGUAACGAUCUUUCACUAGAGAGCCGGUAUACCGUGCAAAAUCCAGACAAGAUACACUGUCUGUCAACAAUUAGUCAAAACAACCACAGAAAUCAGAGAGGAAAAGAAAAUAAACUUACCUAAUUAAGCUCAUCGAUCGUGCUGAUUCUUCACCUUUAAACCAAGCUUGAAACUAAACAAGCCCUCAUAAUUAAACAAGGGGUAAAAUGGUAAUUUGAUUACAAUAUGUAAAAAACACAAGCUGGAGAGAGAAUUACAGAAAAUGAAACUAAAAAAUGGAUUGAGGGGUGUCAAAUUAGGGGGAGGAGCCCUCUAAUUAUAGAUACAAUAGGUAAAUCUAGACCAUCGGAUGAAAACAAUUCAGAUGCUCAGGAUUGUGUCACGUGGUAAAUUUUGAUUGGUUGGAACACAUCAUCAAUCAACACCACAUCAGCAUUUUGUUCAAAUAAGAUACUGCCACAUCAUCAGUCAAAGCCAUAUCAGUAUUUCAGUCCAAUAGCGUCAUGCCAUCGGUCAACGCCACAUUAUCAGUCAAUGUCAUAAAUUAGUUAAUGUCACAUCAUUGCCACAUCAUUGUUCAAUAAGAUGCUGCCACGUUAUCGGUCAAUGUCAUAUCAUCGGUCAAUGUCCGUCAUCGUAUCGUACAGGUGAACAAUGCCGUAAUUGUGAAUAGUAUCAUAUAUGUGAACAGUACUGUAUACGUGAACAGUGCCGUAAUUGUCAAUGCCAUAUCUCCAGUACUCAACACACUCCCCAACCAGCUUAUUGCUAGUCCCCAACAAAUUAAGCAAUGAAAUCUAGCAAAAUUCAAACUGAAAUAUGUUUAUUAAAUAAAUAAACUUUUCCAAAAAAUUGCAUUCACCCCAUUUGCUACUUAACCAUCAAACGAAAAUUCAACAAACUGUCUUUAGUGCUUGACAAUGUUUGACAUAAUGAUUAUGGGGUUCCGUCAAAAUAAAGCAAUAUUUUUAUUCUUACCAUCUCAUUCGAGUUUCUUCCAUAUGCACCAGGUUUAUUUAUAUUAUUUCUUUAACUAACUGUAUUCGUUUUAUGUGAACACUCUUUACUUAUUGAGGCAAAAGGCUCGGUUACUAAGAAAACGUUGGGUUGGACAAAUUGAACUCUCACCGUUCGACGCGACCACUCUAUGCUUACUGAGGCAGAUGACUCGGUUACUAAGUAAGAGUUCAUGCAAUUUUGAUCAUCUCUCACCGUUUGACGCGAAUACUUUUUGCUUAGUGAGGCAAGAGACCUAGUUACUAAGUGAGAGUGUCUAUUCUUUUUUUUUCUCUUUCUUUUUUUUUUUUUUUUUGGUAUAAUGACCAUCACCUUUAGAUCUAUAACCAAUAUGAUUUCGAAAUGUUAUUUGAUAAUGGUUAUAUCCAAUACUAAUCGUACAAAAACAAAAAUCCAUUAAGGAAUUAGAUUAGUCACGAUUUUCUUUUUAAUCAAAAACUCAUAUUUUGUCUUUUAAUAAAAGAAAACAUAACAUCAAUUUUUAUUGGCACUCUUGAUUUACUACUGCAGGAGCAUAUAUGUGCUACAAAAUCAUGUGUCCUCUAAUAUGCUUUCUUUUAUAUUUUUCUCACCACAUAACUUCAGAUGAGAGAAUCAGUUGAGCUAUUGAAGUUAUCUUUUGUGUGUGUGUGUAUUAAGCUUAUAUAUUAAAUUUUACCUCCUUCAGUGUCAUGAUCAUAAAAGAAAAUCACAGUCCUUUACAAUCCUUCAAAGAUUGACUUCUUUUACUAAAUAUAUUUAGUGAUAUUCGUGAUAUCAAACAUGUGAAUAUUAAUUAGAUUUUGGUAAUUCAAUAUAAUCAUAAAAAGAAUCAUUCAUCAAGAAUUCAACAAAAAAAUUCAGAUCAAUUAAAAGAGUCAAGUACAUAUAUAUGCUACUUAUAGUUCAUUCCUAUAUUUUAUUAUAUCAAACUAUUCUUGAAAAUUAUUAAUAUAAAAUAAGCAUGCAAAAAUUUGUCAUUAAAAGUCUAAGAGGUUGAAAAUAAAGCAAACGAAGUGAAGAAACUAUUCAAAGUAGAAACGAAUAAUUUUCUUUUAUUAAUGACCGCAUUUACUCAAAUACUUUUGAAUAUCAUAUUUUUUCCUUCAAAGAAACAAUUUUGCUUCAUAUGGAAAAGGAAAUUCGUAUGUAGCCUUACAUGAUUUAUACAUAAACUCAUAAUAUUUGUGUAGUCCUUCAUGAACAUGUGAAAUAUACACUUAUAUAGUGAAUCCUUCAUGAACAAGAUGUUAGUGAAUAACAUCAUAAUUUUGGAAUAGUCCUUCAGGAACAUAUUUUGAAAGAAAAUCUUGAUUAUGUAUAGUGAGAUCCUUAGAGAUGCAUUCUUAAUUUUCUUUCAUUAUAUAUUAUAAUAUUCAUACUUCAGGAUGAAUAUUUUGAAUUUCAAGAAUAGAAAAUAUAUAAUAGCAAUUGAAUAUUAUAAUAAGAAAAAUCAAACAAUAACAAAAUCAAUCAAUGGAACAUUAAAUAAAUGUUGGAAUCCAAAUCUCAUAAAAUAUAUGUAAUCAUUAAUAAAGGAAGUAAGGAACAACUUCAUAGAUCCAUUAUUCUUAAAUUAUAAAAAUACAUAAACAACAUAUGUAUAUGAUUUUAGACAUAUCAAGAUAGUUUAAUUCAUACCUUUGUGAGUAAGAUCAAAGGAGGGAUAUUAUCAUAUUACCUCUUAAUGGCUAGAGACUCGUGUUGAUAAUGUGUUAUAUCAUUUAUCAAUUGGGAGUGCAACAAUAUAGCAAGAGAAAUAAAGAAGGCAAAUAAGAGACACAAUGUCUAGAGGGGAAUUUUAUUCAAUCUCAAAUAUAUACAAAUAAGAAGCAAAUGCCUGCUUUUAUAGUGAUACAAGCAUAAAGUAGUAAGUAAUACCUCAUAAUUAUAAGAGAUGACAAUCCUCAGAUUAGGGAGAUAAUGAGAGUUAUAAAAGAUGGAAAGUUACUUGUGAGGAGAUCGAAGCUUGCUUUGAUGAACAUCUCAUAAUAUACAUUUACUUUUAAUUUAUUUUUAAGGCUAAUUGCUUAAUUAGCUUCUUGUGUAGUAGAUUGAUUAAUGUGCCCAAGAAUAUUGUUGAUGCUAUUAUUUGAAAAGCAAAGCAAAAUAAGGCAUAAGUGUCACAUGUUCAAUAGCAGGGAUGUUUUGAGGCAUUUCUUAAAAUAAAAAGACUAAGUAGAUCUUUAGCUCAAAAUUCAGGGAUUAAGCAAGCAUUCAUCCUAUUGAAAAGCAAAGUAAACUAAUGUAACCAUAAUUGAAUAUAAAGUUAACUCUUCUAUGGAAUUAUAGAGAACAAAAGAAGGAAAAAUAUUAUUCAAAUUCAAGAUAAGAAGGUAGUUUAUUAACGGUCUAAGUUCAAAAUUUUAUUAAUUUCAGACCUUUUUUAAAAUUUGCUUAUUUGUUUUUUGUAACUUAUGUUUGAUUUUUAGAUAUUUACAUUUGAAUAGAAAAAGUAAGUUGUUUUAACUUUUAUCUAAAUAGAAAAAUGUCUGAAUGAUUAGUAAAUAUUAUAUUCCAUAAAUAUCUCUAUAAAAUAACUUAUUUCCUAAUCUAUAAAAUAGAAUCCUUUUUUUUUUAUUUUGAUUUACAAGGACGUAAAUGUCAAAGAGCUAAGUUUAAGAUGUUUUUUAUUAUAAAAAAAAAAUAAGAUGCCACUUACAUUCAGAUAUUAAAAAAUAAAAAAUAAAUAUGUGAUUCAAAUUUUCGUUUUCAGACCCAUUCAAACUUGAAAAAAAUUUAGACACAUUCAAAUUUCAGACAAAAAAGACAAAUGCUACUUAAAUUUUUUUCGCUUUGCAACUGUCCACUGCUACACCAAAUAAAAAAAGAUUUUCAAUUUGGAAUUAUGUUAUCCAACAUAUGAAGACAAUUCUUCCUUUAAACGAAUCUUUAUGAUUGUUUUCUGAACGAAUAUUGCUCUAAAUUAAAAUAUUUUAGAACAAAAAAUAGUUGAUUGCCAAAUGUACAAUAGGUACAAUUUUCUUUUUUCAGCUCUCUUUUGGAAGAGAAAUAUGACGUCCUUUAUAAUUAUUAUUUCUUGAAAGAAUACAAACUUAAAUUACUGGCUUUUUAUUUGUAAAAUCAUAUAAAAUAGACUCUUUUAAGGAAAAUAUCUCAUACCGGAGAUAAUAAUUUCUGGACUAAGAAUAUAAACUUAAAACAGCACUACUAUCAAACUAUCUUUAAAAGAGUUCCUUGAUCAAAAGAAUUUAUUUAUCAUUUUUCACAAUUUAAAAAAAUAAAAAAAAAUUACAUAGAAAUAAUCGGAAGAUUUCCUAAAUAAGCAUCAAAUAAAUGCUAAUUUAUUGCAUGAUACUUGGAAGAAACCAUAAAUAAAAAUUAAGGAUUUAUAAUUUUAAAGACAAGCUGGGAGUUUAAAUUUUCUUGCCAUCUUGAGGGAGAAUAAUAAGACCGAAAUAAUAUUGAUGAAACAAAAUAAUCAAUCAAAUAUUUGAUUGUCUUCAUCUUAAUCAGUGAUUAAGAAAAAUUGGUUGUUAAUUAACAUAAAAAUUGAUUGACUCAAUAUUUACUAAUAGAUCAUUAUUCCCAAAUUAUGUUAAUUAUAUAUAUUUCAAAUACUUAUAAGAAUUGAGUUUGCUUACGGUUUAUUAAAUAUAGUCUCUUAAAAGUUUUCAUGUGGCCCAUACAAAGCUAACAUUACUCUGUUAUAGCAUUUCGGGCAUCCAACAAGAUCCUCUUCUUCACUUAUUGUUAGAACUAGAGCUAACAAAUUAAUUACUUAAUCACGGCUAAGUUUGGAAUUAAAAAUCAAACUAAAUUAUCUAAUUGGUUGAGUUCGGUUUCCGUUUGUAUGGGCCACAUGAAAUUUUUUCUCUCAUCUUCUCUCGUCUGCUAAUCGCAUCUUUCUCUCUUUCGACUCUCUAAUUUCUCUCUUGGAUUUGGUUACCAAGCACAUAAAAUUGAAGCCACCAUCUCGCUCAUAACAAACAACUAGUCGGAUCCAUCAAACUGUUGCUGUCAUCUUGAGCCAUUCAAGUAACUUGAACACAUCAUCUUCUCGUAAAUUCUCUUUCAUUUUCGAAUUAAAGACAAGGUAAGGAUGUAAUCUUGACUUUUGUGUUUUUGGUGAUGACUACAGAAAAUGCUAUAUGAAACAAUUAGGGAUUUAUGUGCUAUAUAAUAAUAAUAAUAAUAAUAACAACAACAACAACAACAACAAGUAGUCAUUUAUGAAUUUUGAGUGAAAAAUUAGGGAUUUAUGUGCUUCUUCUUCUUAUUAUUAUUAUUAUUAUUUUCCCUAUAUUAAACAAGUAGUCAUUUAUGAAUUUUGAGUGAAAAAUUCACUCGGCUGUGGCAGAUUUUGUGCCUUACAAGUAGUUGAUUUCACGCAUUCAUCAUCACCAUUACUAUGUUCAUUAUUAUUUGCUAUUGUUUUUUACUUUUUCUGCUGUUAUUGAUUAAAUUGACAUUAAAUUUAUGUCUUGUCCAUUACAAGACUUAACAAUAUAAUCCAGUUGUAACAUGGACACUACAGAUGAUACAAGUGCGCAAGACCUAGUCAGAGAGCGUAGUACACUUUUUGUAAGUAUAAAUUAAUUGAUAUCUUUCGAGUUGUUAUGUUAGCAACCAUUUUAAAAAGACUCAAUUAGACAUUUAGACCGGGCUGCAGUUCUGGCCUCAUUUUGUCCUGAAGCUCAGCCAUGAUCCUGCCAAAUUUUUGGAGCCAUUCUAGCCACAUUUUAUCUUACUAUUAUGUACCACAUUUACUUUUGCGAUCUUCGAGACUGCGACUGGGUCAAACAUAUCCUCAAGCUCCGCUUUAACCUUACGAAAUUUGUGGACCCAUUUUACCUUCACGUGAUUGGUAUUACUAUUUUUGUGGACAAGGCCACGUUGCAGUUGCAGACUCUGUAUGCAACAGCUCAGUCCAAACUGGCCUUGCAUCAGCUGAGUUCCAACAGCUUUUCCCCUCUCCUGCAACGCGUGGAUGCUCCUUGUUUGUCUUCUCAUCUGCAAUUAUUUUCUCUGUGGACCCAUUCGUGCACCCACGUUUCGAAUAUUCAAUUUAACCGUAGCCGUUCAUCUUACAUAACUAUGUGUACGAUAAAAAUUCCGCCGUCGAUCCGUUAGAUGUAAGCACCAAUCAGGCAUUAGUUUUCUAAUAAGACGUUAGUGACUUUAUUUCUUUUAUUAGCUCAUAUUCAUCCAUGUGUUUAUCAUUCCUAGCUAAUUUGAUUAUUUAAAAUAACAAUGAUCCAUCAAUAAUUUUAUUCUUCGACCGGCUAAAAUGAUUUUUUUUAUUAUUAUUUUCAUGAGGAGGUCUCAAUAAAGUUGAAAUAAAUAAAUUUUAGUCUUUGUCUCACACUUACAUAAACAAACGAAAAAAUUAUAAAAUUAUAAAAAAAUUAAGAACCAUUGUCAAUUAUGUAAAUUCAAAUAUUUAAACAAUCAAAAUUUCAUCACCUUGAGUUGAAGUUUUCUUUUCUUUUAUGUGUUAGAAAAUAAACUUUUGAUGGAAUAAUUUUUUUUUUUUAAAUUUUGGGAACUAGAAAUUCAUUUUUAAAAUCAUUUUUUUAAAAAUGACAUUGGGAAUUAGAAAUUUUCAUUUCCAAGACUAUCUUUCAUUGGCUAUGUCCAAGACGAAAAAGACUAAAAGGAACUUUUGUAAUUUACAAAAUUAUUGUAGCAAUGAGAUGCGAAAGAAAAGACUGCAGUUGAUAAUUGCGGUUAGUUUUCCCCUGUAAUCAAUUAUUGGCAUCGGAUGGGAAACACGUAAUUCGUGUAAUUGAUAUAAAGCAAUCUUUGAUGAACUUGACCCACUUAACAAGGAUCAAUACAUUCAGAAAUGAAUUCCACUCACCAAUUGAGAUACUAGUAUUAAUAUUAUAGGGAUUUAUACUGCUCUAAAGACAAUGUUACAGAGAAGCUGCUAUUACUCUCAUGACUCUCAAUCUAAAAGUUCAAUACAAGUCUAAAGACCUAAUUGCUCUGAUACAAGAAAUCAGUCCAGUCUUGUAUUACUAAACUUAUUAGCAGAUUUUUGGCUCCCAGCUAGCACAUGGGUAGCACCUGUAACGCUGCAUCAAUUAAUAAAACUGAUUUACCAGAAUUUCCAGCCCCUAGACUUUGCAUCAAUAAUUCACAGGUUGCAAAUUAUUCAAUUUGCAGCUCACAAGCAUGUUUAGAAAAAUGAAACCUAUACAAUAGCAUAUAAAGUGUCUGAUUGCAACAUGUUGUGCAAUGCAAAAAAUAAGAUGCAUCAUGUUGUGCAAAUGCAAAUAAAAAUCAGUUACAAUAUAAUGAACAUUAACAAUCUUGCUGAAAGUCAGAAUGAGAUUAUUUGAAUUUCUUCUAAAGAUAUUGGAUUAUAUAAAUAAUCAGUUAACACUACAAGAAAAAACAGAAUAUUUGACAUUUUUUAUUUGACAAUUUUUAAGAAAUAUCAAAUAUAUAUGACAUUUUGUGAAAAAUUGAGUAAUUGUGAUAUAAAUGACAAUUUAUUUAAACGUCAAAUACUUAUGACGUUUGACCAAAUAAGUGGCAAAUAUAUUAUAUAUUUAUUGAAUAAUUACUAUUUGCUUUUCCCUUUUAUUGACUUAAGAAAAAAAAAAAAAGGCACUAGACUGCCGUUGUUUCGUUCUUAGAACAUAUUUGUUUCUUUUAAGAAAAUUCAAACUCGUUCCCCUUUCUUUCUUUUCAAUAAUCACCUCGCAUUUUUUAUCAAUCACUCAAUUUCGAAUUUCAUCUCCAUCCUCUCUCAAAGAAGAACGCACAAAGAAUUUCAGCUUGCUUUAGCCUCAUUUGCUUCUGGAAUUUCAGGUAUUGUUUCCUUUAAGUUUGAUAAUUUUUUUCUACUUCUCUCUUUCUGGUUUGAUAAUUUUAGGGUUAUAGUUGAAUUAUUUGUAUUUUUAAACAAUCUAGGGUUGAUUUAAUUGAUUCCAAGUGUCGUAUCUGUUAUGCUAUUUGAAUGCACAUUACUUGUUUGAUGAAAUGUCUCUUUAAAAGAUUAUUUUUGUUUUUAACAAGCAUCUUAUUGAGAUGUUUCUUGUAAUAAUAUUAACAUAAUGCACUUAGCUUCAAUUUGGUCUGUUUAAUACAUUUUAACAAAGGAAAAUUACAGAACUACAACAAUUCUCAAAUUUCUAGCAAAUUAAAAGUAAUGUUAUUGAUUUUUAUUAAUUAAUGAGAUUUUUAUUUACUGAGUCUGUAAACUCACUCUAAGAAGUGAAGUGAUUAUUGUUUCAAUUUGGUCUGUUUCAUACAUUUUCAUUCUCAUUAUAUAUGACAGUCAUCUCUCAUUUUUUUCAUCAAUCACUCAAUUUUAAAUUUCAUCUCCCUUCUCUCUUUUGAAGAACCCACGAAGAAGUUCAACUUGCGUCAGCUUCAUUUGCUUCUUGAAUUUCAGGUAUUUUUUCUUUUAAUUUUGAUAAUUUUUUUUAAUUCUCUCUUUCUAGUUUGAUAAUUUUAGUGUUAUACUUAAUUAAUUGUAUUUUUAAUUGAUACUAAGUCUUAUAUCUGUUCUCUUUCAACAAACAAAGAACGCACAAAUAAUUUUCACUUUCAUUCUCAAUUUUGAAAGAAUCAAUUUAUUUUAUUCAUAACAUCUGUUAGAUUCUUGACAAACAAUCACAGAGAUACAGUAGUAGAAACUAUAUUAGACACACUCUAGUUGCUUAAUUAGUAAAAUUGUGAUCUCAUUGCCUUAUUUUUUGGGGUUAAUUCUAUAAUUUUAUCAGUUGUUUUUGUGGUUGCAAACAAUAUCAUUUUUUAAUAUUAAUAAAACUAAAUGAAUAUUAUGUGAUGCAUUUGCAAGAAAGUUAAUAAUUUAAAUAUGGAUAAAUCUUAGAUGUUGAUGGAUAGAAGGUCUAUAGAAUAUGAAAAUGGGGUAAAUGAGUUUCUCAAGUUUGCAAUACUUCAGCCACUCGGCCUUUGGCCGAGUGGUGAGAGCUGCUGCUCUCCAACUUGGAGAGCAGCAGUUCGAACCCCCUGAGAGCUGCUGCUCUCCAACUGGGAGAGCAGCAGUUCGAACCCCCACAAUGUAUGUGGGGGUGUUUCCUUCCUCAAAUAAAAUUGAGUAAAGGCAGUCUGCUUCCUUGCCCCAGUGCGAGGAGUAGACAUCCCUCGAAUAUUUGAGAGGGUUAAAAUCUGGGCAGCGCUCCAUUAGAUUUGAUGUAUGUUGGUCCCAGUUAUAGUCUGAUUUGUACAUAUCAGUUAUAUUCUCAUGUAAUAUGAGUUGUAAUCUGAGCAAUAGUCUCAUGUAAUAAAAAAAAAAAAAAGUUUGCAAUACUUCAUGCUAGUAAUCCUGAACUUUUAAGAUGUUCAUGCCAAGCAUGUGGUAAUUUGGUCUUUCAUGUACCUGCUGAGAUAAGAAAUCAUCUUUAUUGGAAAGGUAUUGACCAAAGCUAUCAGACAUGGACUUGGCAUGGAGAAGGAGCUUCUAGUAGACGACCAUCAAAUGUAAAAGCUUCAUUUGAUGGCAGUCAACAAGAUGAUGAAGCUGGUGAUACAGUAGAAAUGGUUAAUAAUGCAUUUGACACUUGUAAUGGUGACCCUAAGUCUUUUGAAACUCUACUUAAAGAUGCUGAAAAACCUUUGUUUCCUGGCGGUGUGAAAUUCACUAAGUUAUCUGCCUUAAUAAGGCUUUACAACAUAAAAGGAAGAAAUGGAUGGUCAGACAAAAGUUUUUCAGAUUUACUAAGUUGUUUAUCAGAUAUGCUUCCUGAUAAAAAUGAAAUACCUUUAUCUAUAUAUGAAGCAAAGAAGAUUAUGGUUGCAUUAGGCUUAGAAUAUGAAAAAAUACAUGCAUGCCCCACUUGUGGAAUGUCAAGAUGGAAGAGUCCCAAGAAAAGUAAGGGAAUUCCUGCUAAAAUCUUAUGGUAUUUUCCUCCUAUACCAAGGUUUAAGAGGAUGUUUCAAUCUCCUUGAACCGUAAAAGACUUAACUUGGCAUGUCAAUGAAAUGGUGAUUGAUGGCAAACUACAUCACCCAUCUGACUCACCGUCAUGGAGGCUAGUGGACCAAAAAUGGCCAGAUUUUGCUGCAGAAGAAAGAAAUCUUCGGCUGGCUAUUUCUGCAAAUGGGAUAAAUUCCCAUAAAAACUUAUUGCAGAUUUUACAGGGAAAUGUGGUUAAAAUGAAGUCUAUGAAUUGAAGGAGUGACAAAUAAAUAUAGUUUUUUUGUCUUUUGAUGUCAGUUUAAUGAAAAAGAUACCUAUAAUGAAGAUGAGAUCAACGAAAUUCGCUCUGAUUGGACCACUUAUGUUAGUGACUUGAUUUGAAAAAAAAAAUACAAAAGAGACAAGUAAUGCAGGUAAAUAGCAUAUGAUUAAAUUGAAGUACAUUAGUUUAUUGUUAAUAUUUUUCAUGCAUAGAUUUUUCCUUCUCUUUGUGCAUAGAUAUCUUAUACUUUCAUUGCAUAAGGCAACUAUAUCAUCUAGUUGGAUUUAUAAUAAAAGCUCUCAGUUAAUUCAAUCAAAAUUUGUCAAUGCCUUACUGGUAACCAUGACUUACUUUUUUCGCCUUUCCUUAAACAGUAACAGUAGUAUAUGGCAGUAAUUUUGGUUUCUUGAUGUGUAGGGCUAUGUCGCGGAGUUAUAUAGAUCUCAAGACCAAGACACAUUUACAAUCAAAGAGGAUAUAAGGGUUAUAAAAUAUCAGAUCUAUUGGGUUAAUGGAAAUUUAUUUAAAAGCUUUUCCUUUUGUAUGUACAACGCUGCCAUGGAAAACUUUUGGACCGAUCGUGGAAUGCUAACUGUAGGCUCAAUGUAUAGUUUUAGAAACAACAUCUUAUUUUAGAUUUAUACUUAAGAAAUUUGAUACAUUUAUAUGUUAAUAUGAAUUCAGGUUUCCUAUGGUUUAUUAUGGUGUUUGAAGUUAGUUGAAAAUUUUUGAAUUUUAUCAGGUUUCAAUGUUAUAAUAUAUAUAAUGUGCAGCCCAAGACAAGGAAUUUCACUAUUGUAAUUUUCUUUUUUAAAAAAAAAUUAUAAUAUUUGAUAUUUUUAUCAAGUCAUUUGCAUUUGAGCAUUUUGAAUAAUGUCACAUGCAUACGACUAUUAUUAAGUGUCAUACACAUUUGACAAUCUUAUAUUGUGAAAAAUACUUGAUUAUUAUGAAUUGACAAAAAUAAAUGACAAUUUUGCUAAAUGUCAAAUAAGCAUAUUUGACACAGGAAUAUUUGGCACUUUUUAAUUGUCAAAUAUUCCUUUAUUUGACAGUUUUUAAAUAUCAAUUAUUCUCUUUUUUGUUAUAGUGUAAUUAAAAGGUCGUUAUUAGUUUCUCCACGGAUCACAAAGAUUGGCUUCUUAAUUUUAUUUGCACAUAUAAAAGGGCUCAUCUCUAUGUAAGUGCCGGUAGCCUAGCUCCCAAUGAUUCCUGAAAUCGUUCCACAUGAAAGACAUUUAUGGAUCAAAUUAAGAUACAAAUGAGCUAAGGAGUGUUAAUGCAUUCAUUAAUUAUUCAAUUUCUUAUCUAAAGACUAAGAUUCUUUUAGUUUUUAUUCUAUCAAUUUAUUAUUGCAUAAAACAGUUGCGGUUGAGUAUAUUUGAACUCAUUAAAUCACCCCCUAUAUCCUAAAUCAAUAAAUAAUUUUAUUGCAAAAUUAAUGAAAAACCCUUUUAAUUUCUUGAAUACUAGAAUAGUAAAAUUACCAUUGUAGAUGGAGGAUAAAUCUUUAAAACUGCCUUAACACAUCUCAUUUGUUUAUACACACACAAGUUAUUAAACAACCAUCGAUGUUGAACCAGAGUGUCAAACUUAGUUUCUGAUUGUCAAAUUCUUCCUAUUAGACAUCUAAAUCGUUUUGCAGUCAGUAACAUAGUCACAAAAUCAAAUUAGUGGGGGACUAACAUAAAAUAUAAAGAAAAAAAAUUUACCAUGUUCUUUAUCUAUUUUUCUAAUUUUUUUAGCAUUCAUCCUUACAUAUGUCUUAAUAACAUGUUUAGUUUGAAGAAAUAAAAUAAGAGGAGAUGACAGAUAAGGAGAAUGGGGAAAAUAAAUAAGGAAAAAAGAGAUGAAUUAUAUAUUAAAUUAAACGAUAAAAUUGAGAAUGAUCCUAUUUUUCCCUCGUUUUCUGAUCAUCUACUCUAAGGAACCAGAACUUUAAGGGAAGGCAGCCAAAUCGUAAAGAUUGAAGAGCAUGAAUUUUUGUUCUCCUUUUUAAAUAAAAAAAUUUCAUUUCAAUGGAUUUUUAUUAUUAAAUUAGUCUUUUGCUAAAUCAGGACAAAUAUAUUAGAUCUUAAAUAUUAUUUUUAAUGGAAUUAAUUACGUUUUGGGCAUUUAAAUUAUGAAAUUGGACGAGAUUUGUGUGUAAUUUUAAAAUAAAUAUGACCUUGAAUUUGAUGCAUUUAAUUAAUCCAAAGCGGCAAAUUUAUAAUUUCAACUUCUAAAUAAAACAUAUCCUUUGAAUUUUGUCGGUGGUUUCUAUUGUAGAACACUAGGGAAAAACAGUUGUGCAAUUGUGGUACCAUGCCACAAUUACAUCUAGCCGUUGGAUUUAAUAGACCCCAUCCAUUUAAGUGGAUCCAACGGCUGGAUGCAACUGUGGCACGAUACCACAGUUGUACCGUAGCCGGACCCAGAACACUAAUAAUAACUGACAAAUCAUUGUAGUAACUAUAAAUUUAAUAUUUAUCCUAUAAUUAUUUUAUUACGAUCAAUGUCUAACCGUGGCGCUGUUCCAACGUAGUCACGCCGUUGGAUUUUUUAGACAGACCAGAGGCAACUGCUCCCACUAUUCUCUUAGUGGCUUUGCCACUAAUCGCAUUCUGGCCACAUUUUAUCUUUUCUAUUAUGCACCAUAUUUAUUUUUGCAAUCUGCGAGACUGCGACUAGGAUAUGCAAUUGCUCAAUUAAUCUCCACACCAUCCUUUCUGUUUCGCCUAUACUCAUGUUGCCUACGUUUCUGUUAGGCCACAAGAUGAUCUACUUCAGAAAAAUUUGUCAGUAUUGAUUGGUUUGGUCAUAACAUUUGCUAGAUUCUCCUUCGUAUGGAUUUUCUGUAAAUUCAUACUUUCGUGUUCCACUACUUCUCGAACGAAGUGAUACUGAACUCCUAUGUGUUUUGUCCUAGAAUGAAAGGUUGGAUUCCUUGCAAUAUGUAAGGCACUCUGACUGUCACAAAACACAAGAUUUUUCUGUUGUUUGUGCCCGAAUUCCUCCAAUAACCUUUGUAUCCAAACAGCUUCCUUGCAAGCUUGUGUAGCUGCCAUGUACUUUGAUUCCGUUAGAUAAUGCCACAACAGUUUGCAGUUUCGAAACCCAGCUUACAGCUGCUCUCGCAAGUGUAAACACAUAGCCAGUAGUGGAUUUUCUUUUAUCAAGGUCUCCUGCAAAAUCUGAAUCCAUAUAGCCCCUGACAGUAAACUCUGAUCCUCCAUAACAUAAUGCAACAUCUGAGGUUCCUCUAAUGUAUUUCAGAAUCCUCUUCACAACUAUCUAAUGCUCUCCACUAGGAUUCGCCAUGUAUCGAUUGACUGCUCCCACUGCUUGUGCAAUGUUCGGUCUAGUACAUAUCAUAGCGAACAUCAAACUUCCCACUGCUGAUGCAUACGGGACUCGAGACAUUUCCUUCCUCUCUGCUUCAUUGCUAGAACACAUAUUUAAGGAUAACUUGAAAUUAACAGAAAGUGGGGUAGAAAUUGACUUACAAUCUUGCAUGUUGAAGCGUCGCAAGAUUUUCUUCAAGUAAUUGUUCUGUGAAAGCCAAAUCUUCCUAUUAUUUUGGUCUCGGUGAAUUUGCAUCACUAAAAUCUUAUUUACUGGUCCCAAGUCCUUCAUUUCAAACUCCCAACCCAAUUGUGCCUUCAAUUCUUGGACUCAAUCUUUUUUUAGGCUUGCUAUCAACAUGUCAUCCACAUACAACAACAAAAUGAUGAAAUUAUUAUCUUUAAACCUCUUGUAAUAUACACAAUGGUCUGAACUGAGUCAAUUGUAUCCAAGGCUCAUGAUGAAGGAAUCAAAUCUCUUAUACCAACACCUCGGUGCCUGUUUGAGAUCGUAUAGAGAUUUGUUCAACCUGCAAACCAAGUUUUCCUUUCCUGUUUCUGCAAAACCUUCUGGUUGGAGUAUAUAUAUUUCUUCUUCAAGUUCUCCAUGAAGAAAUGCAGUUUUCACAUCUAACUGCUCAAGAUGUAAGUCAAAUGUAGCACACAUCUCCAAGACUACUCUGACUGUUGUGAGUCGAACCACCGGAGAAAAUAUUUCGUUAAAGUCAAUACCUUCUUUUUGAGCAUAUCUUUUCACCACCAAUCUUGCACGAUACCGCUCCACUUGAUCAUUGCCAUCACGUUUGAUCUUAUAGACCCAUAUGUUUCCAAUGGUUUUUCUUCCGUGUGGUAGUGGUACAAGUUCCCAUGUCUUGUUCUUAUGUAGAGCUUCAAUUUCUUCCUGCAUUGCUGUCAUCCACAAAGCAACAUCUGGGCUAUUUAAAACUUCAUGAAAAGUUGAUGGCUCUCCAUCCUCUAUUAGAAGACAGUAUGCAACGUUGAUCUCUAUGACAUACUCCGAGUGCCACGCCGGCGGUCGUCUCUUACUAGUUGAUCGACGAACUUCUGGAGCCCGACUGGUUCUUAUUGGUUGUACUCUGGUGCUGCUUCAGAAGAAUCUGAAUCUUCUCCCCCCAAAUUAUUUUUUACAUAUAUCGGUACAGUUUUUGACUUUUCUUUUACAGUGAUAUCAUCCCCAUCUCUCAUUUGCAGUUGAUCUUCUACAAAGAUAACAUUUCUGCUGAUGACGAUCUUGUAGGCAGUGGGGUCCAACAAACGAUACCCCUUUACUCCAUCAGCAUAUCCUAAAAAGAUACAUCUUUUAGAUUUUGGAUCCAGCUUUGCUCUUUCUUGGGCAUUGUACAUCACGUACACAGGACAUCCAAAUGCAUGUAGGUAGGAGUAAUCAGCUGACUUUCCAGUCCACAUCUCCAUCGCUGUCUUCAGCCCAAUUGUUGUGGAUAGUGACUGAUUUACUAUAUAACAGAUAGUUUUGGCUGCUUCUGCCCAAAGUGAAUUAGGUAGACCAGAAGUUCUCAAUAUAACUCUUAUCUUUUCUGUAAGAGUCAUGUUCAUCCGCUCUGUCACUCCAUUUUAUGUAGGAGUGUAUGCUACCGUGAACUACCUCUGAAUGUCUUCUUGUUUACAGAAAGUAAGAAACUUGCCGUCUGUAUACUCUCCACCAUUAUCUGUCCUCAAGCACUUGAUCAUUUUGCUAGAUUCAAGUUCAACCUGCGCUUUGUACUGUUUGAACACUGGAAAUACAUCUGAAUUUUUCUUAAUUGGAUACACCCAACAUCUCCUGGAAUAAUCAUCAAUGAAAGUCACCAUGUACUUUGCACCUCCUAUAGAUAUGUCUGGUGAUUCCCAAACAUCAGAAUGAACCAAGUCUAGAAUACAUUUACUUCUGGCAACAGAUCUGCUGAAUUUUAAUCUAUUAUGCUUACUUGUAAUGCAAUGCUCACAGAAUGGUAAACUUACCGAUUUGAGCGCUCGAAGUAAUUUCCGUUCAGAGAGAAUCUUUAAACCUUGCUCCGACAUAUGGCCAAGCUUGAGAUGCCACAUCAUCAUCAAAUCUUCUCCAUUUAAUGCGACACACGCAUCAGCUUCCUUUAGUGUUUCACCUUUAAGCAUGAAUAGAUUUGCACCGAUCUUUUUUGCCUUCAUUAAUACAAGCGCGCCUUUAACAAUCUUCAUGAUCUCAUUUUCUACAUGAGUUUUAUACCCAUGACUAUCCAUUUGUCCUAAAGACAAUAUAUUCUUUCUCAAGCCUUUGACAUGUUGUACCUCCUCAAUUGUGCGAACUAUACCAUCAAAUAUUUUUAUUUUGAUUGUACCAAUACCAACGAUCUCCAAGGCAUGAUCAUCACCCAUAUAUACAGAUCCUCCUGAGAUAGGUUCAUAUGUGUGGAACCAUUCUCUCCGAGAGGUCAUGUGUCAGGUGGCUCCUGAGUUUAUAAGCCAGACGUAAGAUAGCCGUUUUCUGCCUUCUGAAACAGUUGUUGCCUCGUUGUAGAGAAUUUCGCCAUCAUCCGAGGUACUUGAUACACACCCGUGAGCAUUUGAUGACUCAGGUUCUUUGCCUUCUCUUCUCUUCUGGUUGUUCCAACACUCUUUCUUGACAUGCCCUUUCUUGCCACAGUUGUAGCAUUUAACAUUCUUCUUAUUUCUGGAUUUUGAUCUAUCAUGAUUGUGACUCCCACUUGGGCCAUGUUCCGUUGAUUUCGCUCUCGUCACCAAUAGCGCUUCUGCUUGCUGCGAACUCGCCAGUCUGUCUUCCUUGUUUUUCCACCUGCUCUCCUCAUUUAAUACGGAGGCUGCAACAUCAUCAAAAACUAGACUGUCCGCUAGAUUGUUGUUCGUCAGGUUGAUGAUGAGUUGAUCAUACGAAUCUGGUAGACUUUGAAGUAGAAGCUCUGCACGUUCAUUUUUCGCUAUAUUAUGAGCCAAUGUUGUGAGUUGUGAAAAUAGAGUCUUCAAGGUAUUGAUGUGGUCGGUCAUCGAUGUAGAAUCCGCCAUUCGAAGAGUAUAGAGUCUCAUUUUUAAGAAGAUCUUAUUGUGCAGCGACUUGGCCUCGUACAAUUUUGUGAGAGUAUCCCAUAUGUCCUUCGCUGUCUUUUUCUCUGCCACACUAGAUAAUACUCCAUCUGCAAGUGCCAAGUGUAGAUCAGAAAUGGCGUUGCCGUCUAUCUCGUUCCACUUGUCAUCAGUUAUCUUCAUGGGUCUUUCUCCAAUUGCUGCCAAACAAUUAUUUUUCCUCAAUACAACUUUUAUCUUCAUUUUCCACAACGAAGAAUUAUUUCCGUUGAACUUCUCAAUUUCGUGUUUUGCUGCCAUCCCGGAUCGGAUCUCACCAUUUCACGUGAACAGUAACCGUAUACGUGAAUAAUACCGUAUACGUGAAUAAUAAUGUAUACGUGAACAAUACCCCCGACUCUAGAAAAUACAACCAAUAGCUUUGAUACAACUGUUGGGGAAUUGAUGGGUGAAGUAGGGCCACAGCUAAAAUGAAAUUGGAAAAAAAUAAAGAACAAGCACAAAAAAGGACACUAGAAAAUUAUGUGAUUCGCCUUUUAGUCUACGUUCACAGGCAAAGACAAAAUGAUAAUUUUUCACUAUAUAGGGAGAAUUACAAGUAUUUUGAGGUAAAUUUCUCACUACCCAAAACUCAAUUUAUUACGCCCACACUCUCAUAUAUAAAUAUGGAAAACAAAUGCUUAUAAAGAGAAACUUAAUUUUCUCUCUUUUAUAAGCUCUCGGAUGCGCUUAAAAUGGGAUGCAAAACUCAUUUGCAUGGCUCCCCCUUUAUAGCCAAUUGUUGGCUAACAAAUUUCACAAGUUAGGUUUGGCAGCCACCUAACUCAACCACCUCCAUUUCAUUUUGUCCAUGGUUGGCAAUUACCAAAUCAAAAUGUUAAUGACGGCACCCAUUUUUCUUCCUUUUUUUUUUCCUUUUUUCUUCUUCCUCUUUUGUCUUCUUUCUUCUUUUCUUUGCCGUUUCUGGUGGGGCAUUGACAUUCCUGGCAAUUGCAAAUUAAAUUUUAUUAUUGAUAAGACAAAAAUAUAUUUUUAAAUUAAAUUAUUAGUUCCAAAAUAACUCACAGAAAAAUUAUACCAAAAAAAAAGGCGAAGGAUUUAUGCAAGAGUAAGCAUCCCAAAUUCAUUUUAUUUCAAAUUUCAUCCCAAAUAUAUAUAACAUGUGAUAUGUUAUUAAUUAAUUAGUUGAUAAUUCUUUAUAAUAAUUGAAGUGAAUUAAUUCUAUUAUCUCAUCAUCCAGUUGAUGGAUACCACAUUAUUUGAGAUAAAAAGUUUAAGAUGUAUAGUACUACUACUAUGAGAUUAUGCAAUUCACCUAUAGACUUUGACGUGAAACUUUGGUCCUUUGCUCCUCCAUGAGAAUUUUCAACAUUAUUAUUUAAGAUUAGUACAAUUAGCACUGGAAUACAAAUCAAGAUUGAGGUGAUGUGGUUAAUUACAAAUGAAUGAACAAGCACAAAAACUAUGAUCAGUUACCACUCAAUACGCAAUUGGAAGUGUAAUUAUUUGGUGAAGAUGAAUCUGUAGAGCAAUUUAUGGGUAUGUUCAUCUCAUCACUCUUAACGACUUCAGAUAAUACAUCCGCCACAGCAACUAGAAGUUGAGCUUCCACUAUUACGAUAGUUGAAUUAAAUUAUUUCUAACAACUUGGGGAAAAAACAAACAAGAUUAGUAUAAGGAUAUGAGAAUAUUGUGUCUAAAAAGGAAGAAAUAGAAAGUCUGGGAACAGGAAAACUCAUUUUUCUGCCAUUCACUGUCUUCUCUCAGGUAGAAACCUCUACCUCUUUAAUAUCAGCAAACAAAUAAAGAUCAACAGCAGGAACAAUAAACGAUAAAAUUUAUGCUAUUAUGUAAAUUAAAUGUUCAUUAAAUUCAUUACCCACAGUAUCAAAUAAGAUAUAUAACUUAUAUUCAACAUAAAAGUUGCACCCAAUAAUUCAACAACAACAACUAAACAAUACUUCAAUUUUUUGGUACCAUUAUUGGGUUGAUAUAAGUUACAUAUUAUAUAACUUAGCAUGAUCCUAUUAAACAUUAAAAAUAUUAGAUUUUAUUAUUUAUCUCUCCCUUCGAGACUUUAAGCAUUAACCUUUUUUUUCUCUUUAGGUAAACCUCGGCAGUAUGAGGGAGGAUUUAUUCAGAUAAAGAAAAGAGAAAAUGACACCAACAGAGGGUUGGAGGAAGUAGUAAGCCAUGAUCAAGCCAUUGUCAGCCUUAAUAAUUUAAUAAAAAUGAACUGAAUUUGCAAGCUAAUUGCGAAAAAUUCUUUUACUAAUUUUACAUCAAAAUGUAUGUCUCAUUUUUCAAUAAAGAUUUGUAUUCUAACUUUUAGAAAAAAGCUGCCUAAAAUAUAUUAUUGUUUAGGAGGAUUCUUAUUUUUUAAAAAUAAGUAAUUCCUAAAGUAAUGGAAAAAUUAACUUAUUUAAGUAGGAAUCCUAUAAAGAUUUUAAUGUUGAUUAUUAACUUAAUUACUAGUUUAAAUCAUUGUUUUUGAUCCCUUCUAAUGUACAAGUCAUUAUAUGAACAUGACUUGUGAGAAAUUUGAGAAGAUUUAAUUGAUAGAUUCUAGAAAUUAACAAUGAUAUAAAAAACAGUAUAAUAUGAUUUGAAGAGUGAAAUGUCACUUUUCAAUUUUGAAAAGGGAGAAAGAUAAUCUCAUUUGAAGAGUUUUCUGAAACCCUUAUUGAUGAUAUAGCUCUUUAAAUGAGAAGUGAAAUCUCGUUUGAAGAGCAUUUUGGAGAUGUUCUUAAAGUGGUUGGGAAUUUUCAGUUCUCAUCCAAGAUUCUUAUAGACAAUAAUUCAAAAAUGUACUAAAUAAAUAAAUAAAAAUGGAGAAUAGCAUCUAUCACACAAAAUAAAAUUUACGUGAAAGAAUUUUUUUAUUGGACAAAAACUAUGAUCGUCAAAGAAGACCAGAUAAAAGUUCACUAUUUGAAAAGUAUAGUUACAAUCACACUCUCUUAGUAUUGUAAUCUCACAGCCAAACCUCAGCUAAAUGCUAUAUUUCUUACUCACAAAACGUUAUACAAUCCCAGAAAUACUUCCUACAAAUAUUUGACUGGAUUGUACUGCUCCACGUGCUUUAUACACAACUCAUUUAGCAAAUCCGCACCAUGCCCAACUUCAUCACUCCAAGAUCAAUUGCUUUAGGAAUGCCAAAUCUCAUUACGUCUAGCUCAUCAAAUGACCUUCCAAUAUACAGCCAAAUGGCUUUUGCUCCUGUCAAUACAAAAUCAGGUGAAAAUGACCUUCGAAUAAUUUGCUUGAAAUACUUGACAUGUUACUUGUCCAUCUGAAAUGCAUUGUGCAUGCAUUUAAUUCUAUACAACAAUUUCUUAAGCAAAGUAUAUAGGACAUUCGGGGGACAAAACACAAAGUGAAUUUGGUCGGUCACCAUUUCACCAUUUAUCACAAAUCCAUUCACACCAAUUCUAAGUUAACUUUUCAACAAAGGUAAAAUACAAUUUUUUUUUUAAUGAAAGGAGGUAAUAAGACACCAUUUUAAAAAUAUAAAUAAAUCCAACUAUGGCAUGUAUUCAGGGUUACUAACCAUCGAUACAAUAAAUCAGCCACAUAAGUUCCAAAUCAGUCAAGGUGGUGAGCUGGAAAACUAAAGACAACAUAUAGUCAACUUCAGCUUCUUCCUCCUCCACAUUCUGAAUCUAUAUUCAUAUCCAUGGCCUCACCAACAACUCUUCUUCUUCUCUUCCUUUAAAUCGGGUUUUUCACUCUAGCUUUCUCUGAUCAUCACCAAGUAACAAUUACAACCAAACCAUUUAUAAAAGUCAUCAUCAUGAUUAUAAAAAACCUCUCUUAACAACCCUCAUCAAAUCCAAUGAUCACAGUUGAGGCAUUUUAAUAAGUGGAUUGAUCGCUAAUAAUCAAAUGGUUGACCAGCAUCAGUUUAAAAGGGAAGAAUUAUUAUACCCGUAAUUUGAUUAGUAUUUGAAUCCAUCCUAAUUGACCGAAAUCUAUUUUAAUAAUUAUCAAUUUCUAAGUUAUUGUAAAUCUUACUGAUGAUUAAGAAACUAAAAAAUAUUGAAUUAUCUGUGCAUCACCCAAGUCUUAAUGAUCUUUAAUGAAAUUUUAAAGAUUUCAUCAAAACUUUAGAUCAACACUUUCUCAUAAUUAUCCAAAAUUAUAACCAAAGGUUCAGAGAAACAUAUGCUUACAUAUUCAAUAAAAUGUCACAUUACUGACUGUACAGAGUAUGUCAACAAUCUUUAAAAAAAUAUUAAUAUGUAAAAUGCUUUCAGUAAAGAAGUUAACUCACAAGAAAGCCUCUCAAUCACCUCACUUUGCUUCUCCGCAAUAGUAAUUUAGGCUCUUAAGUCACGAUCUGUCACCACCAAUCUUAUUAAAUCAUGAUCCAUCAUGAACAAUCUUCUAAGUUAUGACUCAAAUUUUAUCUGCACUUGAUGUGUGAACUCUUUUACCACUACUGAAAGCAUUUACCAAUAGAAAACUUUUUCUCUCAAAGUCAAAUAGAAAGUUUUAUUUUUCUUUGUUCUGUAUAUUAUAGCUCUUCACUUUCUCUUGUAGAAAAACAAAUCUUUUUAUAUCUUUUUCUGAAAAAACCUAAGCUCUUUAUCUUAUCUCUUUUUUAAUUAUAUUAAAUAAAAAAUAUUUGAUUUAAAUUAAAAUAUAAGAUAAAGCCAAAAGUGAUUGCACAUCACUUGUGGUUGUUAUAGGGCCCGCCUUAUUAAAUAACACAAGACCCUUUAUACACAAGCAUGUUAAAUGAAGCCUCCCACCAAAUAAUAAAUUUAGGUCUUUAACCCAAAUAACUAGCUAUCUUACUUAUCAGUCAAGUAGUGGUGCAGUCAAUUAAGUGAGCUAACCAGUGGAUCAUUUGGAUACCAACAAUAGUGGCUAUAAUAAUUAGGCUUAUAAUUAAACUAGCUUAAUUAUUUAAUUCCAAAUCUACCGCACUAAAGAUUGGAACUGACCUCCAUAAUUGUAUGCUAUUUAGGAUGGUGUUCUCGAAUAAUAAUUUGACUCAUGUCAUAUUGAUAUCUUUACUAAACAGUCCUUUGUACCACAUCAUUAAUUAAAUUAAUAUCUCAACUGUCUAAUUAACUUAAUUACAUUUGGUUCCAUGAUACUUAUUGGUUUUUCUCUAAUGAUCAUUUUCUACAUAUUAAUUAUGUUGACACACUAUGGCUAGAUAAUUCUAUGAUCAAUUACCGAAAAUCCAUCAAGAUACGUGCUCUACAAAUUUUGUAUUGUUAAUCUAUAAUCUCACUGCUUAUAAUUGCUUCCAAUAUAUUGAAUAAUCUUAAUUACAAAUAUAUGUUGCGUCCAUUAGCAAUUCAAAUGGAAUAACAGUCAUAAUCAUGAAACUAUAAUUAAUUCAAGGUUAAGAUUGCAAUAAAAUAAAUGCCCAUGAGGUUUAAUAAGUCUGACAAUCAUUUCAAGGUUAAUUAAAUCUCAUAAGUGAUCCAGUUCAAUGUAGUCAAACUAUAAUGGUAAAUAAAUCAUUAAAUAAUUUUACUACAGUAAAAAAAUAGAUAGAGGACCCAACUCUAUUUAUCAACCGAGAACCCAAUUUAUCUAAUCAUAAGAUAACUUGUAUUUAUGUUUUCUUUAAAUCUAUAUGAUGAUCAUAUAAAUACAUAUACUAUAAUUAAACGGAUCUUAUUCAAAAUAUUUAUGCAAUUAAGAUAUCUGAAAAAUAUCUCAAAUAUUUUAUUAAUUAGAAAAUGUAUUUACAAUAAUAAAUAAAUUAAUAUACUUUAAAAAGCACGUAAUCCCAAUAGAUAAUACAUUUAUACAUGAAUAAUUGGAAGAAAAAAAUUGCAACAAGGCAUUCUGAUAGCUAUACAAAAACACUCAUUUUCAAUAAAUUGUUCUCCGUGCAUAACUAGGUCUAUGAAGUUUGCAAAUUUAUCUUACCUAUAGCAUGUUAGAAGUUUGCGGAUGGUCCCUCCCAACAGCCGUAUGGCUCUCCCGGUAUCUAAAAAUUCGCAGUUUUCUGAAAAUUCCGAACCAAUCUAUUAACAUCAAGCGGAUACUCCAGAUUCGUUUGCUGUGCACGCCAAUGAACUGAAUCAGAACCCAACCGAACUUCAUGCAAUGAAAGUUCCUUCAGAAACUCUCCAGGUCGUUCAGGCACUUCAAACUGACCCGGAUUCUUAAUCUUCCUGUACAGCAUCGCUCAGCUGAACAGCUCAUCCUGUUCCUCCUCUCUCAGGAUCUUCCUCGUCAAACUCAGCCACGCCGAGUCAUCGGAGGGCUUCAGAUGUUCGUUAUGAGAGUGAAUCUGUUUUAUAUAUGAUUCAUUUUUGGAUGAUAAGAGGCUGCUUCUGAAUGUAUGUGAUGCUAAUUCAGGAUAAGCGCUUGUACACUCUUUAGCUUGAGCAGCCGACACGCUGAAGAGAAACGGGAGCAAGAAUUUGAAGAAC
rnacentral:lncRNA from 1 species